CGUCGUCGUCGUUCUUUCAGCUAAGAAUGUCAACCGAGUUUACCUGAGAAUAGUACUUGUAGACAAUCCAUGGUGGUUGGCUGCUGUAGAGAAUCACUUCCCCUGUUAUUUCUUCCCUCCUCGUGGCGCAACUGGUCCAACUGCUUGACUUCCACUAAAGAAGAGAACCGGAAAAAUAAAUGGAUAAGAAUCGCCCUCUCCCUCUCUCUCAACCAUCCUCCUCUCCUUCUCCUACCCUCGCGAACUCUCCCGGAAAAUCCCGUCCUUUCCCGAGAAAAUGCCCGAGCUGGAGGACGACGGCCCCGGCCGCACCUGCCGCGACAGCCCGACGAGUCCGCAGCCCGACCUAGAACUCGACGUCUACAGUCCCUGGCCAAUGAUGGAUCAUCAGCUCCCCUUCACCGCUUCUCCCCUCGUCCUGUCCGCCUCCGACCAGCCCAACUCGCCUCUCUGGGCCUUCUCCUGCGGGUUCAAGGACAAGCUCGCCGCCGCACCCGGCGGCAGGGGAGGAGGCGGUGUAGGCGGGGUCCGCCUCUCCGAUUGCUCUCUCAGUUUGUCGCAUGUCAGUCUUGAGUUCGUUCGAAUUUGUUCGCUUUUGGUUUCGAGUCGGGUUUGUGCGGAUCACGACUGAUUGAGCUGGAGUUGGGUCGUUGAAAAGCUCUGUUUUUUCGGCCAUCUGAGACUUGAGAAUUGAGGGUUGACUAUUUCUCCACCCGCGUUUACUUGCUUCGUUUUCGUCUUCUCUGGUUUUACGAUUUUUGGAAAAUCGAAAUUUUUCCUCGUUUGGAACUAAUCUGAAUUUGUCGCGUGUGAUUUUGACUGUUUUUUCCUCUUUGACUAGUCGAGAAAUUGGGUCUGAUGAUACGGUUCUGUUUUCUAUCUCUUCAAAAAGCAGUUUGAAUUGAUUGUUGGGAUUUCUCCUUCUACAAAUAUCAGUGGCUCUUCGCCACUUCCACCUCCCAUUUCACCUGACUUCAUAUAAAUUGUGUGAGAAUUAUGAAUUCUGAGAGUCCUAAAAUAUGAAGUUGCCUCUUGCUUGAAGUUUGAUAUGUUCCAACUGUCUGCAAUGGCACGUGAAGCCGCGGCUACUGAGUUUUUACUGAGAAGUUGUUUCCAAAUUUAUACAUCAUCAAAAUUCAGAGACUGAAGCCCCUGCUGGGUAUAAUGAUCGAAAAAAGCUGCCAUCGCCAUACUUGGGGCUGACAGCAUUUGAAAAUCCUGAUGGAUACUGUAUCAUCAAAGAAAGGAUGACCCAGGCUCUUCAUGACUUCAAAGAAUCAACUGAACAGCUUGUUCUAGCUCAGGUUUGGGCAACGGUAAAGAAUGGUGGUAUUAUGUAAGGGUAAAAAUGCGAAGGAGACGUAGACUGUAGAGCUUGACCUGCCUAGUCAUAGAUCCACUGCUCGUACACCGUAAGAAUCAUCAUGAUAUUUCUUCGACUUUUGAGUUGAAGUUUGUUGUAUACAAGGCAUACCAAUCUACAUCAAAAGGGAUAUCAUGUCAACUGCCAUGCUGAGACAACAAUAACACUCUCGAAUAUAACUGCAUAGAGAAUAUGGAGACCAGUUUUCUGAGAGAUGUCUGGAUAUAUGCUAAAAAGCUCCAAUGAUUUUCAAGAUAAGCCAUGAAAAUAUAUGAAACCGUUGUGAUUGCAAAGAUUUGAUAUACAAAGCAGCAGAGUUGAGAGAAUCCUUAUCGACCUUGAAAAGACUCUGUAUGUUGUAUAAAGAUGUGCAGAAACUGUACCUCAAAGAAAAUCAAGAACGGAUUUACAAUCCAGGAGAUACAUCAAGAGAAAGACACGGCCUGGCAUGGGCAUAGAUGAGUCAGCAGGAGUCCAAACUCACCUGCGGUACUUGAUGUCCUUCAGUUCGAGAAAAAAUUGGUACCCUAACAGUGCUACGCAAUCCGUGCUCUGAUCCAUUCACGGGUCGACACCUGUCCAGGGACAGGUCCACGUCUGCUUUCUCUUCUCGUCGCUUCUUUCCUUCCAAUAAUGCUCGGCUCGACUGAUAGAAGAGAGGACGGAUGAAUGGGCAAUAAAUGCGCAGCACUCCCGCUUAAAAUUUCUCUCUCCUCUCACUUAAAUUUUCUGGGUUUUGUCUCUCUCUCCUCGUGGAAGAGCAGACAGUUUUCUCUCUCCUCUUUGCUCUCUCUUCCUCCUCCGACGCUCCUUCCGGUCUAGCGAUUCCUCCGACGACCGUCGUUCCCUCCUGACGACGGCCUUUCUCUCUCCCCUCGACGGCCUCAUCUCAGGGCUCCAUUCUCUCAGCGCACUUCUUCUUAAAUCGCGCUCUCUCCCGACGGCCGAUUUCGCUCGCCUCUCCCACGACCUCCACGCUUUUGGACCAUACUGACUCUCUCUCUCUGAGUUAUUAUUGAGCAGGGAAGUGAAUAGUACUGAUGGAAAACCAUGAGGUCUUGAGAAUUUUCCUUCAACAAGAGCAAGGUCUUGAGAAUCUGCUUCGUUUGGGUCAAGAUGGUGGGCUCCGCAGCCGCACAAGUCCAUGGUCUCGCGCUGUAUGGUCCGGGCUUGUAGCUCCGUCGACGGCAGAAGCAAGGUCUACAGAGAACUCGGUCCGUCUCCCUCGCCUAAUUCCAUUAUGUUGGUCUUUCUCGAAUGCUUUCAUGUGGGUAGUUCUUUUGGUCAGAUUUAGAUUGAGUGCUUGGUUCAUUUGCAAAUGUACAAGAUGAAGAUGUUGUGUGCCCGACUUGUUUGAUGAUGAGUAGCAUGAUUAAUUGCUUUUUGGGGUGUUGGCAAUAGAACGCCUGCUUUCAAGUGGGAGGAAAGGUAACGCCACGUGAACAGGUUGCAAUUGCCAUCCCAAGAUGUAGGGCAUUGGACUCUUUGGAAUAAAUUGUGUGAUAUUGUGUCGAGGAUGCCUGUAGGGAGGAAGAGACUCAGUGGUUCUUGCUACAUAAAGUUUAGGGGAAACACGAAUUGAAGUUGCUUACCUUGUGUUUUCAACAAUAGAUGUGCUUUCUAGAGUUUAGGGCCAUUCAUGGGCAGGCCAUGCUGAUAAUGUACAGUGAGUUGUUGCCGUAUCUGUUGUUCCUUUUCUGGUAGAGUUAAAAUUUGGGACUAAAAAAAAUGGUAGUUUCAAUCACGGAAUAUGGAAAGAGAAAAAAAGAAAAAGAAAAAAAAAAGAGGCUGUUUCUGGUUAAACAAACUAUUAGGAAAAAUAUUCUCAAGACUGUCUGAAGUUGCACCCACAACAAAAAGAUACUCCUAAGAAUUAUAUUGAUGUUUUUAGAAUGAAAGAAAGUCUACGAAAUGACAAUAAGCAAGGAUUUUUGUUUUCUGAGCUCAUAAAAUUCAAACUGAGAAGGCAACUGUCUCAUACAAGUGUUGGGAGAGUAUUUUCUGUGCUGUUACAAAUCAUAUUUGCAAGAAUGAUUUAGAAGUAAGGCAUUGCGAAAUAUUUGUUUGCCUUUGCUGUCAACUUAUCAUGUUGGAUCUACAGUCUUUCUGUUUAUCAGCUUGCAUGCUCUAGGUAUAUUCUGUUAGGGACUAGCAAUACCUAUGUUGAUGCUUUCUUGUGAAUUUUUAGUUGUCAUUUCAAAGCUGUUGUGCUCUCGUGCUUGGGAGCAGUUAAAAACUCAUUUUACUUCUUGUCUUCUUCCAAUGAAUGAUCUCUGCGAGAGGGUGGGGCCUUUUUUAAUGAUUAGACCAAUGAAAGAAUUCACUAUGAUUUGAGAUGAAGCACUUGAAAUCAUACAUAUAAAAGAAACUGUCAUAUAAUCUAGUUAAGGGGAAUUAAGUGAUCAAUGAUUUUUGUGUUCAGAUUGAAUUAUCCAGGUUUAAGAAUGCAGAAGCCCCUGUUUACUAUAUCUCUCUCUCACUCUAUAGGAAUCUUUAUGGCAAGUGAAGAUGCCAGACUACAAAAGGUCCCAUCCUUUCCAUCAAUAACUGAGGCUUUUUUGGAAGUGCCACCACAGCCAAUAUAUUUCCCAACUUCCAAGUGCCACAUGGAUAUGCUGCCGAGGCAAGAACAAGCUAAGCUUGCAGCUUGUCCUGGUAGCAGCAUUGUCACGGGAAGCUCUGGCAAGAGUGGGAAGCACACAGUUGCUGGAGCAAGGGCUGUGCAAGGGUUGCGCUGGAUAUCAAAGUCUCCUCAAUCGGAGUUCACCAAAAUCCAAUGCAAGUGGUAAUUCAGCUAUAAUGUUAUUCAAAAGUUUUGGACCUACUGGGUGCACUGCCUGAUGAAAGCAGGUGGAUUUGAUUGGGUUCAACUGCAGGUGCAGCAACUUCCUAUAAUUCAGCACGGGUGAGAAGAUCCAGCUACCUAGAGACCAUGCAAUAAAGACAAAUCUCAUGAACUGAUUAAAUCUAGUCCUUUGGCCUAUGCAGGUGGCCCUAAUCCAAAGCAGUUUGCACUAAAUAGAUGAGAUUAGACGGAUGACCUCCGGUUGCUCUUCGAGAUGGUGCAUCAGCAUCACUAUUCUGAUAUGCAUGGCUGCCCCUCUGAUCACUGGACCGCUGCCCAGGAUGCUAUUGCUAAAGGAAUCCCCAUCCGUCAUCAAGGCAAUAAGAAUUUGAUAAUAUCUUAGAAUGCGGGAGCUGCGUUGAAGGGUCUCAGACUAGUCUGAUGCUAGUUUGACUUCCUGUGAGCGCAGCAUGCCAGCUAGCUCAUGUCUUGAAGCUUUAGCAUUGAGGACAUUUUCUCAUGUAAACAGCAUUUGCAACACAGCUUAUGAUAGCACAAUUUAUUUGUUGCUGGGUACGGAAUUUGUGUCUCUAACGACAUGCCACUCGGAAUCUCGGAUGGAUGGUGUCAUUCUGGUUGUAAAAAUUUGUGAUUUGAAGUAUUACUAGUUAAGAUUUGGCAAAUCGUAAGCAUGCAAAACGUCUCGUGCAUUUUAGUAUGUGAACUGGCCUAGGCUCUGCAAACAAAAUCUGCACAAAAUGGAUAUCCAAUUCCCAACUUGCUGAUCGUCCUUACGCUGGACACCCAGUUAAAUGCUAGUUCUCCUUUCAACUAUUUCCAACUGAGUCAAGUAGGACACAUUGCUCCUAACCCCAAGAUGCGGCCAUGGCAUUAUACUAAAAUCUUGAUCGGUUCUAAUCUAAUUAGACAAAGACAUUGCUCUGAAGUUGCAAUCGAGAAUUUUGACUGAAUCGUGUAAGCUUUAACCUUAUUCAUUUCAGAAUUGAGAGUUCAGUGCAACCUAAAAUUGCUUGAUACCUACUUGUUUUGCGGGAAGCAUUAACGAGUUUUGUUUUGCCAAGCAAACAAAGAGAUUUGAGAACAAGUCAGUCUUAUAUACUUAAAAUCUGGCUCCACUGUUUUGACAAUUGAGAUGAAGUAUACUGAGCAAGUCUUCUACUCAAAAGAUCAUAUGUACAUCCCCCUCUAUUCAAGGAUAGCAUAAAUAUGGAAUCAACUCAAACUAAUCUCUCAAGGAUAAUGAACGAUGUCUUGAGUUCAUGUAAAAUAAUAUUUAUUACAAUUCGUUCAUGCCAUCACCUUAUGCAAUAGACCAAAAUUAAACAGGUGGUGUUGAUGAAAUCAAGAAAGCAGAAUGAAUUAAACCAUACUCAUAAUCCAAAACUUGAGCUUCUCUAGUUUUUCUUCAUCUAGAAGCUGCUGAACAUUCAUUGGCAGUCUUUUUAAUGUUCAAAUGAACCCCUGGAGAAUGAUUAGCCAUUUGGUAGAAAAGUAGUCCAAUCCCAUUUGGGAAAGUAAAGUUCCUGUAACUUAAGCAUGCACAAAACUAUAGGCAGCAAUUUCCAGUAUUACAACAAAUGUAGUUCUUGCGCUGCCAGAAGAUAAGGAAACAAACCAAGAGUGCAUUGAGCAUCUGUCAUCGCAAAAUAUCAUUCAAACAAAGGGGAAAUCAAACACACCAAUUUUGGCUACCGAAAUUAGAAGCAUAAGAGAGUGCUCAAAUCAACCAAAGCUAUACACAGUUAAUCCAAUACAUCACAUGUUCCUGUUAUUUUUGCCUGGACUUUUUGGCAGACUUUUGGCUCUCAAGUUUCUUUCUUGCAGCCUCAAACUCUUCUUCACUGGGUUCUGAACUCUGCAUUCCACCACCAUAUUUAUUCACCAGAGAUGAAAACAUGGAAUCAAAAUGCUCCUUUCGCUCACUACGGCACUGAGAUAUGAUUGCAAGAAGAUUGUCUGACUUCUUCUUCGCUCUAUCAGAAAUGGAAAACAAAGGUUAGCAUUCCAAUUCAAAAGAAGAACAUACUACUAACAGUACAGUCAAGAAAUUGAAGCAAAAAUUAUGUAGAAUAGAAAGCCCGGUGCAGCUGUGUCACUCACUUCCCCCUCUUUCUAAGAGGAUCUGUAGGUGGUUCAGUUUUGGAAAUUUGCUUUGCCCACUUCUCGUAUGCCUUGGUUGUCUUCAACGUUCCUGUAGGACACAGAGAAACAGAGCAUGCAUUAAGCACUAUAUCAGGAUAGUGUACGCUACAUUAUCAAGCACGCAUAAGAUCUAGGCUACUAAACACCAAUAUCCUCAGACCAGCAUUAUUUAGAAACAUAAAAAGACAAAAAAGGAUGCCCUCCAUAAAAGUAAAUGAGCAACCUGUGCUAAAUUUUAUCAUUGUGAAAGAAAAUUAUUUGUUAAAUAUUGACCUCGCUGUUAUUAAACUCUAUAAAACACGAUGAAGCCCAGCCCUGCUUGAAGUCUCAAAUUCUGACUGAGGUUUAAGAGUAAAUCUAACAGUCAAGAAGAGAUCAAAUUGUCAAAAAACCAACCUGCUGCUAUUGCAUCAUCAAUGAUAUCCUUAAAGCGGUGGGAAUCAAGCUUGGGAUCUGAGCAGAGCAUCGAACAGAAAAGCCUGCGAAGGAAAAGGUACAAAAGAUUUCAAAUACUUUUAUGUCAGAUAGGCAUCUAUAAGAAAGGAAAAAGAGAGGAAAAAGGACAUAUCAAAAAAACCCCACCUGUUCAUGUUACCCUUGAAUUUCUCGUAGAGAUCAAUAAGAUCAUUCUUUUCAGAAUCAGAACCUCUAUAGUUUGCCUCAAACUCUUCGAUGUCUGCUUCAGUAACCACCUGGAUGAAGCCAUGUCAGAUAACUUCAAACCUAGAGAUAUUCACGCAAGAGAAUGAGGCUUUUCUAUUGUGUUGACAAGCUUACCCUACAUUUAUCAACUUUACUGGGGGUAAGAAUCUCAGAGAUGUGUAGAAAGGUGUUUGUGGAUCAUAAAAUUCGAACUUUGGAGGCUGCAUUACAGGAAAUUAACCCACUAUUAGAAAACCCACUGUCUCCUCAAAGGACAAACAAUAUCGCUUUAUGACAGCCAAAGUUUGAACUCGAAGCUUCUAUGAUUUUUCUGAGAAUGUGAUUGAGAUGAGGCCCCAGAUUGACAUAGAAAUUGUAGCCAAAAAGAUCUAAAGAGUAAGUAUUUUUCCAGCCCUAAGGUUAAGCCAGCAUAUCAAGUGAUUAACGACUAUAGAAGGUGAUGACUGAAUUAGCAGAUGACAUUGACAUCUCCAAUUUUGAGUUAUCGAGCAGAAGAUGCAAUACCACACACACACCUGCUCUGUUAAGGCCAAAUUAGUGUCAAAGAAUGACUUGAUUGUUCCAAUGUCCUCCCAGUAGUCAUUAAACAGAUACGCCUGACAAAUCAAUGCACCCUGAUAAGUCAGCAUUUCUGUUAAGGUAGCUUGCAAGUACAAGUUACCUAUAAACACACAUCUCUAAUGAGGGGGAGAGAGACAGAGAGAAAGCCUGCAGCUUAGUCUAUGUUAAAGAAAAUGUCCUGACCUGGACAUUAUGCUCUGCAACAACUGACAGAAUUAUUUCAGAGCCAAAAUCAUUGCAUAAGGGGUAGCUCCAUCUCAGAAGCUUUAGUAACACGUUGGUUUUAAAUACAUAGACGCCCAUUGAGGCAAUGUAUGGCAAGUUCACCGCGUCUUGCUUUGAUAGCCCAAGAAGAGUACUGUCAACUUGCUAUGGGCAGAGGUUUGUGCAGGAGACGAGAAUCGAAAUAAGAUUAGUAACUAGUUGAUGCAUUACAUGAUGUGCAGAGAUGAUGUCUGCUAAGGAAACAGCUAAAGCAGUCACGUCAAAUGAUAGGAAGUGUUUAUUGCAUUAAUGAUACCAUUGCUUUCAGCUCAUUGCCCUUCGGUUUUCCAGCAAAUUGGAUAAUCCGUCCAGUUCUGUCAAUCUUCAUCAGUCCACAACCCAAAGCACAACUGCAGCAACAAAAACCAGAAAGGGUUAGUUUCUGGUUUUUGUUGCAAAACUCAUCAGUAGCUAUAAAUUUAGUGCAACUGAAAACGGACGUAAGAAACAAUAUAAUCACAAAAAAUUUGUUCUUCCCAACCAUAAGUGGAAUGUCAAGGAGAACUGAGCUUUAUAUGCUCUUAAAUCUUCUGAGCUUUAAAUACUCUUAAAUCUUUUAAGGCAAUAUAUUUAACCACAAUGAGAACCUGUCAUCCAUUGGGACACAUGAAACUGUGAUAUUGGCAUUUGUAUCAAUAUGCUUCUGCAAUCAAGCCACAACUGGUCAGUUUAAACUCACAAACAUAUUAGAUGAAGGAGCUUACAAUGAAAUCUUCAAAGUACCUGCACAAAAUUCAUGGAAUUCAUCCAGUACAGGUAAUCACCAGACAAAAUCAAGACAUUCUCCACAUUCUUGUUCUUGGCAUCCUGCGGAAAUAAUUGGAAACAAACAUUCAACUUCAAGAGAAACUCCAAAAAACUUUGCACAAGUAAUUGCCAAAACCCUAAGCACUCGCCUCAAAGACCCAUAUGAAUUGCCUAACAGCAUCAGCAGUCCCCUGGAACCACCUCUUUCCAGCUUCACCCGGAGUUUGAGUUGCCGCAAGGACCUAUAUGUGUUACCAAAUUUUUUUCAUAUUAACUUCAGUCGUUUCUUGAGUUAAGUCAUCAGGAAUCCAAAAUAAUAAAUUGGAAAAAAAUUAUACCUCCACAAAUCCAUCACCAAAACUAAUGCCAUUAUCAAAGUUGUAUGUCCAGGAAGGUGGCGAUUGAGGGAAAAGGAAUUAAACUGCGUUAAGAUGAAUAUUUUUCUGAUACCAUUGUUAAUGCAAUUGCUCAUUGGGAUAUCAAUCAACCGGUAGCAUCCUCCUAUAGGAACCUGCAAAUUUAAAAAAACCACAUAAUUGAAUAUAUAGUUGAGAGAGUGCUAUGUGGGUAAGCAAUGGGCAUAUACAAAUAAUCACUGACUGCUGGCUUGGCCCUUCUGCUAGUAAGUGGAAACAAUCAUGUUCCAGCACCUCCUCCCAGUAUAAUUAAAGCAACACUCUUCGGGUUUGCUUGGAAAGUAACAAGUAACCCACAUUAGGGAACAGCAUAUUGGGAUCAAAAGUAAAUCUUAGAUAAGAGGACAGACAGGAGAGCAUCUUCAACUAAGAACUUCCCCAUUUUUAGACAACUAAAUUAUCUCAAUCAAGUACGAUAAGACAAAUGACAGCAAUUAACACAUCGAACUCAAGGCAAGACCCCUCAAAUAGCUAUGAACUACCUUGAGAGGAGGAUCAAGGCACUCAAUAUGAAAGGUUUGGGGAGCUAUCACAAAUAACGCCUUCAUAGUAAUACUGCAAGACAAAAUGUUACAAAAACCACCACUGAGAGAACAAUAGAUGGUCCUCAAAAAGUCCUCAACAUCGAAAUGAUACGAAUCCUCAAGACAUCUAAUUGACACAAAAGAGGACAAAAUUUUAUCUUGUAGACAAAAAUUUGCCUAUGGUCACUGUUAUGAUUCAACAAGGGUUCAGUGUAAAUAUAAAGAAAAACUAGAAGGUGCCUCACGACUUUAGAAACAGCAUAGUUACCAGAAAACUCACACAGGCAUCUACGACGGCACACCGAUUCCCAGAAAAGAAAAGAAAAAAAAAACGCAGGGAACUACAGACUCUCUUACCACACAGAGCAACAACGACCGGAAUUCCAGAACUGACCUCACCGCUGACCAUGUCGGCAGCGAAAUUGCAGACGGCGUCGAGCGUGCUCUCAAUCUGCGCCUUCAGGAAUCGGGCCGGCGCGAGUUCCGACUUCCUCAACCAGUAGUGCCCGACCAUGCGGCCCUCGCCCAGGCCGGGUUCGCGAUCGCGCCCUUCUCCAGCUCCUCCAUCGCCUUGAACGCGGCUUGGAACCGAGGCUCCAUCUUCUCCACGAACUCGUCCGUCAACCCGAUUUGGCUUGUGUCCAAGGAAAAGCCCUAAAUCCGGUGCUGGUGCAGCCAGUCCACGUACCUCGUCCACAGCGACCUCCAACCCUCUAGCCCGCACCUCUCCUUCUUUGCCGUGCCGUCGGCCCUGCCUAGGUGCACCGAGAUCUCCCUCGCGACCGAUCGGACCAGCGACAGGGACAGCACCCGGUCAACGGCGGGGAGCCUGGCGCCGCUCGGGAACGAGACCGAGACCGCCUCCCUCCUGCCGGAGGCCGACGGCUUCGCGGCGGAGGCCGGCAGUAUCUUCGGCCAGAGGGAGGGGGUGGACGAGCAGAUGCCAGAGACGGAGGACGCCAUCGGCGGCGGCGGCGGCGGCGGCUCGGAGUCGGAGUUGAUGACGAGUUCGUCGAAGGGAGGCAAUCGGACGGAGGCCCAGAAGUUGCCGAGAGACCAACGCGAGCACAAAUGAUCUCGGCGUUGGAAACCGUUGGAGGCGAAGGGGGUUGGGAACCAGCUGCGACUGGUGGGGCUCUUGGAGGAGGCGACGUGCCAGAGGUAGAUGACCGGCGAGGCCUCUUGGAGAGGAGGAGGCGGAGGCGGAGGCGGAGGGGUGGAAUGCGCUGAAAAGGAAACAGAAGAACUGCAGCUCGUUCACGAGGAGAGAGAGUCCAAAAAAUAUUUAAGUGAGGAGAGAGAAAUUUUAAGCGGGAUGUUGCGCAUUUAUUAUCUAUUCGCUCGUGCUUUCUUCUACUCAGCCGAGCCGAGCCACCAGCCGCGGAGUUACUGGGAGAGAGUGAGACAAGAGAGGAGAGAGAGAAGCGCGAGAGAAGCGAAGAGGCCGACGUGGACCUGUCGCUGGACAGGUGUCGAACGGUGAAUCGUUCAGAGCACCGAUGACGUGGUCCUUUGAGGUACCCAAUAUUUUCUCCUGAUUCUCUGACGUUUAUCCUUCUCCACUUUGGUCUUCUCAUCUCCUUAAAAAGUAAGGUAGGUGGAUUAUACGAUUAUACAGAUAGAUGAUAAGCACAACACUACAAAGAUACAUGUACGAGUUGUCAAAUUUCAAAUCAAUGGAGACACCAGCAUUAAGAAAGACAAAUAUGCAAGAACAGACAAUACCGGUGCAAUUGGACACGUCGACGAACUUGUUCCUGUGAAGCAAAGCCGUUCGCUUAGGAACUUUCUUUUCUCGGUCAUGAAUAUAAGUAUCAUCCAAAGGCUUCUGCCCUCCUUCAGGCUCUCAAACAUCAACCAAAUAAGCAUUGAACGUCAGCGUCUCACCAGAACAAACAACUUCAUCAUUCUUCGAGAUCCUGCAUUCCAACAGCUGCUCGCUGUCAUCAUACAGCAUUACCUGUCAAACAUCCGACCAUCAAUCACGCAACGACCGAAUCUACUCCGAACAAGCCCAAUCCUGCAGAGCAUAACGACCCGGACAGAGCAAUCGGCGAUGACAGACAAGAUCGAAAUCCCAAGCAGCCUCCAGACGAUGCCAUCUAGUUCGAGCGAGCAAGCUAAAUUCAGGGAAAGAACAUUCACAUAUCGAUUGCAGAGGAGCAGAGAGAGAGGAAGCCGUCGCGGUAGACCUUGCGCUUCUGCUUGAGGUGCUUCGUGAAGGUGACGUUCCAUGUCGUCGGAGCCUCAUCCAUGGCGGUUUCUGCAUUUGGGGGAUGAAGAAAAAAGAUCUUCUAGGGAUUUCCGAGAGCUGCGAGUGAUUUGCUGCGAGAGUGAUACCGCUUCUGAGAACUUAAACGGUCGUGGCUGGAGAUGAAUUAUUAAUAUGAGCGCGAAACGAGCUUAAAAGCCUCUCCUCGAAGACUGAUGAUGACGGGAUUUUUUUUCCGCUUUUUCUUUUUUUCACUCUGAUCCUAUUCUAUUCUAUAAUUAUUUGAUUUUAUCCGAUCAAAACCUGAUUCAGUUCGGUUGGAUUUUUUUAUUUUUCUUCUUCUUCUUUUUUCCCCCUUGCAACCAAACUAAUUAAAUGAUGAAAAAGAAGAGAUAUUUUCUUUAAUCCAACUGAACCUAAAAAAAAAAAAAUUGAUUAUUUUUCCAUUGUACUAAUUGAACCGAAAAUGCACGAAAUUUUGAUUUGGUUUUGACACCCAUGACUGCGCAAAUUGCAAGAUCCUACUUCCUCACUCACAAGCCCUCACUCCAACUCUGAUUGAUUAUCGACCAAAAAAAAAAAAAAAAACUCUGAUUGAUUCACUUUUCUCACCAUGACAUUUAAAGAUAAGGACGCAUCGUCGGUCCCGAUUUCGUCCUCUUCUGUUUAGCACCCGACGGUUCUCCAAUCCUUCAAUCUGUCUCCAGUUAUUAAAGCUUUGAAUUUUUGCAGCAUCUGGAUGUGAAUUUCCUCCAAUUUUCUCCCUCUUCCCGUGCUUGGGAGAUUCUCGAGAGAGUGAUGUGGAACGUCGUCUGCUUUUGAUUGUUUUGUUGAUGCUCUCUAUAAUCUCUUGUGAUGGCUGUCUACAUUGGUGUCUGGCGAUAUAGGGGUGUAGUUUGUUCGCCGUGAAAAGAGUUUUUUUAAUGUAUGUCGCACCAGCUCAGGUAUGUGUUGACCCUUUGCGAGUUUGAAUGAUUAUAGGAAGAGCGAGCGAGAGCUUUUUGUAGACUGACGAAAUGAAUGUAGAGGUGAAUAUGUCAGGGCAUGAAUCUAGAGAAUCGGGUGCCCAGUUGUCUGGGGUGUCCCAGCAAAAUGCAAUGUCAUCCCGAAUAUGGUAACUAUAGGCAGUGGUGCCCCUCAUGCUUUUAUUACGGCGUGGACAUGGUUACUGUCGGAGCUUGGCACUACAUGCAAGAGAAGAUGUAAUUUAGUCUACGGCACUUGUUGUGCUUUAACCUCCACAGUUUCAUUUGGUCCUUGUUCGCCGAUUGAACUUUUCACUGUCCCUUUCAGCUUUGUUCUCUUAGCACAGUAGCAUCCAUAGCCAAUUAAUGAUUCUCAAAUGCAGAAGCUGAAGGAUACUGUUAGACGCCUAGAAGAAGGUCUCUUUAAAUCUUCUCACACAAAGGUCUUCCCAUCUUCAUCAUUUCUCUCCUCUCUUUUGUAAAAUUACAAAAAGCGGUUGAUGAUUGCCCUUUAUGGGUUCAGUGUUCUACAUUUUAUAUUUGCAAAAGCCAGUACUCCGUUGAUUUCUCUUGCCCGGUUUCACCUGCUUUUUCUCGUUAUUAUCAGUAAUUUCCUUUCUUUUUGGUAAAUAGUACUUGAGAUUCUUUUGCUACUUGAAAAUUACAAUUAUGGAGGAUGAGUAUAUGAAUUUAGGCACAUUGGAGUCCCAGUCGCAUAGUUUGAUCAAGCGUCCAUCGCCUAAUAAUCCAAAUCCAGUCAAUCCUGAUGCAAUGAUAAUAAUGAUUCCAACCCCUGGAUUGUCGCAUAAUGGGAGUUCGACCAUGAUGGCAACAUCUUUAGUGGAUGCCCCUAUUAGUUAUAUGGCUGGGAUAGCAACAUGCAGCCAAUGAAUGAAAACACAAGAAGCCUUAUGUCGAGCCUUAUGCCUAACAGAAUGUAUCCAAAGGCAUGUGCUCUCUAUAAUUUCUUGUUAUGGUCAUCUGCACUGGUGCUCGGUGGUAUUGGGUGUGGUUUGUUCACUGUGAAUAGAGUUUUUAUAUAUGUAGCGCAAGCUCAGGCAUGUGUAGACCCCCUGUGAGUUUGACUGAUAAGAGUGAGAGCUUUUGUAGAUUGAUGCAAUGAAUGUGCAGGUGGAUACGUCGGGGCACUUAUCUAGUCAAUCAGGCACUAAGUUGCCUGGGGUGUCCUAGCAAAGUGGUAAUGUUGUCCUGAAUUUAGUAGCUGUAGGCAGUGGUGCCUCUCAUGCUGUGUUGAGCGUGGACACUGAUCCUCUUAGAGCUCAGAACUAUAUGCAAGACAAGAUGUAAUCUAAUCUAGAGGACUUGUUCUUAUGCUUUAACCUCCACAGUUCCAUUGGUCCUUAUUUGCUGAUUGAACUUUUCACUGUCCCUUUUCAGCUUUGUUCUCUUAGCACAGCGACAUCUACAGCCAAUUAAUGAUUCUCAAAUGCAGAAGCUGAAGGAUAUCGUUAGACACCUAGAACAGGGUCUCUUCAAAUUUGCUUACUCAAAGGUCUUCCCAUUCCUCAUCAUUUCUCUCAUCUUCUUCUUUCUAAAAGUACAAAAGGCGGCUUAUGAUUGCCCUUUAUUGGGUUCUUUUUUUAGUGCAUUGCAUUUUACAUUUUUGAAAGCCAAUAAUUUGUUCAUUUCUCUUGCCUGGUUUCACCUGUUCUUCCUUGGGCUUAUCAGUAUUUCCUCUCUCUCUCUCUCUCUCUCUUUUUGGUGAAUAGGACUUGACAUUCUUUUGCUACUUUGAAAUUACAAUUAUGUAGGAUGAGUGUAUGAAUCUAGGCAAAUUGGAGUACCAGUUGUGUAAUUUGAUCGAGCAUUCUUCUCUUAAUAAUGGAAAUCCAAUCAAUCCGAUUUCAAUGACAACGAUGAUACUCCUGGAUUGUUGCAUAAUGGGAGUUCGGCCAUGAUGGUGACAUCUUCAGUGGAUGCACCUAUGAGUAAUAUGGCUGGCGAUAGCAGUAUGCAGCCAAGGAAUGCAAACACAAGAAGCCCUAUGCCAAGUGGUGUCGUGCAAACACAGGAAGCCUUAUAUGAAGCCUUAUGUUUCCUUGAAUUGUAAAUUAACAUUUUCAUUCAGAUGUAGGCCUCAUGCAAGAUGUCUUGCUAUGGUUCGAAAUUGGGGUAUAAUUUGAACGAUUGUUUCCCAGUUUAUCAAUGAAGAUAAGCACCUGUGCACUUUCAUUUUGAAAAACCCUACAGAGGCUUCAAACAUAAUUUACUGGUACUGGUGCCAAUGAUCAAACAUUCACUGGGAACUUUGACCAAAAAAGGAUGAGACUGCAAAACAGUGGGGAAUUCAUUUCAAUUCAGAAAAUGUUACAGCUAGAGUAUUCUUCAUGUCAUUCCUUAUGAUGGAACUAAAAGAAGCACGACAUGUGACAAACUAAACCUUGUGGACUUAAAAUGUAAGAAUGAAUCAGAUGAAGUACCAGCUACUUGAGAUUUUUCUAGCGAUCAAACAUACCUGCUUUCGAAGUAAACCCAGCAUCAAAUAAAUAGCCAGCUCUGCACAUGAUGCUGCAUUUCCAGUGAUGUCACCUGGAAUUCUGGCAACUUCUAUUCCAUUUUUGGUGGCAGUGUCCAUAUCAACAACUUCAUAAAGAUGUAAAUGUCGAGUACUAAAUUCAAUUAAGAUCUAACGGAACAUAGUGAUAAUACCGACAAGAUAAACCAAACUCCCCUGGCCCCACAGAUGCGAGCAAACAAGGGCAGGCGCCCUCGAGAUCGACACCAAAUUGCAUUACAAGCUUCAAUUGUUUCGCUCGAGCUACGGUUUGAGUCGAGGCACUUGUUCUUAACCACACAAAUAUGGUAGUUUCCUAUAAUAUGUGGCACAUCAUCAAGGACUGCCUUAUUGACCUGCAGAAAUGGAAAACAGAUGAAUGAAUGAUCUUCAAGGUGCAGUUAGAGACAAAAUUUGGAAACAUAUGAAACAAUAAGUCCUUACGCUGCCAUAAAACGAAGCACACUAAUUAACGAGGAUACAUUCACAUCUGUACAUAAGACCAAAACGAACGUACAAAGUUGAACAUGCUUUUUUAUUCCUAGUCUGUUAUUUAUCCAAAGGCAUGUGCUGGCGACAAUGGGAUCGUUCCAGCAAGUUUAAGUAGGACCCGACAAGAGCAUAUUGGUUUUUAUUUCAGCCAGGUAAAACUUUCAUAACCUACGACAGUGCCUCAAAUUGUACAAUUCUACAAUGUUACAAUGGUCAGAGGCAGAAAUGGGAUAUCACUUCAGUGCAAUAGGUAGUUGAAAUCUGGCUCCACCAAUGGAUGCAAAAAUAAUUGGACAGCGUCGAGAGCUCAAAGGUGAUGCAAUCAAAUCCCUUUGUACCGCUCUAAACACAUCCAGGUAACUCGAUCAACCACUUCCGCCUGAAGAAAGUGGAACGUCAAGCAUUUUCUAUCAUAUAACGCUGGGUAAAAAUGGUCUGAAACUGGAUAAAUAGGUAUUGGCUUGAGUCUUCGGCGUAAUUGUGAGAAGCCGGGAAGAAGGCCCUCAAAAGAGGACAUGGGUGACGCCUUCUUCACCAGACUCCGUCCCCAUUUCCCUCCACUUCCUUUAAUGUGAAGCUGUAACUCCUGCUAUAGAGAGAGAGAGAGAGAGAAGGCGGGGACCUUGACGUACUUGAACUGGGGACUGGUGAAGUAGAGAAAGAGACGAAGUUUGCAGCCUCCACAAUCUACACCUGCCUUUCCUCCACGAAAUUGGUCGAUUGGUGACUCACGGCAAAUGUUGCUAGAAUCCUGCGAUGAAAGAAUUUUAGCUUUCUCUGCCUGGAAUUUUGUUGUAAAUUGACUAAUAAAGUCAGAAGGAUAGUAUACUCUCAAACGUCAGUCCAGACCUUCGAAAGGUCUCGUACAACCUUUCCUAUGGGAUUGCUAAUUUAUGUCCUUUUCAAUGGUUAUGAUUUUCUCCUAUUCCGGAAUCACAAACUGAUUCAAAACUUACACUUACCACAUCUACGUGUUGUCUGGCCUACAGGGUUGGCUACCUAGGGAAUCGUCGUGCUUGAGGAAGUGCUGAUGUAGAUAGUAAACAAAAGAUUCAUAGUGCAUUGGAGAAUUAAUCCACGUAAAAAGCUGUAUCUGUUGGAACCAAAAGGAUUUGGAGGGAGAGAGUACACACACAAAGAGAGAUUAUAUUACACAAUAUGCCUUUGUAAAGGCUUAAGAGAGUACACACACUAACUUUGCUAAGCUUAAAACUCUCUCUAAAAUCUCACUUUCUCUCACUUUUACAGACACUCUCACACUCUUAAAAAAAAAACUAACAUAACCCUAUAUUUAUAAGCAUUUUCACCACCAUUAACUUCAACAUGCAAGAGUUGAAGUUGAACUUUUCUUCUUGGCCAAGGAGUCAACAAUUGUGGGCUGAAACUUUUCCUUCACGUUCAAGUUUCCAAAGUUGAAGCUUUCUUCCUACUCUUCAAGUACCACUUGUAGCUUCUUCAAGAAUUCUCUCCUUUGUAGCCCACUUUUCUUUGGCUUUUUACAAACCGACUAACUCUUGCUUUCACACACUUAGCCAAAAAUAAUUAAAAGACAAAUAAGCUAAUCAAAACACAAAAACAAUUUUACUAUUUUCUAACAGCCUCCCUUAAAAUUGAUUUUGAAAAACAACGACACCAAGCAUUGUCUUCAAUUUCUCGAACAAGUCCGCCUUCAAUGGUUUUGUCAAAAUAUCAGCAAUCUGGUCUUUGGAUUUACAGAAAUCAAGUUCCAUCUCACCUUCUUUAAUCAGCUCACGAAUAUAAUGAUACUUGAUGUCGAUAUGUUUGCUCCUGCCAUGAAAUACGGGAUUCUUGGCCAAUGCAAUUGCUGACUUGUUAUCACACAUCAAUUUAGUAGGACCUUUUUGUUCAUGCAUAAGCUCAAAAAGCAUCCUUCGAAGCCACAUCGCCUGACAUGCUGCUGAAGAUACUGCAAUGUAUUCUGCUUCAGCUGUUGAGAGUGCAAUAACUUGUUGUUUCUUUGAUGACCAAGAAAUUAUUCCUGAUCCAAGAAAGAACGCAUAUCCGGAAGUGCUUUUUCAUGUUUCAGUAUCACCUGCCCAAUCAUUGUCUGUAUACCCCACUAAACUGAAGUUGUCAGUGUAAGAAUAUAAAAUUCCAUGAUCGCGAGUUCCACUGACAUACCUUAAAAUUCUUUUUGCUGCUUGCAAAUGUGAUUGGUAUGGUUUCUCCAUAAACCGACUAAUAAUUCCCACGCCAUAAGUUAUAUCUGGCCUAGUGGUAGCCAAAUAUCUUAAACUGCCAACAAUACUUUUGAAAUAAGUGGGAUUUACCAAUUCACCGGUUCCUUCUUUCUUCAACUCUAACCUUUCUGCUACAGGAGUUCGAAUUGAUUUGAGCGUUUCCAUAUUGAAUCGCUUCAAGAUAUCAUUAGCAUACUUCUGCUGUGAAACAAAUAUGCCUUCAUUUGUCUGUUUCACUUCAAGGCCCAAAAAAUAGGACAUUAAUCCCAAAUCUGUCAUCUCAAAUUGACUUGUCAUGGCCUCCCUGAAUUCAGCAAAUAUCUUCUCACAGCUUCCUGUAAAUAUCAAAUCAUCAACAUAAAGGCAAACAAUUAUAAUAUCGCCGUUAGUAUUUGAUUUGAUAUACAAUGUAUGCUCAUAAGGGCACUUUUGAAAGCCAUGCUCCAACAGGUAAGUAUCAAUCCUCGUGUACCAAGCUCGAGGUGCCUGUUUUAGCCCAUACAACGCUUUCUUCAGUUUAUAAACUUGAUUUUCACGCCCUUUCUUCACAUAACCCUGUGGUUGCUCCACAUAUACUUCCUCAUCGAGAAAACCAUUAAGGAAUGCCGAUUUCACAUCCAUUUGAUGGAUUUUCCAACGGUUCUGAGCUGCAAGUGCCAAGAUCAUCCGAAUGGUAUCCAUUCGAGCCACUGGUGCAAACACUUCAAAAUAAUCAAUACCUGGCUUUUGCUUGUAGCCUUUCACCACCAGUCUAGCUUUGUAACGGUCCACCUGACCGUUGGGUUUGUACUUCGUUUUGUACACCCACUUGACACCUAUAGGCUUCUUACCAGGUGGUAAAGAAGUUAGCACCCACGUGUCAUUCUUUUCAAUGGAGUGGAUUUCUUCAUCCAUUGCUUGAUUCCACUUCUCAUCUACUGCUACAUCAUCAUAGGAUAUGGGGUCACAUUCGGUAAAUAAACAAAAGUUUACCAUUGUUUCAUCAGUGAUUUCGUCACCGUCAUUAUGAUCAACUCUUGUGACCACAUAAUCCUUGAAUUUUACUGGCGUCUUCUGCGGUCGUUGUGAACGACAAAUCAAUGGUUCUGCAGUCGUUGCUGGUGAGGAGGAUGAACUACCAGGUGAAAGUGAUGGAUCUUCAAUUGAAGAUUCUUCGGUCUUCCUCACCAAUGGUUCAUCUUCCAUAGGAAUGCCUUUCUGGUCAGCCUUUUGAUUCCAGUCCCAGGCUUCAUCUUCAAAAAAUUGGACAUCCCUGCUAAUAAUUACCUUCUCCGUGACAGGAUUAUAUAGCUUAUAACCCUUAGUCACAUUACUAUAUCCAAUGAAAAUGCACUUCUCGCUUUUAUCAUCCAACUUUUUUCUUCGUUCGUCUGGUAUAUGGGGAUAUGCUACACACCCAAAUACCCGUAGGAACGAAACAUCUGGCUUGUUGCCGCUCCAAGCCUCUUCUGGAGUUCUUCCAAGAACACUCCUUGUUGGACACCUGUUCAACACAAAUACAGCACAAGCAACAGCUUCUGCCCAAAACUUCUUCGGUAAUGCUUUAGCCUUUAGCAUACUUCUUGCCAUUUCAAAAAUUGUUCUAUUCUUUCUUUCUGCUAUACUGUUUUGCUGAGGAGUAUAGCUAGCAGUGUGACAUCCCGAUUUUUCUCAAGUUUAUUUUCAGUCAAUUGAGUCGGGCAAUUCAUCUGUGCAUAUAGCUCGUUUCUCAGAGUUGGCCACUCACGAGAGAACUAGUUUAUUGAGCGAAGUAAUUAAGGAAUUUUACCGCGUCAGACUUGGGGACUGAUCACCCUCGGGUCGGAUGCAAGAAAAAUUUCCCCAAAAGCUACUCAGUGGACUAGGCGCGCUAAAAUCGCACCAGAGUGAAAUUAACCGUGAAAUUGAAAUUGAAUUCUAAAAUUUGAAAGUCAAAGGGUGUUGCAAAUCUUAUUAGGAACCUUGGAUUAAUUUAUGGACUUUAAUUUGGACUUGAUUAGAAGAGAAUUGAUGGAAAUUGAAAUAAUUAAAUGUGCAAGAGCUUGGACCCCGGCGGAAAAUGAAUUGGACCUAUUGAAAGAUGUUGUGAGGAUUUGAGUUAGUGGAAAGUGACAUCAGCAGGUGAUGUCAUGGUGGAGGCCAAAAUUAAGGAGAGCUUGACAAGUGUCGCCAGCCGAUUGGCCCACCAAAAGUGGGGGUGUCCCAUCCACUUCAUCUUCAACCUCUAGCACCUUGGGGGAAGGGAUUCGAAAAUUUGGAGAGGGAGAGAGGGUCCGACGAGCUGCAGCAGCCCGUCCGCCCCCGUCGCCUGCUCGUCGCCGCCUCGCUCGCCGUCGCACGCCGUCGCCGUUCGCCGCUCGCCCGCGUGUGAGGUCUCGGGUGCGAGCCCGUCACGUCUUCGUCACCGCCGUCUCUUCGCCCGAGCUGCUGGUCGCUGUUCGUCGCCGCCUCGCCGUUCGUCGCCGCCUCGCCGUUCGUCGCCGUCUCGCCGGCCAGUCGCACACCGUCGUCGUCUCGCCGCCGUCGCACGCCGUUACCGUUCAGCCGCCCCUUCAAGCCGGUUAGUUGCUGGAAAGGAAAACCAGCAAGAUCUAGCAUCUUCCGAGCCCGUUUUGGUCCCCUUCUAGUGCUCAUUUGGUCUUGAUCCGUGUAGGUUUGUCGUCGGCGUCGUCGUGCUCUUCGCCAGAAACCCGUCGGAAAGCGAUUCCGGUGAGUUUACCUCACUAAUCCGCGAUUAGCGAGAUAAUGAUGCCCUAAGUAUGUUUAGCUUAAGUUGAUUGAGAUUAGGUGGAUAGAUUGGCUUAAUUAGUUGUGGUUUAUAUUAAGGUGAUUAUUUAAGGUAAAUGGUGUUUAGUUUAAUGGUUAAGUAUGUUUAUUUUUAAAAUAAACAUUGAUGUGACUUAACGGAGUUUAUUUAUGAUUUAAAUAAAUGCUUUGAAAUUGUUGGAUUAUUUAAUAAUAUAUCUUUUUACGAAAUUAAUUAAAAUAUUGUUUUUAUAAAAAAAAAAAACUCGAAAAUUUAUUUUGGCCCUAGUUGCUCAGAAUUUCGUGCCGAUCAUUGCUGUGCUUGUAGAAUUUGAAAUUGAUGAUUGGUUGUGACGAAUUGAAUGUGCUUUCGAUUUAUGAGGAUUCUUUAUAAAAUUCUAAAUGUGGAAAUUGAGGAGCGGUUGACCGUGAUAUGCCACCUAUUAGAGGUCGCGCCCGAUGGGGCUGUGAUAUGCCACCUACUAGAGGUUGCGCCCGAUGGGGCCAUGAUAUGCCACCUACUAGAGGUCGCGCCCGAUGGGGCCGUGAUAUGCCACCUAUUAGAGGUUGCGCCGAGUGGGGCCGUGAUGCCACUGAUUCAAAUUGUCACGCCCCGGACCCCGAGCGCGUGCCCAUCCCUAUUUGGUCGAUAAAAAUUUGCGACUUCCCAGGACGAGUCGCCGACCCUUUCCAUUUUAUUGCACAUGCGGAAGCGAAAAAAAAUCCCCUGACAGUAAUCAUCUCGGGAUAGAAAGGCAGGAUAAUAGAUUCACACACAAACAUGCUUUUAUAUAUACACUGAGUCAUGAACACAAGUCUAUGGCCAAAAGACUACAAAAGACUGGCCUUCCAAAAAGAAGCGGUCCUAACUGACCUACGCUUCCAAUCACCUCCUCUCAGCUCCAGGUCCUCCACUCGACGACCCUGAAAAUGUUGUCCCACAACGGGGUGAGAUAUCAUCUCAGCGAGUCUAAGCUCUAAACCCCAAUUAGGAGAAAAUACGCCAAGAAGCGUCCUAAGCACGCAAUCACACAAUCAAGGAGACUUAUCUCGUCUCAGAUCCACCCUGCAGGUCAGUACAAUUUAUCUCACAGACAACACGAGAGCAUGAGCAACAAAUAAGCUCCAUUAAUUGACACGCCACACUCAAUUAAUCAUGCGUUCUUAGAUUUGAUCUCGGCAUAUAGCACGGCCUACUCUCAGUUCGGCGGUCUUCUGGCAUUGCCAGGCAUCGUCUCACCCCAUUGAGCAUGGCAACGUCUCUUUAUCAGAUGGCUUUCCCGAAGGAGCAUAGGGUCCAGAAUCAACUGCGACCGGCUUCCCGUUGUCCAGGGGGUAUCCCAAAUAAGGAUAACGUCCAGCUCAACAGCCCAGGACGAUUUCUCAUAGCCAUCACACGAUCACUCAAAUAUGGCCCAGGGCACCGUGCAUUGCACUCAAAUGCUUCAAUUAAAAUGGUGAGCCUGGCCUUUUUCUUCGUAUUAAAAACAUCCCGAAAAUAGUCGUGUGUGGGUACUCGGUCAAUUCGAACCAGAAGACUGAUACCUAUCUUUUUCAAACCCCACUAUUUCAUAUAGUGCUAAAAACCAUUUUCGGUAUCAAAACCCGACACCUGGGAUUUUCUGAAUAAAUAUUGGAAAUUCACAAUUUUUGGAAUUAAAUACCAAAAAUCAAAUCAGCACUCAAUUUGCAUAAUUUAACACUCAAUUGCAUAAAUUAACCACACCAUUGCAAUCAGCACGAAAUUCCGGUCAUCGGCUAUCCCGGCCUAAUUUCCGGAAAAAUAAUUAAUAAUUAAAUAAUUACUGAAAUUAAUUAAAUAAAUCAAUUUAAAUUCUACAAAUAAUAACCUAGGCCAAAAUCAUUAAAUUAGUAACCAAUACGGACCCGGAAAAUUUCCGAACCCUACUAGAUAAAUAGUACAAUUUAUUUAGGCCUUAGCUAAACCAUGCUAACCACCUAACAUGCUCAAUUAAAUAAUUCAAUUUCUAAUUUAAUCUAAUUAACCACCUAAUUCCUAAUAAAAUAAAUCUAAACACCCCUUAAACGUCAUUAACCUACUAAGCAGAGUUUAGAGUAUAAACUCACCGGUGUAUCGCGAAAACCGGUUCACCGCAACGACGACGCGACGGCGGCCGAAACCUUAAUUUUCGGCGGCGUCGGCGGACUCUCGGACCGGGCCUAAAACGGGCCCAACAAAUCUCAACCCAAAUCUGAGAUUUGUUUCCAACUUGGGCUGGGCUUCACUUGAUUCGCGGGCUGAACUUCGGUGGACUUGGGCUUCAAUUAACGCGGGCUUGGAAAGGCUGAGUUGAGCUUGAAUUCAAGUGGGCCUUAAGCUUGCAAUGGAAUUGGGCCUGAGCUUGAAUCAUUUGGGCUUUGCUGGGUUAAACAAAAUGGGCUUCUCUGGUUUCUUGGACGGGCCCAACUGCUGGGCCGUGAAAUCCACUGGACUGAGCGCUGUCAACCGAAGCAGAAACGGAGCUGCAGGUCUUUGGGGCUUGCUGGCUUAGCUGGCGUCGAGCUGAAGGUGACGCUGGCGAAGACACAAACGAAAGAUGGAGCAGGGAAGCAGCUGGCGGUGGAGUCUUCGAGCGGAUGAAGUCCACGGCGUUAAUGGGCUGAAGAAAUCGAGCAAAGGGACUUCGGUGGUGGUGAGUCACGGACGGUGGCAGCUUCUGCCGUGAGCUGCUUCAAGGAGUUUCGGUGGGGUGUGGCUUCGGUUGCUGCACCCGGUGGUCAACUAAGGAGAGGGAGAGCUUGGGUUGUUGACCGAUGAUGGGGGCUUCGCUGGCGAGCUGGUGGAGAAGACGCGAGGAGGGGCAGAAAACGUGGACUGCUGCGGUCAGUUAAGGGAAAGAUGAACUGAUUUGUUGACUCACGUGCUGGCGUCGAUGGAAGCAGAUGGAGAAGCAGCUUCGGCCACUUGUUGGAGUCAACACACGGGCAGCUUGCUCGUGUCUUCCAUUGACUGUGGGCGCUGGAACUUGCUGGCCAACACUCGGCAGAAGGAAGCAGAGCUCGCGGACGUGGAGAACAAGAGAUGGUGGGAAUGGCAGAGAGCGUGGGAAGGGAGCUUCGACCAAAACGAAAGAAAGAAAAGGACAGAUGCAAUUGGUCUUCAGCUCAUCGCACGAAGGGAGAGAGGCGGUGGAGAGGCGUGUGAAGGAAGCCAAGGAGGGGCCCAAUAUCCUCAACCCUUAGCCAUUCCAUUUACUCCCUUGUCCCCUAUUACUUUCUACUAAUUUAAUUUUCACAAACUAAUCCAAAAUGAAGCCAAAAAAAUGCUGUCCAAGCAUAAUUCGAAUUUCACACUUUAGUCUUCAAUCUCUCCAUUCAAUUUCGUCACCAAUUCUCUAAGUCGAGGUCCAAUUUCGCCAAGGAAAAAUCCCGAACAAUUUUCUGUAAGUCCCUGACGCUCACAUGCUCAGUUUAGAAGUCCCAAUUUCCAUCGAUUUAGCCCAUCUGAAUUUCCGCUGAUUUUCCGUAACGUCCGAAUCAAUUUUCCGCAAAAAUCCCGGAAUCUCUGAAAAUUUCUCGGAGAGUGAGUCGAUGUUCCUAAAAUAGCUUGUGACACCUCAGAACUUUCAAUUUCUGAAAUCGGGUUCAAAUUUGCGGUUAUUUUCAAUCCGGCGCGCUUUUAGCGUGACCUAGUCUACCGGAUAACUUUUAGGAAUUUUUGGUGCAAUUGACCCGUGAUCGAUUUAUCUCGAGUCACAAAGUACAUCUUCGACACAUUAGCAACUCUCAGUUGUCGUGAAAAUCUCAAGGUUUCAAUUACAGGCACUGGGUACCAAAACGACAGAAAAUCAAUUUAGUGCCGAUCGAUGAGAAUUUUUUCAAUCAAGUGGAAUCACCCACAAUUUGAUCACAUAUCUCAGUCGAAUCGACCUAUAUUUGAUUUCUGAUCGAUCUCUGACGGUGCCGUAAUGGCCCUUGCAGAUCAACACGGUUGAGCAGUCGAUUCUUGGUCGAAUUCUCAAGUCCAAUUGCAUUUAGAUUCCCUAAUUGUUUCCCCGGAUAGUCCAGUUAUCUCGUGAGUGAUCAGCUCAGAGAAUAUCACUAUUAGCGUUUCGAUGAAAGGCCCGAUUUAUUUAAUCGAAAACAAGUUAUGAAAAUUCAGGCUGUCACACAAAUUUUGGCCGAGUAGAGCCGUGACUGAGAGCAAUGAUUGAUUUGCUAAAAUGACAUGUAAUCAGCUGAGUCGAUUGAUCGCUGAGACGAUCCAAGUGGUUGAAUCGUUUUGAUGAUGUGAUUGUACCAUGGUUGGUAGGUUAUCAUAAUUGUACGUGGUUGAAUUAUAUAAAUUGUGCUAACCUGCAGAUGAGGGCUAAGCCGAGGUAAGUCUUCCAUGUGUUGUGGUUAAGCUACUUCGGGGCGUAUUUACUUUCUAAUAAGGGUUUAGGAGGGGUGAACUUGCUGAGACAAAGUCUCAUCCCGGUUUGGGGAAAAAUAUUACAGGACCGUAGAUGGCAAGACCCCCGGAGAUGAGUGGCCUGCUGACGGAGAUUGACCAGACGACGGAGAGUGCUCCUGACCCUGGGAGUCCUUGGGUCUAUCAGUUGGUUAGGACCCUCAUCUGGGUCGAGGUGAGCGUGCACGACAGAGUACCGUACAUGUUUAGGGCAUGGUUUCGUACCGGAGCAGAUGGUGUUAGGGUCGGCCCCCUAGAUAGCAUGGAUAUUCCGCUGGCAGUCUUGAAUGCCAUCCUGGGUGAAGGUUUGGCGGACCUUCCUACCGGUGGAGUGAUCAACGCCUCGCCCCCGCAAUCUUGGGUGUCGGAUCCUGAGGACGUGGGAUCGUCCAAUGGGGCUGACCUGUAGUUCUAGAGUGGUUGAUUGUUUUUUUUUUUGGUGGACUAAUCCUUGCUAUGUAGGCUGACCCCUUUUUGAUGCACAUAAACCCUAACCCAUUUUUGGUGCAUAGGCCCUGGAUCCGGUUGAUGUAUGUAAGCCCUGGAUUGUUGAUGAUGUAUGAAAGUAUGUUGUUUGAUUUUGAGUUGAUGUUCCUGCUGUCCUAUCCCGUAUGCUUUUGUAAGGGGUUUCUUAGUACGUUCCGCUUGCGCAUUAAAAAUUAAAAUCAGGGUCGGCGACGCUACCUGGGAAUGUCGCAUUUGCACGACCAUGGCGGGUUGUUCACGUGUCUCGGACUUCGGGGCGUGACAAGCAGUCAAUUGACGUUUCACUCCAUGAAUUUUACAAUAAUUGUCAAAUUCAUUGGAAGUAAACUCUCCACCUCUGUCCGAUCUCAAUGUCUUUAAAUUAAAGCCACUAUGUUUCUCAACAUAGACUUUGAAUUCUUUAAAUUUGCCAAAAGCUUCGGACUUUUCUCUCAAAAAAUAAGCCCAUGUUUUUCUAGUAAAAUCAUCGACAAAAAUUAGCGUGUACCUUUUUUGUCCAAAUGAUUCCACCUCAACAGGGCCACAGAUAUCUGUAUGUACCAACUCGAGAGGUUGCUUGGCUCUUCUAGCUCUCCCAAUUGGAAAAAAUUUCCGAUGUUGCUUUCCAACGAGACAUCCUUCACAUGAGCGGUCUGGAGCGUUGAUCAAGGGCAUGCCAGUCACCAUCUUUUUCUGGACUAGUAAUUUAAGUCCACGAAAAUUUAGAUGACCGAACCAAAGAUGCCAUAGCCACUUGCUAUCUUUUGUUGUUGCUUGAAAACUCAAUAGAGUCUUUGUCUGAAGGGAUAGAGGAAACAUCCGGUUCUUCGUCAUUUGUGUCGUCGUAAUCAACUUAUUGUUUGCGCCUCUAAUGGUGCACACACCAUUUUCAAUGUUAACUUUGUGGCCUUUUUCGGAUAGUUGCCCAACACUUAGCAAAUUCCAAAAGAGUCCCGGUACAAAGUAAACGUCUGCAAUAGUAACAUUAGUACCAUCUUUUGAGUUGAUAUCAAUGUUACCUUUGCCCAUCACGAGAAUUUUGGAUUUAUUCCCGAAGUUGACUUCACCACGAACUGUUUCAUCUAACUUCGAAAAUAGCUCCUUUUGACCACACAUGUGAUUGCUGCACCCGGUAUCAAGGUACCAAAUUUUUGUGUCCAUGGUACUUGAGUCAUCCAUUUGGCAUGCUAACACCACGCCUUCAUUUGCAUCGACAACAUGCACAUAUUCUGGCUGCUCUUGCCCCCUGUUUGCUCGACAUUCGGAUUUGUAAUGUCCGAAUUUGUUACAGUUAAAACACUUGACUUUUGAUUUGUCAUGUGUUUGAUAUCUUUUAGUGGAAUUCAGAUUUCCACCUCUACCUCGGGCACCACCACGACCUCCACGACCUCGGCCACCAUGAUGACCUCCUCGAUUUGAUUGAGUGACCCGACUCUGCAGUGCUUGCUCAGAAUUCGAACUGAUAGACUUCUGGUUCAUUCUUUGCUCAUGCGAACAUAAUGAACCCAUCAACCUCUCCAACGUCAUGGUUGAUAUAUCUUGGCCUUCUUCGAUCCCCGCAACCACGUAGUCAAAUCUUUCAGUCAAAGACCUCAAGAUUUUUUCUACGACUCGCACAUCUUGGAGCUCUUCACCAUUAACCCUAAGUUGGUUAACGAUGGUUUGUACACGAUCAAAGUAAGCCGAGAUAGAUUCAGAGUCAUUCAUGCGUAAAGACUCAAAAUCUCCUCGAAGUGUUUGGAGCCGCACCCGCCUGACACGAUCAUCACCUUUGUAGGAUUUUUGCAAUAUAUCCCAUGCUUCUUUCGCUGUCUCAGCACUCGAUAUUUUUUCAAAUAUCGUCUCCUCCACAGCUUGAAAGAUCGCAUAUAAUGCUUUCUAAUCUUUCUUUCGAGAUUCCACCAACGCUUCUUUCUCCUCUUUCCUCAAAGCAUUGAAUUCUUCAGCAUCAGCUACUUCGGUGUAGCCGUUCUCCACCAGGUUCCACAAGUCUUGGGACUUGAAUAGAACCUUCAUCUGGACGAACUAGUUGUUGUAAUUUUUUCCGUUCAACUUUGGAAGUUGCAUCUGAACGGAGCUAGUGGAUGCCAUGGCUAGCUCUGAUACCAAUUGUUGGAACCAAAAGGAUUUGGAGGGAGAGAGUACACACACAAAGAGAGAUUAUAUUACACAAUAUGCAUUUGUAAAGGCUUAAGAGAGUACACACACUAACUUUGCUAAGCUUAAAACUCUCUCUAAAAUCUCACUUUCUCUCACUUUUACAGACACUCUCACACUCUAAAAAAAAACUAACAUAACCCUAUAUUUAUAAGCAUUUUCACCACCAUUAACUUCAACAUGCAAGAGUUGAAGUUGAACUUUUCUUCUUGGCCAAGGAGUCAACAAUUGUGGGCUGAAACUUUUCCUUCACGUUCAAGUUUCCAAAGUUGAAGCUUUCUUCCUACUCUUCAAGUACCACUUGUAGCUUCUUCAAGAAUUCUCUCCUUUGCAGCCCACUUUUCUUUGGCUUUUUACAAACCGACUAACUCUUGCUUUCACACACUUAGCCAAAAAUAAUUAAAAGACAAAUAAGAUAAUCAAAACACAAAAACAAUUUUACUAUUUUCUAACAGUAUCGCGGAGGCUGAACGUUUCUAUAUCUGUUGGAAUUCAGAACAUCCCAAGUGGAAGAUUAAGAUUUGGUUUGUAUAUUUCCAGAAGGCAAAGGAAUCUACACCGUCAAAGGAAAUUGCUUAUCAAUCAGACGUUGGGUUGAGCAAGAGUGUCAGGACGGAUUGUUUAGUACCUGCCGCUCGUGGUGGUCUGCACUAGUAUUUGCACCAUUCAAAGAUUGGUUACUUUUGUGCUAAUGUGAUCUCAUCUCUUUUGCUCAUUUCAAGAAACGUGAUAUUCUUUCUAGAGCCUGGAACUUCAUUUGAUCAUUGCGAUGGAAUCUAUCUUGGUAAUUCAUGUUGGUACUCAUAUCCUUGUCAUUUUGUUGAACAAAAUGUUGCAUUUGAUCAAUAGGCUAUUUUCCUUGUCUUACCCGCUCAGAAGAAGUAGAUAUCAAAAUUAGUGUUCUCACAUGGAGAUGGACAACUUGGAGAAUGCAUGUGUCACUCUUAAUCAAUCUAACCCCAUGAACAGACCUAGACAAAAUUGAGUUUAACUUGUUAUCAUAGUAGAAUUGACCCUAACCUGUUAUGAUAGUAGAAUUGACUCUAUGCACACUUGAUGACACGUCUUCAUUGGUCAAAGAGUUGUAAGGCAUUGACGUAGGAAUAGGCCAACUAGGUUGUUCAUGUCCAGAUCAAUUAAUUUCUACUUUAGUAGGAUUCAAAUAGCCGUGGCACCGCCUGUGGGCUUGUGUUUACUCUCGAUUGUUGGUAUUCCGAAGCCAUCUUGCAAGAUCCACUUUGGCUAGACAACAUAGGAAAAUCAUAAAAGAUUUUUCUUUAAUGAAAAAUAUUACCUUGCGCCCUAUGCCAGACGUAUAGAGAAUGAAAUUUAAUAACUUGUCAUGUUGCAACAUGGAGAUAUAAUGUUUUUAUAAAUGUUGAGGAAUCACAGUACAGAGGUUAUAUGAUUGGAUGUGUGAUAUGCUUAAAGCGUGUCAAAAGAGGAGAGCUGGAUUUGUGAAAUUAUAGUCAGAAAAGAGGGGGAAAAAGCUAGGGAAAGUUUCAUGUUCCAAAGUUUGUGUGCAUCAAAGAAGUUGUGGUGAUGAUGAAAAACUUAAUCUAUCUUCUCUAUACACAAGAUCUCACGCCUUCAUGGCCAAAUAUAGAAGGGAAAUUGCCAUGACUCUUCAAAUGGCCAAAAAAGUUUUGCCGCCUCUCUACCGUUGGAUGUGCAAGAGAUGCAUCAUUGAUCGGGAGACAACAAGCUAAUCCUCACCAUUAGAUCGACAAUUGGAUUUUGCUCGAUAACUUUGUAAUGCAAAAUUCCACAGCGAGUUAAGAAGGUCUUGCAUCAUACUGAGUGAAAAGGUAGUAAAUCCAAAACCAAGAUUAUAGUCUCUCUCCCUUCACUUAGGCUUCUGAAUGUGAAGCUGGCUAUUAUUAACUUGUAACAAAAGAAAAUCGCAUUAAUGAAGCUCGAUAGCAUAACUAGUACAAUGGCUAACGAGAUGAAACAUUUACUCGAUACUUCCAGUUUCUGUUUGCCCGGAAAAGCGGUAUAUAUAAAGUCCUAAACACCACAAUUCAUUAUUUCUGACUUUAAUUUUGUACAUUGAUAGCAUGAAAAAAAAAAUCAUUACACAAGAAGUGCAAGCACUAACAUGUAUACUGUAUAUAAUUUUAAUAAAAUGAAUGCGUUCCAUUGAUGUUCCAUUUUAUCAUCACUUGUUUGAAAAGUCAUCGCACCAGCAUCGUACCUUAUUUACUCCAUUACUUUCAGCAUUUGUAAGUAGCAACAUGAGCAGAAUUAUAUGAGAAGAGGCAUUCAGCUUGAGUGAGAUGCUUGAUGGGUCAAGAGAGUUGGAUGUGAAUGAAGAGAAGCCAUUGGUUGAAGAAUCGAUGAUCGAAUUUCGAGAAAAGAAUGUUUUUGGAAAACAAAUUACCAUAAGCACUUGGGUCUUCAAAGGUUUGCUUGUUGUUAAUUGAAUAGUAAACAAUGGAAUUGAUGAUCAACUUAAAUGAAAGUGCCAUCUUUAAUUGUGGGUCUCAAACUCAGGCAACAAGUUGGACGGCUACCUCAAGCUCGGCUUAAUUAGAAUCAUCUCUAAAAUUGAUUGUAUCAUAUUUAUAUCUGAAGCAUGCCUUUUCUUUCUCAAUAAUGAACUAGAAAUUUAACCGUGUUAUUUCAGUCAUUGAGUAUUAUAGUUUUGAAACUCAUGCAUAAAUUAUCAUAAUUUAUUCAUUAUGUAAUUUGCCCUCUUUGUUCGUUUCAUUUUCCCUAUCAUCCUUGUGGAUUAUUUUGUAAUUCUCGGAAAAAAAAAUCUUUGACUCCUAUUUAAGUAAGGGCUAUUUUGACUUUGUAGAUAGCAAACUUGUAAUUGAUUGACGAGGUUUAAAAUUGAAGAAGGUACAAAAAAAUUCAAAAUGAAGGAGUACGCAAUGAGUGAUAAAGUGACGGGUGGUUCUAUAAACAAAUGCAGGGAUUAAAAAUUUUACUUUUAAUUGAAUCUUUCAACAAAGUGGACUAGUAAUUUCUGGAAACAAGAAUUAUGGCCCAAUAGCUCAUGGAUGGCUCCAAUGUUGCUCAUGGACCUUUCUAGCGAAUUGAUAUUUUGUGGCUUCAGAUUUGUUUCUUGGAGUAAGUUAAAUUAUGUAUCGGCUAAAAGGAUUAAUUAGGUUAUACCAGAGUACAAAUACCAAUUUGGUCAAAAUUCAAUUUCAAAGACUAAUUGAACAGUAAUUAAAAAUUUAGGGGCCAACUUUUAUUUUCCCUCUCAUCCUUGUGGGCUUCAAAUGCGUAAUCUCUCUUUAAUUCCACUGGCAGUAGAGUGAGCUCGUCACUUGCUCGUAGAAGACGCAAAAUUCUUGGGGGUUGCGAGGGGACAAGUGAAGGGCAUGCGAGAGGAGGCGAAGGUGAAUCCAAUGCUUCUCGAAGGACGCUGAUGCAAGACAAGUUGAAAUGAGAGUCAUUGCUCAUGGCAUCGCGUCAAAGUCGACGCUAAAAAAGGGAAGAUCCGAGUAUUUUCGACUCCCUGCUAGGUUCUUGACAAAAUGCCCAUGUGAGUUGAAACUGUGUUCGAGCUCACGUAAUAGAAGCGGCAUGUUGUUCUGGGUUUGGAUAGUUCAAUUCUUGCGUUUGGAUGAACAAUGACGUAAAAAAUAAACUCAACAAGAAAAAAGAAAAACCGUGAUUAAGAAAAGACCAAGUGGCAUUUCCAAUAUAUCUUAAACGAAGGGACGAGCAACAUGGAGAAAAACGACAAAGCAACGGUGGUUGAAGCAUUGAGGCACCUUCUCAGGUCUCUUCUUAGUUCUUAUAAUUUCUUCAGCUCCUGAGCUUUGGUCUCUCUUUUCAAUUUUUUGCAGUUGUCCACCAAAGUGACCCAAAAAGACAAAAAAGUUAAAGACAAAAACAAGAGACAAAGCAAUUGGUGGUCGAAACGUGAAGCAUGAAGCAAGAAGCAACCUCCCUCUUUUUUCGCAAUUCUUUAUAGGAUUCCUAUAAUAAAUUCCCCGCUCCAACUGCUCAUUUCUUUUUCUUUCCUUGACAGAUUCUGUUUAUUGGCUACCCUCUCAUGUGCAUUGGUCUUUCUUAACAAUUUAUUUUCUCACAGUUAUCCGGGCGAAAGUAUUUCCUGUAAAAGUUGUUUCUUCGUCCCUUUGGAUGCUAAUCAUUAAAUCUGGAAGGGAGAGGUCGCAUCAUAAUGUCAUGGAAAACCUUCUCUAAACAUGUGAAUGGAAGCAAUGAGAGGGAGCGAGGGAAGAGAGAGAAUCCUUUCUCCGGCCAAUUUCGACAGCUUUUUAUCAAUUUAUUAGGAUCUUAAUAAGGAAUCAUUCCCCAAUACUUAUUAGUCAUAACUAACAGAAAAAAAUUUCAUUUUCAAUGUACUAAUUAUACAUAACACAAGAAAACAAUGGUUUGAAAAUGAAAUAUUUUUUUAGUGGAUACAUAACAAGUAUUUUUAAAGCACCCAUUCAUAAAAUUCAAUUUGUAAGGAGAAAUCUCUUGCAUUUCAUUUCUAGUACAGUGAAAAAUAUGUUCUGUCUUCAAGUGUAUGUCGAGAACUUUUGAUGAAGUUCCCAUUAAGACCUUUUGUCAAUAAAAAUUAUAAAAUUAAAUGGGUAGGCUUCUUUUAUCAAGGCUGACUCUUCCUAUGGUCCCUCGUUGUUACUUUGCAAGGUCCUCGGGUUUUUAUUAUAUUUAAAGAAUAGAUAUAAUUGAUUUGCAAAGGGAUGUAUUAUAUACUCUUGCUGAUGACAUGCAACGAAAGGCUAAUCACGUUCAUCCAUUCUUUCUCACAAAAAACUUCCACCUAUAAAGAUUGGUUUAUAAAGAGAUGUAUUGUAUACUCUAGGGGUAUCUCCAUUUUUCUGAUAAAUUCCGCAUUGCCUAUACAGAAAAGUUGCGAUAUAUUCUUUGGGGAAUCUAAAGACAUUGUGGAAGUUUGGCUAGAGAAAUGUGAGGUGAAAGAUUUAAUUAAAAUGCCAAAACUACAGGACUUGUUCGUUCGCAAUUCCUACGGUCCUGAAAAGCUGGAUAUAACUCCAGAACUUGGUAAAUCUAUCUUCACGUGCCUCAAUUUUAUCUCCUUUUGUUUCAUUACUCCUUGGAAAGGAUUUAGACUAGAUGAUUUGCAUAAAACGUCGAGUAAUUCAAUGCUUGUAAAUCAUACUUAUAUAGGUGAAUCGAGAAUUUGCCGGAAUACAAGUAUUGACCCCUACAUCUGUGGAGGUUGGUCUUGGCUAGGUUGGGGCAUUUAGAAAGAAGGAGAGCUCCUAAAGGAACCAUGCCAUGUCUUUCUCAAGUUGGGAUCAAUGUUUGUCCCAAAUUGAGGACUGAACCCAAAGGAUCUGCAUAUGCAACAUUGAGGAAAAAAUUGUGGAGGCCAUUGAAAAGUCGUACAUAAGGAUUGACAACCCAAAAAAGGGUUCCAUUAAAAUUGUUUUAUGACUUUUAGAGCAUAUAUCCCUAUAUUUAAAUAAUGAAGUAUAUAGAUAUGAAUAUUGGUUUACAGAGAGACGUACUAUAUACUCUUGUUGGUGACAUGCGGAGAAAGCUAAGAACUCUUGAGAAGGCUAAUCACAUUCAUCCAAUUCUUUCUCACUAACAACUUCCACAUCUAAAUAUUGGUUUAAAAAGAGAUGUACACUCUUGAGGUUUCUCCAUCUUCUAGAUAAAAUUCUGCAUUAUCGGUUAAAGAAGCUACGGUUGUAUUCUUUGAAGAAUCUAAAGAAGUUAAGGAAGUUUGUCCAAAGAAAUGCAAGGUGAAAAGUUUAAUCAUACUGCCAAAAAUUACAAAAGUUGUCCGUAUGGAAUCUGCACGGUCUGAAAAAACGGAUAUAUUCUGGAACUUGGUGAAACUACCUUCAAACCCCUCCAAUUCACCUCUUUUGUUUCGUUGCUCCUUGGCAAGUGUUUAGACUAGACGAUUUGCAUAAAAAGUCAAGCAAUCUCUAUGCUUGUAAACUAUACUUACAUAGCCGAAGAUGAGUUUGCCAGAGCACAAGCAUAUACCCUUGCAUCUGAGGAGGUUGGUCUUGGUCAAGUAGUGGAAUUUACAGGAUAGGACGUCUGUCCCAAAUUUAGGACUGUUCCCGAAGGGAUUUGCUUAUGCAACACCGAAGAAACAUUGUUAACGCCAUUGGAAAGCCGCAGGAAAGGACUGACCUCCUACAAAAAUGGUUCCGUAAAAAUUUUUCUGAACCUAAUCCCAACAAAAAGUUUCAAUUUCCAAUUAGGAUCAAACUUUAAAGUAUCAUGCUUUUUGAACUGCAAAAUCUUGGUAAUUUUGACAGCUCUCGCGUGUAGUUUGAACGUCAGGAAAUUUCCACAUCACAAUUGGGAGGUUGCCCACUAAAUGUCACCAAUUGCAUAUAAAUUGUUUUGAAUUCGGUCACCUAUAAUUGUCAAAGACAGGAUUGGGGGAUUUAUAUAGUCUUCCAUGGGCUUCUUGAUGCCUAUGCCCUAGAUCAUAAAAAAAAAAAAAAAAAAAACAAAAAAACAAAAAAACAACCUAUCACUAAUUUUUUUUUAGGAUUUUACGAGAAUAGAUAAUACAAAUUACACAUAUCAUCCAUUAAUAUAAAGGAGUAGAUAGCAUUUUGCAAUCACAUGUUAAAGUAUUCAAAAUUGUUUCUCUCGUGAAGCUGUGAUUAUAAACAUGUGGUCCUUUCCCACACUCACAGUCUCGAAUCAAAACAUCUAAUUAUCAAGUAACCGCAAAAUGGCUUAAGCACUUUGCCAAAUCUUCAAGUAAGGAGGUCAUCCUUUUUCUCAAAAUUUUUGUUAUUUUCAUGAUGAGUCGUUAAGAGAGAAGUGAAUAUAUAGAGUUUUCAAAUUAUACGAUCAUCACAACUUACCCUUAAUUUUGAGGAGUUGAUUUAAUUAACAUUAUGAGUCUCGCCGGUUUGUGGGUGCAUCCAUGGGAUGGUACGGACCCGGAUAAUACAUCUGUGAUGGUUUGUUUUCCCACGACUAAGAAACAAAAAAAGUUGCUGUUAGCAUAAGCCCAAGUCUGAAAAAAAUUAAAAAAGAAGAAGCAUAAGUCCAUGUGAAGCCCAUCUUUUGAGGGCACACUGAACGAAAUUAUGUCCCUUUUGACUGCACAUUAAACGAAAACUUGUUUCCUUUUGAUGACGCAAAAAACGAAAACUAUGAUGGUGAACUACCGCGAUCAGCCCAUGGGAAACCAGUCUGGAAGCUGAAUUCUUGCCAUCAGCCCAUGUGAAAUCAAUUUCAAAAAAAUUAUGAUGCUGAACUCUUGCCAUUAGCCCAUGUGAAACCCAUCUUCUGAGGGCACGCUGAACGAAAAUAUGAUUCCUUUUGACUGCACAUUCAUCAAAUGAAGAUUUGACUCCUUUUUUUUUUAAACGAAAAUUAUGAUGCUGAACUCUUGCUAUCAGCCCAUGUGAAACCAUGUGUAAUCAAUUUUAAAAAAAUUAUCACGCUGAACUCUUGCUAUCAGCCCAUGGGAAACCAUGUGGAAUCAAUUUCUAAAAAAAAAAGCCCAUGUGAAACUAUGUGGAAUCAAUUUUUAUAAAAAUUAUCAUGCUGAACUCGUGUAAUCAGCCCAUGUGAAACCUUGUGGAAUCAAUUUAAAAAAAUUUAUCAUGCUGAACUCUUGCUAUCAGCCCAUGUGAAACCAUGUGGAAUCAAUUUUAAAAAUUAUCACGCUGAACUCUUGCUAUCAGCCCAUGGGAAACCAUGUGGAAUAGAUAUUAAAAAAAGCCCACGUGAAACUAUGUGGAAUCAAUUUUAAAAAAAAUUAUCAUGCCGAACUCUUGCAAUCAGCCCAUGUGAAACCAUGUGAUAUAAAUUUUAAAAAAAUUGUGAUGCUGAACUAUUGCGAUUAGCCUAUGUGAAACCAAAAAAAUUUUCGUUCCCGAUGUCGCUGGGCGGAUGAAAGAGCAGCGUCGUUUUGAGCGGCCUAUUUUAACUCUGACUCGAGACCAAGGGCAGCUAGUAAUUGAGCACCUGCAAAAUCUCUGCCAUAAGCUCCACUGAUCGUUAUCAAGUAGUGAAUACCAAUGGCUGAGUCUGUUGUAUCGUUUGCGGUAGAGACAAUAGGAAAGCUGCUCAUCAACGAAGCCAAAUUCUUGUGGGACGUGGAGGGCAAGGUCAUGGACCUGCAAAACGAGCUGAAGCUGAUCCAGUGCUUGCUGAGGGAUGCGGACACGAAACAAGAGCACGACCAAACUGUUCGAGAAUGGGUCGCGCAACUCCGAGACCUUGCCUAUGAUGCUGAGGACGUCAUCGAGCAAUACAUCCUCAGAGUCGUGCCGAAGAAGGGACAAAACAUAAUCAAAGCGUAUGCUUGCUUCAUGGCGAAGUGCUCGUGCGUGCGAGCUCAUGGUGUGGGGAUAAAGAUUGAUGGCUUAAGAUCCAGCAUCUCCAAUCUUAGAACGAGUAUGCGGGAUUAUGGCAUAAAACCUCUGAAUGAGGGCAAGCACAAACACGCGAGAGCUUCGACGCCGAAACUGACUUAUGCCCAUUUCGAGGAGGAGGAUUUUGUCGGAAGGGAAGAUAGUAUCAAGUUGUUGGUGAACGAGCUGUUGAAGGAUGGUAAACAACACAGAGUUAUUUCCAUUUGUGGAAUGGGUGGUUUGGGUAAGACCACACUCACUAAGAAAGUCUUUGCUCAUGACGAAGUGAAGAACCAUUUCGAUAGUUUUGCUUGGGCUUGCAUAUCUCAAGAAUACCACGUGAGGGAUAUAUUGGAGGGAAUUCUUGUUAAGUUGAUCCCUGAUGAAAGAGAACAGGUUAAGAAGAUGAGAGAUGACAAAUUGUUAGAAACUCUAUACAUGACCCAAAAACAGAAGAGAUGUAUUGUGGUUCUUGAUGAUAUUUGGACCAAACAGGCAUGGGACAGUCUUCGUGCCGCAUUCCCAAUCAAGGACACGAGAAGCAAGCUAUUGAUAACAACCCGCAAUAAAGAAGUAGCGCAGCAUAUUGAUCCUCAUUGUUUUCUCCAUGAACCUCAGUGCUUAUCACACGAGGAGAGCUGGGAUCUGCUAAAGAAGAAGACGUUCCCUGAAACAAAAGGUAAGACUUCUCUAAAGUCAUUAACCUAACAUAUAGUGGCUUCAAAGGAUUAUAUUGCCUAUUUGAUUCUAAUUUAUGGCGCUUCUAUAAUUAUUGUCAAUGUAGCUAUUGAACCUUCUUCUGUUGGACUUGGAGUUGGUCGAGGUAUUGUUGCCGAUCAAGCUGUAGAAGGUAUUGCAAGACAAUCAGAGAUGGAGGGACAAAUACCAGGUAGUUCAUUGCUCAAUUUGGCCUUUUGGAAGCUUUUGCAAUUAAUGAAUCGAUAGUUACAGUGGAGUUUAGAUGAUCAAUAUUAGGCACCAUAAUUUAAACAUUUAAGGAAUCGGGUGCACCUUUUGCUUCACCUUUUGCUUCUCAAUAGCUGACAAUUUUACCUCCAAGCCAACAUCCAAAAUUUUUCUCCUUGUGUCCUCCGAUGAGGAUAAAUAUCGGAAAAAGCUUUCAUUUGGCCAUCAUAAUAGGCAAUUUUGAUAGGAUUUAUGAAUUAAUGUGAAGCCUAGCUAUGUUACUUCUUCCAUAGGCUUCAUUUUAGGUCCACCUUUCCUUGCAUUUGUGAAUAAUUGGUUUAAAAAUAAGACUUGGGAUUGUUGCUAAAAUUGUGAAUCUUUAUGCAACAAAAUAGAGUGACAAUAUGAAGAUUUCACUAGAAUUUCUAGGGAGAUCAGUGGCACACUCAAGUCACUAGGGAUAUCCCCGCACUGCUUUCAUUUUUCUUCAUUGAGUAGCAUUAUUUUUGUUAUACACUUGCUCAAGUCAAUUAAUUCAAGCAACGGAUAACAAAGACAAUACAUUCCAUUAGUUAAUUUAGUGUUCUUGAUCUUUCAAGCAUAGAUGGAGGCAUAUAUAGCAGCUUUGUUGGGGUCUCCAUAGUUUUUCUCCUUACAAAAACAUAAAUGAACCACAGAACAUAAGGAACUAUGACAUCUAAUUCAUAUAUUGAAAAGCAAAUAUUUGUCCUUGACGUUAUCUUCUUAUGACAUCGCAUCUUCCUAUUACUAUCUACUUUCAUUUUUUUACUUGAUAUUAUGUAGAAAUCACUGAAGACAUGAAGGAGUUAGGAGAUGAACUUCUUAAGAAGUGUGGGGGAUUACCUUUGGCUGUUAUUGUGCUUGGUGGACUUUUGGCAGUCAACAAGUGGGAGAUGGUUUACAAAAACAUCAAUUUGCAUUUUCGUGAUGAGAGCGGUGUAUUAAAAGUGUUGGCCUUAAGCUAUGAUGAUCUACCAUGGCAUCUAAAGCCAUGCUUCCUCUAUUUGGGUGGCUUUCCGGAGGAUUUAGAAAUCCCUGUAAAGAGAGUCCUUCGAAUGUGGAUUGCUGAAGGCUUUGUGCUGGUCGAUUCAUCUGAUGAAGAGGGAGAAACUACAAUGGAAAAUGUAGCAGAGCAAUAUUUAAUGGAGUUGGUUAAGAGGGGACUAGUCCAAGUACGACUCAACUUGAUUGGAAAUAUCAAAACCUGUCGCCUCCAUGACCUGAUGCGAGAAUUAUGUGUCUUCAAGGCUAGGCAUGAGAAGUUUCUAAGCUUUCAUAACAUUCAAUGGGACAAUGAAAGGGAGGGUAGUUCUUCUUCAAAGGCAGCAGAAGUUGAGGCAACUUGCAAGACAUGGAGGCUUUCUCUUUAUAUGCGUGAGAUUGGUGAAGGACAGGUGACUUCAAGGGUGGAACAAAUAAAGGCUAUGCCCCACCUUCGAACUCUUAUGUUCUUCUCGUUUGGAAAAUCUACCCAAUGGAUGUUGGAGCAAUUUCAACCUAUUUUUGUCAACUAUAAGUUUCUUAGAGUUUUGAAACUGGAACAUAUUUUUGUGGUGGGAGGAAAUUUACCUGAAUCAGUGGGAGACCUAGUCCAUCUAAGAUUCCUAAGUUUAGCAAAAAGUAAAUUCGAGGGCUUACCGCAAUCUAUGGGGAACCUUGUAUGUAUGGAAUUCUUGGACUUGUUUAUGGAUGGAUAUGCUAGGGUUUUCAUGCCAAAUGUGUUGUGGAAGAUGAGAAGGUUGAGGUAUCUCCGUCUUCCUUACUACUUUGAUGUCAAGGAGAAAUUCCAUGGGGCCCGGAAGAAGUUGCGGUUGGGCACUUUAAAGAAUCUACGGACAUUGAGAAACUUCAGUCCGAAGAAAUGUGAUGUAAAUGAUGUAGGCAAGCUUAGCAAUUUGCAAAAAUUGAAUGUCUUUGUUUGGGAUGAUCCUAUCAAGCUAGAGAUAUUUCCGCAAAUUGCUGAAUUCAAUUUCAAAUAUCUUCGAUCCUCGUCUUUUUAUUUCAAAAAUCAUCAUUCUUUAUGGAUUGAAGGUGAAUUGAAUAAAAUGUCAAACUAUCCCUAUUCUUGUAAGCUAUCCAUUUUUGGAAAUAUAGAGAAGUUACCGGAACAUAAAAAUCUACCCCAGCAAUUGAGGAAGCUGGUCUUACUAUUUUCUCGACUCGAAGAAGAUCCGAUGCCAAUAUUGGAGAAAUUGCCUCACUUGGUUGUUCUCGUGCUGGGAAUUUUCUCUUUCGUGGGAAAGGAAAUGGUUUGCUCUGCAGGAGGCUUUCCUCAACUCAAGCAUUUAUUUUCUUAUGGAUUACCUUAUCUGGAGGAGUGGAGGUUCGCUAAAGGAGCCAUGCCUCAUCUUUCUCGAUUAGGGAUCUCCCAUUGUGACAAAUUGAGGGUGGUACCUUCACAUGUCUCUACAUAUGACUGUUGGAACGAAAUAUCCAAGGAGAUGAGGAAGUGCGGCGAAAUUUGAGAGAGGGAUAUUGAUGUGGGUGGCCAAGGCAAGGGUGGCCCCAGCUGUCCGGCGAGAGAGGAGGGAGGGAGGGAGGGGCGCGUGAGCUUGUGGGUUGUCACUUGUCAGGGCGGUGGGCCCCCCAGAAUAAUUAGCAGAUGUGGAAAAUUAAAAAAUUGAUGAAUAACCGCAAUGCUGCAUAUAAUUGAUGAGAGUAAAAUAUCUGUAAGUGAGAAGGGGAUCAGUUAGUAAAGAAGCGUCUCGACAGAGCUCUUUGCACUGCUACUUGGAGAACAAUAUAUCCUAUAGCAGAGAGUAUAGCAUUACCACCUAUAGGGUCUGAUCAUAGCCCUAUCCUAGUCACACUUAACCCGCAAUGGAAGAAACAUGCACAGAGAUUCAAAUACGAAGCAUUCUGGGCUGAGGAAGAAGAAUGUACACAAGUAGUCAAGGAAGUUUGGGCUGAUCCCGGUAGCCAACAACUAACAGUGGUGGAAAAAUUACAAAUUACAGCAAACAAGUUGAUGAAGUGGAGCAAAAACCGUUUCUCAAAUGCCAAAAUGAGACUUGCAUGGCUAACAAAUGAACUUCAAAUUUUGCUGAAUAGAACGGGCGAACUACAAGAAAGUGUAGCAGUAAAGAAAAUUACACAAGAAAUAGAACAACUGUGGAGACAAGAGGAGAUGUAUUGGGGCAUGCGAUCCAGAAUUCGAUGGCUCAAAUGGGGUGAUCGAAAUUCCAAAUUCUUUCAUGCCACAGUAAUACAGAGAAGGAUCAGAAACAGAAUAUCCAUGCUGAAGAAUGAAGAAGAAGUAUGGGUAAGAGAGGAGCAACAUCUAAAGGAAAUGACUGGGAAAUACUUCCAAAACUUAUACCAAUCAGUAGGCUCCAGAGAUUUUCAGCCUCUACUACAGAGUAUUCCUGCCUUGGUGGACGAGAAUAUGAAUCACGGGUUAGUGGCAGAUGUCUGUAUGGAGGAAAUAACUACUGCAAUGCAACAAUUAGGAGCAACUAAAGCUCCUGGACCAGAUGGGCUUCAUGGACUAUUCUUUCGAAGACACUGGGCAGAUUUAUGUCAGGAUAUCCUCAAAGAAACACAGAAUUUUUUCAACACAGGAUACUUAAACCCAGAAAUGAACAAAACCCAUAUAACCCUUAUCCCAAAAAUCCCAAACCCUGAAAAACUUGAGCAGUACAGACCAAUCAGCCUUUGCAACUUCAUAUAUAAAAUUAUUUCCAAAGUGAUGACAAAUAGACUUAAACCACUGCUACCUAGCCUAAUUGCUGAAGAACAAAGCGCUUUUGUGGGGGGUAGGCAAAUCCAAGAUAACAUAUUGAUUGUGCAGGAAGUUUUACACAGGCUGAGAACAAGGGAGAAUAAACGAAAGUUUCAAGCUGUUCUAAAGUUAGACAUGCAAAAGGCCUAUGACAGGAUCGAAUGGGACUUCCUCAGGGCAAGCUUAAUCAAAAUGGGUUUCUGUGAGCAAUGGGUCCAGUGGGUCAUGCAGUGUGUUUCAACAGUUACUUUCAGCAUAAAUUUCAAUGGGGAAUCUCUACCCUACUUCAAGCCUACACGCGGGAUUAGACAAGGUGAUCCACUCUCGCCCUAUUUAUUCAUUUUAGUGGCAAAUGUGCUCUCACACAUGAUGAAACAAGCAAUAGCUGAUGGCACAUUAAGGGGAAUCAAGUUAAAUAGCAGCUGCCCUACUCUAUCACAUUUAUUAUUCGCAGAUGAUUCUAUCUUUUUCCUAAAUGGAACAAUAUUGGAGUGUCAAAACCUAGCCACUAUUAUACAUCAAUACUGUUUUGCAUCUGGUCAGGCUGUAAACCGCAACAAAUCAGGCAUAUAUUUCAGUAAAACCUGCCCGAACAACUUGAGGAGAAAUAUGGCUUCUGAACUACGUGUGACAGAAAUUGAAAAAACUGGGAAGUAUUUAGGAAUGCCGUCGGAUUGGGGGGCUUCAAAGAAGGAUAUGUUUGGAUGGAUUCUUGCCAAGGUUCACAUGAAAUUGCAAAGCUGGAAGGAGAAUUUAUUGACGAAAGCGGGGAAGGAAAUCUUAAUCAAAUCAGUUAUACAAGCCAUUCCUCAGUAUGCCAUGUCUAUCUUCAAAAUCCCUAUUUCGAUUUGCAAAGCUAUAGAGACGAAGGUGGCGAAUUUCUGGUGGAGAAACAGUACCAGGAAUGCUGGGAUACAUUGGAAAAAAUGGGAAGAUCUGAAAAUCAGGAAGGACGAAGGGGGUCUUGGCUUCAAGGAUCUAAUAGCUUUUAAUAAGGCUAUGUUGGGAAAGCAAGCAUGGAGAAUUUCUCAGCAUCCUCAGUCCUUACUAAGCAAAGUAAUGAAAGGGUUGUACUAUCCACAGAGUGAGUUUUGGAAGGCUGGCAAAGGAUCAAGAUCCUCAUGGGGAUGGCAGAGUAUAUUGAUGGGAAGAGACUCUAUUUCUCCGAACAUAAUGUUCUCCGUUGGGAAUGGUAAUGCAAUAUCGACUAGAGAGGACAAAUGGCUUAAAAGCGGAAAGAUUGGUGGCUCGGCUAUGGAUGGGGAACCAAGGCAGGUGGCUGGUCUCAUAGAUCCAGAGACUGGAAAUUGGAAUGAACAUUUGAUAAAAACAUUGUUUGGCGACCAAAAAGUCCAAGACAUAUUAGCAACACCAAUCGGAAUGCCUAAUGAAGAGGAUAGACUGGUAUGGGAGAAGACCAAAUCAGGGAUAUACACAGUUCAAAGUGGAUACUAUGCCAAUAGAGACAAUCCACCAUACAAAAAAGCACAAGUAGGCACUCCAUCAUAUCAAACAGCCAUAGCAACUUCUUCGCAUCAGCCAAAACCAGCAUUAUGGAAGUUUAUAUGGCAAUCAAAUAGCCUACCCAAGAUCAAACAUUUUUUAUGGAAUGCUUGCCACAACGUAAUACCCACAAUGGAGAAUUUAUACAGGCGGAAAAUAGUACCUAAUCCGCUGUGCCCUCUUUGCAAACAGGAAGCCGAAACAGUCGAGCACACCCUGCUGCUAUGCUCCUGGACGACAAGGAUAUGGAAAGCCGCCCCUCUGCACAUCAAAGUGUCCCGAAUAGGGUUAACCAGGUUCGACGAAUGGCUGUACAUGGUAAAAAAAAACCAAACUAGUGCAAAAAAGUUCGACCUUAUCACGGUUACCCUCUGGAGCAUUUGGAAAGACCGCAAUCAGUUCAUAUAUGGCCAUCGCCCUCUGCACCCACAGCAAACGAUUCUUAAAGCCGAGGCUCUACACGAGAGCUUCUCCACUUGGAACAACAAAAAGAAAGGAGACCAACACAGCGAUACCAUACCUCAAAGAUGGAAGCCCCCAUCCCCUGAAUCGCUGAAAAUUAACAUCGACGCCUCAUUUCUCCCAAGCAGCGAUGACGAACCAGAAUCAAGAGGAUACAGGGGAGGAAGCGAGAACAGAGGAGCCAUAGCCUGCUUGUGUCGCGACUCCAGCGGACGGGUUGUUGAUGGAUUUGCGAAACUAGUGGCUGCGUCCACGACAGAACAUGCGGAGGCCAUCGCCCUUCUCGAAACCCUAAUUUUCCUCUCUAACCGAACUCACCUUUCUUUGGAAGUGGUAUCCGACUGUCUCCCACUCGUGCACAGUUGCAACACUCUCGAAGACUUCAGUUGGGAAGCAAAGUCUACGGUGAGCCGGGCCAGAACAAAAAUGAAGCUGUUUCGGGCCAUUUCCCUGGCCCAUUGCAAAAGGGAAUCAAACCAGCCAGCGGAUUGGCUGGCGAAAGCUUGCAGGAACAAUACUCUUCCACAAAAUUGGCUUCAGAAUACCCCACCUGCCCUGUUUGAUUUACUAUGUGCUGAUGGUUUUAAUGUAUUUUCUCCAUAUAUGACUUAGUUAUUUCAAUGAAAUCGUUACUUAUGACCAAAAAAAAAAAAAAUAUCUGUAAGUGAAAAUAGAGGGUAUUGUAUUAUGGCAUUCCUCGACAAAUUAUUUUCCAUGUCUUCUUUCCAUCAUAAAUCAUCAUUCGUUUCGUUCUCUCUCUCAUCCCUGAGGACUUCCAAAUCAGUGGGGGGGUGGAAUCUGUUGUUUCGCUCGCUGUCGAGAGAACUCAGCAACUUUGCUUAUGGAAGACUGCAAAAUUCUAGCGAGCGCCGUGAGGAGGAGGAAGAGGAGGAGGAGGAGGAGGAGGAGGAGCGAAUUCGUUGCUUCUCCAAAAGAAGGCUGGAUGGGGGGAGGCAUCUGAAGAAAUAAGAGUCGUCGCUUAUCGUGGCGUUGGAAGACAGUCAUCGUUGGAAGCUGCUGCAUUGGAGAGGAGAGGAGAGGAGAGGAGAGGAGAGGAGAUCCGAUCAUUUCCAUAGUGCUGGUCAGAUGUUUGACGAAAUGCGGAUGUGGAGUAGGAACUGGGGUACAUUUGUAUCUGAAAUGGGCGUCUUGCUUUCGGCUUGUGCAAUUGAUUUCUUUGUAUAUAUAGACAAACGAUGACGAGAAAUACAACAGUGCAUUUUGCAUCUCCCAGUCUCCUGUAUUUUUUGUUGUUAUCAGUAUCCCCGUCUCCUACAUGUAAGGCCGCAAGCUAUACUUUGGAGAUUCUUUUACGUGUGGUUACAUUUCUCUUUCGCUUUGAACAACGGCGAUGAAAUUGCUGGAUGUAGCGAGAAAGCAUAUGAUUAUUUGUCAAUCGGGGACGCCUGGCAAAUGUUCCUCUUCUCCUGCGACCAAGAACUCGCGGUAUAUAUCAUGGAGGUAAAUAUUAUGAGAGGAUUUUGGCUUUCUCUAACUGGAAUUCUGUUCUCACUUGACUAAUUAAGUCAAAAAGAUAAUAUUCGCUCCAGUAUCCGUUCAGACCUUUGAAGGGUCUCAUAAAAUCUCUUCUGUUGAGUUGCUGAUCUAUGUCCUCUUCAACUAUUAUGAUUGUUUAUCUUCUUCUGGAAUCAAGGACUGAUGUUAAACUUGCACUUACCACAUCUAUGUGUCAUUUGGCCCUUGCUGUGGCUCUGCUGAGUUUGAACUUGAAAAGGUGUGCUCAGUAAGGAAACCUCAUGCUUUAAAAAGUGCUUCAUAGUGUGUGGAAGGAUACAUCCACGUAAAAGCUGUAUUGUGGAGCCUGAACAAUUACACAUGUUAUCUUUUGGAAUGCAGGAUUAUCCCAAGUGGCAAAUGAAGAGUGGGUCUGUAUAUUUUCAAUGGAAAUGGAUAACGACAGUCAAUGCACGAGGGUGUGAAUUUGAAUCUGUUUGCUGCAUCUUCAUUGUAACAGGUGAAGAUACUCUAAACAUUAGUAUGAUGGAUUUUCCAGUUGCCUUCUUCAGUUUCCAUUUCUCAGGAAGCUUCCAAUUAUGAUGAGCUCUCCAUGAAACAGAGAGCUUGAACAUCCGAAUAGCUGAAGGUACUUCAUAAUACACCUAUAGUUUUCUUCAGUACAUAGCUACAAAUGUGAGAUAAAUAGGUUUUCACUUCAUUGUCUUGUACCGGGUUGAGCAUUUCUUCCUGUUGCACAUCUGGUAAAUUGCCUUGACAAUAUUGUAGAGUGGUGAACACAUUAAAAGAUUUUGCAACGAAAGCUUUCAUAAUCAAUGUGGAUCACUUGGGCUCCAUGACCUAUAAGGUCAACUGUCUCCUGGCUGACAAGAUUGAGGAAGCAUCUGCGGUUGAGUUCAUAUUUUCUUGCGUUCGACAGUUGUGCAAUAUAAUUAGGUUUUCCUUGUUUCAUAGUGUUUAGGAUGGGAAGGGCUUGCAUACCCCUCUGAUUUACCAUGUGCUGGGUCUAAUAGAUUGCAACUGAUCAAGAAGAAUCAAGUUUUUCAAAAUGUGAAAUUACUCCAGAUAAACUCCAUAAUGUGCCAGAUUAUAUCAUAUUGUGACAAACUAUUUACUAGAGCAGGAGAGAUUCUAAACAGCAGAAGAAAUCUUGCUUUGACCAAAGUAUGGAAAAUGGCAAGGAGAACAACCAUCCCUUGUGCUAUCAACUUAUUUAUCACAAAGUAACAAAUAGAACUUUCAACAAUGUUAUUGUUUUUCAGAGACUAUUGACGUCUGAGACGUUCAUAGACCCUGGAGGUGUCUCCUAGCACUUGCUAGCGAUAAGAACUCUGAGGGACCUCAUGCGAUAUAUCUUACCAGGCACACUUCCCUUCACAAGAUUUAUCUGUUGUUUUAUUAAGACCAACAUGUCGGUGCUGGCUCAUGCUUAAUAGCUUUCUCUCAGUUUCAAAAGCUAAAGACGAGGAAGUCGGCAAGAGUCUGCGAUAAUACUUGACAAGUGGCUUAAAUGGCAAAAUGUCCAAAUGCUAACGUUGUAUGACCCAUUUUCUGGUUUAACUACCAUAUGCAUAUUGCACAUAACAAGAUCGGUCCAUUAGAUGAAGAAAGAUCACAAGUUAUAGAACUACUUUUCUUGUUCUUCGGAUUUCUUGAGGACAUGAGCUUUUAUGAUUGAUUCUCUUUUGAAUCGCCAUUAUAUCCCCCACAUGAACAUCCAGUACCCAUCGGAACCAGAUGAUCCACUUCAAUAUAUACUCAUGCUGAGAGGAAUAGGAGAACUGAUAUCGAGCUUUAUUCAUGCAAAAACAAACGUCUCUUCAAGGCCUUGCUUAGCAUGCGGAAGUCAAGAAAGGACAGCAAGUUAUCGAAGUUCCUGGACGAGCGCUAAGAAGAACAGGGGAUGAAAGAAAACGGAUAGGCCCAUUAUCACGGUUUCUUUGCACCGCAAGUAUGACCUAUGCUGUAUUUGUUAUGGUAACUUAAGCUAGCUUUAAGAUUUUCAGAAUAAUUUAAUGCAAUAAGAAACAGAAUGAAAAGAAAGUCCUGAUAAAAUUAAAUAAUUUCUACAAGGAAUUCCUUUGAAAGAUGGUUGCUGCUCUAUAGUCUACAGUUCACUCUUGCCUGUUAUUCCAAACAGAGAAAGUAAAGAUUGAAGAAUGUUUAGAAAGCUGAGAUACUGUUUCCUCUCGGUAAUUAAGUAAUGAUAGGCUCACAAGCCACAAUUCACAAGACACAGCUAAGACCAGGCAACCUGGAAGGGACCAAUAAAAUUGCUUAAGCAGCUAUUUAUCAAAAUCACAGGCUGCUUUUCCCUCAGUUUGACUAAGGAGCUGGUGUUACAUGAUCUGCAUGCUAAGACACAGCUAAAACUGGGCAAACCUUCAAUGGCCAGAUAUGUGUUAUCUAACGAAUAUCUAAAGUGAGCAUCUCUCUCGAUAGGAAUCAAACGAGUGUUGUGUACAAACGAACGGUCUAUGAUGCAACUUUGUCCUGCCAUAUAAAUAUUUGAAGACAUGAGAAGACACACAGAAUUAUUUCUGCUUCCUCAGCUGAACUUCUUCACCAUGCUUUCACUUGUCUUUAAUUUAACUAAUAUCUCAGAUUGACACGGGUGGCCUCUUUCCAUUUCGAUAUGUAAACAUAGUGUACCUCAAUAUGUUGAAUGUCGCCGCAAAUACGUUGAUUAUGUUGUAUAACUAAAAUGGUUUCAGAUCAGACACCUGCAAAUGGACUGGGCACUAAAACACUCCCCAUAAAUACAAGAGCUCAACUGUAUGAAUUUCAUAUGCGAUAGGCACAAGAUUUUUGUACACACCAUUCAGAUUCUUAUAGUAGUUAAUACGGUCGAUUGAGCAAUGACCAUUGUUCAAAAUCCAAGAUCAAAACUGGGACACUCGGCCUUCACUUUCAAUUGAUCCUAUCUCCUUCAGGGGUCUUCAAUUCAUCAUUAGCAUCACCACAAGAACUGCAUGAAAGAGAUGCUUUGGAAGCAAGGCUUCUUGCCACAACAAUUGGGGUCAGCUUGCUCGGGAGAAGGCGGGAAGCGAUAAUUGGACCAGAUGUGUACGCUAGUCAUACAGAGCUCAGUGCAAUUGAGAAUGUCCACUAAGUAAAUGCAGAACUAGACUUUGGUUUCCCACAAGCAGUUGCUACCUGCAGCUAAUUUGUUUCUGCUUGCAUAGUAGCUUGCACCAAAAAGUUUCAACAAACAUCGAAACUCAUGAAGUUCUAAUGGCGUUUCAAGAUGCUUAUUGUCAUUUGUCACAACCUUGCCACCAAUGGCUCAAAAAUGGAGCUGAAAGUAUUGAUUACCCUAAAUUUAACAGGACAAGUAGCCGUGGAAUAUGUGGGAGUUGCCAAUUUGAAAGCCCUCCCGUAGAGUGAAAUUCAUUGAAAUCAGAGGAUGAUUAUGAUGAAAUUUUACAAUGUAGACAAGGAAACGUAAACUAUGAGAAAACUAACAUUAAAAUUUGAAAGAACGCUGAAUUGAAAGAAAUCACGGCUAAACCUACCUUUUUCGACUUCAUGAGACUAGGUAACUUUUCGUAACCAAUGUUGUCAGCUAGAUUUCCGAUGCCUCAUACUCCAGUAAAGGAGCGAGGGCAUCACGUCCUCACUAGCUGCUAGCGACGUUGCCCGGAGUUGGCAGGGGCUCUUACGGCCUUGCCCAGGACUUCACAGCCGAGGGCAAGGGUUUCGCAGCCAAUGAGGGUCGCUGGUGACCCUCGUGGCAAAAAAAAAAAAAAAAUUCAAAUCAAAAUAAAAUCACAAUUUUAAAAAAUUAAAAAAAACAAUAAAUUACAUGUAGAAUGAUUUGCUAUAAUUGACGUUCAAGUAAUUAAUUUUACUUUGAUGUGACUUGAGUGAGCGAAAAAAAGUUUUUUGGCACUUCUAGUGUGCUUACCCCUCCAGAUUGCCAUACAUAGCGUUUAGAUCAUGUUUUCAUGCCCUGUGAUUGUAUCAUGUAUCACGUAGUCAGACAAGCUGCUAAUGCAAGCCGCACUUUUUCUAACCAGAAAAACGCACCUCCCCAUUUCUAUUUCAACUCACACGUUCAAGUUCUCUGGCCGAUAAAUCCACAUCUCCAAACCCUUCUAACGCCAAAAAACGAGUAAGCAUCAAUGAAAUUAAGUGCAGCUUAGCUACUAAGCUUUAUUUUUUGUUGGACAUGUCUGGCGGACAUGACCUCUCAUGGCCGAGUCUCUUAAUAUGCCCAUAUGAACAUCCAGUACCCAUCAGAGCCCCGAAGAUCCACUUCAAUGUCUACUCAUGUUGAGAGGAACAGAAGAACUGAUAUCGAGCUAUAUUCCAGCAAAAACAAAAGUCUCUUCAAGGCCUUGCUUAGCAUGCGGAAGUCAAGAAAGGACAGCAAGUUGUACAAGUUCCUGGACGAGAACUAAGAAGAACAGGGGAUAAAGGAAACCGGAUAGACCCAUAUAUGAGUUUCUGUGCAUCGAAAGUGUACCUGAAUAUAUUGAAGAUCACUGUAAAUACAUUGAUUAUGUCGUAUAACUAAAAACGUUUCCGAUCAGACAGCUGCAAAUGAAUUUGGCACCAGAACGCUUCACAUAAAAACAGGAGCUCGACUGUACAGAUUUCAUGUGUGACAGGCACAAAAAUUCUUGCGCACUCCAUCCAGAUGCUUGACGGUAGCAAUAUUGUUGACUGAGCAAUGGAUAUGGUUCAAAAUCCUAGAUCAAAACUGGGACACUCAGCCUUCACUAUCAAUGGAUCUCUAUCUCCUUCAAGGUCCAUUCUUUUAUCACUAGCAUCGCUGUGAGAACCGUGUGAAAGCGAUGCUUCAGAAACAAGAUUGUCACUGCAGCACUUGGGAUCAGCUUGCCCAUGAGAAGGCUGCAAACGUUAAUUGCAGCAGAUGUACAUGCUAGUCAUACAAAACUCAGUGAAAUUGAGAAUGUCCUCAAGGUAAAUAAAGAACUAGAUUUUGGACUGGGAUGCAUUAGAGAAUUCAAGCAAGUCCUCAUGCAUCUAGUUUGAACAUUCCCUGCAAGCAGUUGCUACCUGCUGCUAAUUUAAUUCAGUUUGGCCAGUAGUUUGGACGAAAGAGUUACAUCAAACAACAAAACUCAUUAAGUUCUGAUGGAAUUUCCUGAUGCUGAGAGUCACAAUCUUGCCACAGACGGGUCAAAAUAGAGCUGAAAGAAUCGAUUACUGAAAAUAGAGCAGGACAAGUAGCUGUGAAAUACCUGCGAGUUGGCAAUUGCAAAGUCCCCCAUCAAGUAAGAUUCAUUGAAUUCAGAGGCUAAUUCUGAUGAUAUUUUACAAUGUCAGAUGACGAAACAUAUAUUGCAACAAAGCUAACACUAGAAAUAAAAGAAUGCUGAAGUGAGUGAGAUUGCACUAAACCAACCUUUAGACUUCAUUAGACCAGGUAACUUUUCAUUGUUGGUAGUAUCAGUCAGAUUUCCAGUGUCCACAUUCUCCACUGAAGCCAGCUCAGCAGCUGGCGCUCUUUGUCUUUGAGCUCCAUCACAAAACUUCUCUGGAUCCUGAAGCUCCUUCGUUAGGGAAGCAAAACUUGCCUUCCUUUCAUAUGAAUUUUCAGCAAUGGCAACUUGAUCUAAUGGUUUUCGGAGUACAGAUAGUAUUUGACAGGCUGCAACGAUUUGAUUACAAGGGAUCAUUUGCAAGCUGUAGUAACACACAUAGGUUCCUCCAAUAAACAUGAGAAUUAACUUUCAAAGAAAUUCAAAAUGAAGUGAGUGAUGCAUCAAAAUCAAUAAAACCAAUCCCAAGUUUAAUUGAUGACAUUCUCUUUCUACAGCAGGUCCAUGAAACAAUCUAUCGAUUUUGCGGGCUUUACAAGGCUUACUGUAAAUUAUUUGAUGCUCCUGAAUAAGAUAAAAUUAUUUUCAUUGUGCCUAAAUCUAACUACACAUGCGAAAGAUAAUAACAUCAAAAGGCAGAAGAUAAUUCUAAUAUAGAGAAAUUUCUCCAUAGAGUAAUCACCAUCACGUAGAGGCUUGGUCUCAGAAACUCUCCUGAUGCAAUCUGUCCUUUUCAUAACAGAUAUUCCACUGUUUGAAUCUGAAUCUCUCCUUGGAUGAACCUUCCCCGAAGUGUUGUCUCCAUGUUUAUGCCAGGGUACUGUAAUAUCCAAAGGUCAAGCAUUAGGCAUCAAAUAACUGAGGCACGUAGAAUUAAUAUCUAUGAAAGAAAGAAUUAGAUGUUCCAAUUCCGAAUCAUCUUGAGGUGACAAUAUCAGGUGUACAAUCCUCCUCAUAUAAGUGCCCCUAGUAGUUUAGGGAGGUAACAACUUUCUCUUAACAUGUUCUUUCAACAUAUUCAUUUCCAAUUGUAUCUUAACACCCACAGCUCCACCUAAAUAACCUCCUCAGUACUUCACUAGGACAUAGCUAGUCAAACAGGAUGCAUCAAGGAAAACUACAUCUACAAUGAAGUUAUUGAAACAUCUAAAUAGCAUUGGAUGAAUCAAUAAUGCUGCAAACCUCCCAGGAUUGAUUGAUCAACUUUAGCACCAUCCACUUCCCCAUGGCCUGUCCUCAUUUCUCCAGCAGCGUGACAUGGUUCAAGGUCAUUCAAACCCAUUGGCCCCUUUUCUUUUACCACAUGCUCCCCAAUAUCAACCGAGUGAGAAUCGAACACCAGAGAUUUUCCAGUUCCCAACACUUCAUCUCUCCUAAGAAAUUUAUUCACCAAGAUUUUCCUACUAGCAUCAUACAGUGUGACCUGAACAAUCCAAGGGGAAGAAAACAAUUAGCAGAAAAGUGAUUCCAGGACCUAUAAAAGAACUUUGAACUUUUUUGGGUAAUGAAAUGCACUUGAAUUAGUGUGACACUUGGGGCACAGAAUGAACUACUAUCCAAAAAACAGAAGCAAUUCAUGUUGGAUCAGCAAACAAAGUGGCCAGCCCAGCUCAUGAAAAAAAAAGUGGCUUAAUGAAAACAUCCGUGAAAGUGCCUCGAAAUGACCUGCCUCCCUAGGGAUCCAUGAACUUCAAGCUGCAGAAAACCAUCAUGGUAUUUCUUGGCCUUUUGAUUUACUUGUGCAGUGUACAAAACCUGCCAUUCUACAUGACAGGAAAAUGUCAAUUUCCAAGGACAUGCUCAGAAUAAUACAAAACAGCGGGAGCACAUAGCCCACAAAAGAACAUUCACAUGCUCAUGGGUGUCAAAAAUGGCUGAAGGACAAUAGUGGACCUGUUAUUGAUUUCAUUAUUGUAGUAACCUCAAGCUAAAAGGAGGCAGUAAAUACAAAGUCAUAUCAAGACAAUAACUGGCUACAUAAUGAAAACUUUAUUAGAAAAUCUAUCGGGAAGUAGAACGAGCAACCAGCUCGUUAAUGAAAACUUCAAUAGAAAAUGUAAAAAUCAUAAAGGAAUACACUGAGGAAUCCAUGUAACUUAGCCCAUAUGCCCUCCUCUUUUGCAUGGGGUUCUCUUAAAUGGGACUCAUUUUUCAAUACCUAAAGCAUGGUGCUAGAGCUAGGAAAAUAUCAAGAACAUAACCUGACAAGGUAAAUUGCGGAUUUUCCAAGUGAAAGGACAACCUUAGACCACCUCUGAAGCACAAAGCCAGCACCUUUAUACAUAGUUUUUAAUUUGGUGAAUCUUCUAUCUACUGAACAUUUUUUCCAUUUUAACUCAAGUGCGAUAUCUGUCAUAUGUAAGGAAUUUCAAAAAUCCAUCUCAUUAAGCAGUAUAGAGUUUUGCCUAUGACAAGUGCGAAAGUUUCCUAACGGGCAACUUUGAUUUCACCAAGAAAAAAAAAUGUGAGUUCAUAAUCACAUAAGAACGUGCAACAAAUGUAGAAACAAGGCAACUAGCAAACACUCUUAGCAAACUGAACAUGCAUACAAGCAAAAUCUGACCUGUUACGCCUGAUUUUGCAGCAUCUAAUAUACUCCCCUUUGCCCGAAUCUGAUGCAUCUGGCCAUUUUUUUCUUCUGAAAGAGUACUAAUGAAUACAUGUUUCAGUGCAUCACAAUUGCAGAAUCAGGUAAUUAUCGUAGAUCAUGCAAAACAUGAAGAGAAGGGAAUCUCACUCCUUAACAGAAAAGGAGAAGAUGAUAUAAAUAACAGAGAUGAUUUUCAAUUGUGAUCUGUCUAUAUUUGGUCAAUGAAGAAAGUGUUAGCUACAUAUAAAAACAACAAACUGACUCUUGCAUCUGCAAGUUCCAGAAUUUGUGGAAAUCAUUCCAUGAUCAUAAACAUCCCAUGAAUUUGUGUCCUUAAAGCUCCGAAUCACAUUGUGUUAAAAUAUCAGUUUGGUGAGUACGAAGCAUCCCCUAGUUACAUAAAUUUGCAGAGCAGCUGAAUGAUAGGAUUGAUGGGAAUAUAAACAAUCAGGGAGAAAAUGUUGACAAUCAAUUGACAGUUCAAGACUUUAGGAGAGGAGGUAAGGCAAAAAAAAAAAGAAUCAACAGGAAUAAAAACAGCUAUUUAUAGAACACCAGCUAGCAAAUCAAAUUGAACUCUAUUACAGGGUACCUUUUACAGCAGAUUUAAUGGUAGUCGCAUUACGCUGCUGCUUUUGCAUAUUUAAUUUGUGAAGAGAACUGAAACUGUUUCCACUUGCAUUUAGAUUUAGUUCCCUCAAAGAUUCAUGGUUUGCUUCACGAUUGCCAACUUCGACCAAAUGACCAGGAAAUUCCAUCAUCUCCCCAGGGCAUACUUCUUCAGCUUUGUUCAGGAACCUACUAUCUAAAAGUUUCCAGCUCGUAUCAUACAAGAAAACCUGGUAUAGGCCCCAAAAAGGUUUCAAUGAUCUGAGCCAUGUUUAUCCUGAUAAAGAAUUUUCACUAAUCUGUAGAGAAAGGUGUUGUAAAUUAAUUGGCGUCGCAGCGGAAGCGGAUCGGAAUUUUGCAAUUAUGUCGGGAGCUAUAGAAAUCGAUCGAAAUAAAACGAGAAACAAUAAAAGGACAAGGACACCAAAAAUUUACGUGGUUCGGUCCGAAUGUCGGAACCUACGUCCACAGGGAGAGCCAGCAAAUCAAUCCACUAUCUAUCGGAGAAUUACAGGAUUACAAUCACACACAUGCACUCAAGUGUUUCCCAGCCCUACUUUAUACCCGAUACCACGAUAUUUAACAACUCAACUCACUGGACUCAACUCAGCACAAAACCUCUCUGAGCUCUCUCGUCUCUCACGCUCUCUCGAGCUCUUUUCGUUCGCUCUCUACUUGCGUCUUCAGACGUCUUCUCCUUAUAUAGGGAGAAGGGCAGAGAACAAAUGAAAAUAAAUGGCCUCAUUAAAUGCAGUGCAGGCGCCCACAGGACAAGCCGCAAUCGGCACCGAACGCCCACCAUAUUUGUAGGCAUGCAUGCUGAUCAUGCAUGUGCAUGGGCAAGCAUUUAAUGAGGCGGCAGAGAUGAGGGAUAAUAGCCAGCAAACGUGUGCCAUUGAUCCGUGAAAAGAGGUGGGCUGCAGUCUUCAAAUUUCUUGUUCCCGGAGAGAAGCGAACGUAAAGGAGUCUUCUUCAUGCGUCUUCAUCAUGCACUUGCAGCAGGUGGUGGGUCCUUCAUUUAAUGCUAAAGAUUGUGGAUGCCCUCAUUUUCGGCAGAAGACAAUCUCUCUUCAAAGACUUUGCUGGCCGAAAAAUCUCUCUCCUCUGACUUCGCUUGCAUGCUUGAAGAAUUUAAAACCCCAUGCAACUUCCUUUGGCUUCUUUCUUCUACGCGUACGCACGAAGAGAUGAGAUUAAUGCCGGAACAAGAAAAUUCGAAGACAUCACAAAGUCUCCCUUGAACUUUGUUAUUUGGCCAAACUUAUGCGUAUUAAUCUAACGGGCUCAAACUUAAGACACAAUAUAACAAAAGGUAUACACCAUGAAGAAGAAAACUAACUAAUUAAGGAAGGAAGACCUGAAAUAUGAUUCAGCAACAAGAUAGCUGGUAUUAUCUAAGGUUAAUGAUCAGUAGAGAUGUGGAAUGUAGAGCUUGACCUGCCUAGUGAUAGAUCCACUGCUUGUACAACGCAAGAAGCCAUCAUGAUAUUUCUUCGACUUUUGAGUUAAUUGUGUCGUGUACAAGACAUGCCAAUCUAUAUCAAAAGGAAUAUCACGUCAACUGCAGUGCUAAGACAACAAUAACAAACUUAUGAAUGUAACUACAUAGAGAAUAUAGAGACUAGUUUUCUGAGGGAAAGUCUGGAAAUAUGCUAGGAAGCUCCAAUGUUCUUCAAGAGAAGCGAUUUAAAUAUGUGAACAUAAUACCGCUGUAACUGAGAAGAUUUGAUAUACAAAGCAUCAAAUUUGAGUAAAUAUAUUUUGAAUGGAUGCCGCAUGUAGUGUAACGACAUGCAGAAAUUAUACACCCAGAGAAAAUCAAGAACAGAUUCACAAUCCAGGAGAUACAUCAAGGGAAAGACACGGCCUGGCAUGGGCAUAGAUGAGUCAGUAAAAGUCCAAAUUCACGCGUUGUACUUGAUGUCCUUGAGUUCGGACUCGCCUGCAAUACGCCAUACUUGUUCAUUUCAUUCUACUUGAAUUCUGAAAACCAAAAAAACAAAAGAACACGCGUGCUAAGUUUUGUAGCCAGCAUUUACUUGCAAUUAAGAGAGAAUUAGAUUAUGUAGGAAUUCAUUGCCAACCUCUAAUAAUCUUCUGCGAUGGGCUUAGGCUGAUCGUCUGCUGUUUAUGCUUCUCCACUAUGGUCUUUUCAUCUCCUUGAAGAGAAAGCCAAGUCGAUUAUACGAUAAUACAGGUAGAUGAUGGGCACAAAUUUGCAAACGCACAAGCACGAGUCAUCGAUUGUCAAACCAACGGAGACACCAGCAUUAAGAAAGACAAACACGUGAGAACAGACUAUACCGGCACAAUCAGAUACGUUGAUGAACUUGUUUGUGUGAAGCAGAUUCGUUCGCUUAGGAACUUUAUUUUCUCGGCUGCAAGCAUAAGUAUCAUCGAGAGGCUAUUGCCCUUCUUCAGGCUCUCCAACAUCAACCAAAUAAGCAUUGAACGUCAGCGUCUCACCGGAGCAAACAACUUCGUCAUUCUUCAAGAUCCUGCAUUCCAACAGCUGGUCGCUGUCGACAUACAGCAUUACCUGUCGAAAAAUCCGAUCAUCAAUCACGGCAUGGCCUAAUCCACUCAGAACAAGCUCAAUCGCAGGGAGCACAACGACUGAAACCACAGAAUAGAACAAUCCGCGAGGACAGUCGAAAUCGAAAUCCUUAGCAGCAUCGAGCCGUUGCUAUCUAGCCUGAUCGAGCGAGCUGAAUUCAGGGAAUCGAUCACCACUGCAGUUUCGACAUGGACUACUACUAGCCGAUCAAAACCGAAUCAUGUCCCAGCCCAAUCGAAGGUAACCAAAUUCGCCGAUCGAGUUGAGCUGGACAUCAAUGGCGGAGAUGAGUAGCGAGUGAGAGAGAGGGAAGGCACCUUGGCGGAGGAGGAGUGGAGAGAGAGGAAGCCGUCGCGGUAGACCUUGCGCUUCUGCUUGAGGUGCUUCGUGAAGGUGACGUUCCAUUUCGUCGGAGCCUCAUCCAUGGCGGUUUCUGCAUUUGCAAGAUGAUAAUGAAGAAGAAGAAGAAGAAUUUCUAGGGAUUUCGGAGAGCUGCGAGUGAAGUGAUACUGCUUUAGAGAGCUGAAAUGUUAUGGCGGGAAACGAGGCGAGUGCAUUCUAUCCAGUAUUUUGAAAGUGGAUUGAGAAAAUAUAAAAUAGUUUAACUUAAAGAAUUAGAUAAAUAAAAAGGCCAUUGUUAAAAUAGAUUUUCAGAAACAAUUUUGAGAUAAAUAUAUUCGGUAGAAAACAUAUUUAUAAAAGCUUUUUAAGUUAGUAAUAUAAUUUUUUUUAAAUAUAUUUGUUUAAAAUUAAAAAAUAAUAUAUGCUACUUUUUAACUAUAAUUUUUGAUUAUAAUGCUAAAAAAAUCAAAUACAUAUAAUUGAAAAAAAAAAAAAAGACCAUAAUCAGCUCGGCAAAAGGCUACAGUUACCAACAAGCUAGAUCUAGCGUCGAUGACCAUCAAUGGCGGCCCUCAUCAAAGGUCACCCGACUAGUGAGGGCGACCUCAAGCAACCUCAACCAAUGACCAUGGCGCUAGAUCUAGCUCGCUAACAGUCAUACCCCUUCGUUGGACCGGUGAAAAAUGCGUUUGGUUCAGUCUUUAAUCUUCAUUUUACAAUAGAGAAUCUUAUCUUGAGUAAGUAAAAAUGCAACUUAAGUGAAAGUUUGGAUGAGUUUCUAAUCACAAGAACCAUUUGUACUUGGUAGAGCAAAGAUUAAACUUAUAUCAUGCAUCUAAUCAUAGACAGACUUUCCGAUCAAAAAAGGAAAAAAAAAAUCAUACACAAACUCUGUUUUUUGCCAAACCAGUAACCUACUGAAUGAGUUAACAGUCUCUCAUUCCAAUUCUAACUAAUAAGCACGACCCGAAGAAGCUAGAAGGAAAUCGACCUCAUUUAUUUAAAAGAGAGGAAAAAACGAAUGUAAAGACAUUAAAUUUUGCCAUCCCGAUGACUACUUCACAUCAUGUUAAAGCUCCUUCACCUUUAACAAAGAUAAAAAGAAUGAAGAUAGAUAUUAUUUUUUUUUUUUUUGGUCAUCGAUCGAAAUUGUAAGCAAGAACAAGAACUUCUAAACCUAUGUUUUCCAUAUUUGAAUGGAUCUAACAUAUCAAUUGUGUCUAUUUGUUAUAUUUCAACUCAUAUCAUACUGCAUUAAAGUAGAUCUCAUGUUGUUUCCAUUAAUGACGGAUCUCCUAUGGGAGGUUGCAGUACAAAACCGAUACCACAUCUCUCCUGACUACAAUGCCAUUUGUUGAUAUCGGCAAAAAAGGAUCCCAAUUUCGAACCCAUUAAAAUAUUGACCCAAAAAAACUCAAAUCAAUGAGUUGAGAGUUAAUCAUAAGACAUCAACAACCUCACAGCCCACAUGAACUUUUGGGGAAGAUUAACCUAUUAUGCCUAGAGUAAUUUUUAUCCGUUGAGCAAUGGCCUUCUACUUGACAUCGUUGGAUCCCCUUUCUGGACCUUAUCUUGCGGCUUCGAGGACAAGCUCACCGCUGCACCCGGCGGCGGGGCAGGAGCCGCUGCCGGCGGGGUCCGCGUGUCCGAUUGCUCUCGGUUUGUUGCAUGUCAGUCUUGAGUUCGUUUGAAUUCGUUCGCUUUUGGUUUCGAGUCGGGUUUGUGCGGAUCGCAUUGAUUGAGCUGGAUUUGGGUCGUUGAAAAGCCCUGUUUUUCGACCAUCUAAGACUUGAGAAUUGAGGGUUGACUAUUUCUCCACCCGCGUUUACUUGCUUGGUUUUCGUCUUCUAUGGUUUUACGAUUUUUGGAAAGUCGAAAUUUUUCCUCGUUUGGAGCUAAUCUGAAUUUGUUGCAUGUUAAUUUGACUGUUUUUUCCUCUUUGACUAAUCGAAAAAUUUGGUCUGAUGAUACGGUUCUGUUUUCUAUCGCUUCAAAAAGCUUGGGAAUCAAAGCAAGGAGUUUAAAUUAAUUGUUGGGAUUGCUCUUUCUUCCACCUCCCAUUUCACCUGAUUUCCUAAUCAAACUUCAAGAAAGAGGCAACUUCAUAGUUCACUCCUUGCUUUGAUUCCCAAGCUUUUUGAAGCGAUAGAAUUAUGAAUUCUGAGAGUCCUGAACUAUGAAGUUGCCUCUUUCUUGAAGUUUGAUUUGUUCCAACUGUCUGCAAUGGCCUGUGAAGCCGCGGCUACUGAGUUUUGACUGAGAAGUUGUUUCCGAAUAUAUAGAUCGUCACAAGAAACCAAAGCCCCCGCUGAGGAUAGUGAUCGUAAAAAGCUGCCAUAGCCAUAUUUGGGGCUGACGGCAUUUGAAAAUCUUGAUGGAUACUGUAUCAUCAAAGAAAGGAUGAUCCAGGCUCUUCGUUACUUCAAAGAAUCCACUGAGCAGCUUGUUCUGGCUCAGGUUUGGGCUCCAGUAAAGAAUGGUGGUCGGUACAUUUUUACGACUUCAGGGCAACCCUUUGUUCUUGGUGCAGAUACUAAUGGGCUUCACCAGCACAGAACGGUGUCUAUGAUGUAUUUGUUUUCUGCGGACGGGGGGAAUGAUGGAGAACUGGGACUUCCUGGUCCUGUUUUCCGGCGAAAGCUGCCUGAAUGGACUUUUAAUGUACAAUACUACACCAGCAAAGAAUAUUUGAGGCUCGAUCAUGUUCUUCAUUAUAAUGUUCAGGGAACCUUGGUUUUGCCCGUCUUUGAACCAUCGGGCCAAUCUUGUGUGGGUGUUCUUGAACUCAUUAUGACUUCACAGAAGAUUGACUACGCACCGGCUGUUGAUAAUCUGCAAAGCACUUGAGGUUGGGUUUCUUUAAAAAUCAUCCUUUCUUUAAAAAUUGUGCUUUUCUUUCUUCUCCAAAGCACUAGAAAUUUUUUGUCUAGAAAUAAAAACAAAGAAUUGGCUCUUGGCAUCCGCAAGUUCAAGAAUUUGUGGAAAUCGUCCUGAGUUUUAUAAAUAUCCCAUGAACAUGUGUCCUUUAAGCUUCGAACCACACUGUCGAAAUUUCACUUUGGCGAGUACGGAGUACCCCACAAUUACAUCAAUUGCAGAGCACCUGAGUGAUAAGGCUGAGGGAAAUACAAACAAUCUGGGAGAAAAUAUUGACAUUCUAUUGGCAGUUCAAGACUCUAGGCCAGGAGGUAUGGCAAAUUACCUCUACAGAAAGACGAAACAGGAAAAAAGAAAAAAGAAAAAAAUUAGAACACCUGGGAAUGGAUCAAAUUGAACCGUAUGCCAGGUACCUUCUACACCAGAUUCAAUGGUAGUAAAGUUAUGCUGCUGCUUCUGCAUAUUUAAUUCGUGAAGAGAACUAAAGCCGUUUCCACAUGCAUUGAGAUCCCUCAAAGAUUCUUGGUUUGCUUCACGAUUGCAAACUCCAACCAAAUGACCAGGAAAUUCCAUCAUCUCCCCUGGGCAUACUUCUUCAGCUUUGUUCAGGAACCUGCUAUCUAGAAGUUUCCAGCUCAUAUCAUACAAGAAGACCUGGUAAUCUAAGCCAUAUUUGUCCUGACAAAAUAUUUUCGCUAAUCCGCUGAGAAAGGUAUGCGUCAUGAAGAAGAAAACCGACUAUUAAAGGAAGGAAGAGAUGAAAUUUAAUUCAGCAACAAGAUAGCUGGUAUUAUCUAAGGGUAAAAAUGCGAAGGAGACGUAGACUGUAGAGCUUGACCUGCCUAGUCAUAGAUCCACUGCUAGUACAACGUAAGAAGCCAUCAUGAUAUUUCUUCGACUUUUGAGUUAAAGUGUGUUGUAUACAAGGCAUGCCAAUCCACAUCAAAAGGAAUAUCAUGUCAACUGCCGUGCUGAGACAACAAUAACACUCUCUAUAUACUGGAUAGAAAAUAUGGAGACCAGUUUUCCGAGAGAUGUUUGGAUAUAUGCUAAAAGGCUCCAGUGAUUUUCAAGAUAAGCCAUGAAAACAUAUGAAACCGCCGUGGUAGCCAAAUUUGAUAUACAAAGCAUCAGAGUUGAGAGAAUCCCUAUUGACCUUGAAAAGACUCUGUGUUGUAUAAAGAUGUGCAGAAACAGUACCUCAAAGAAAAUCAAGAACGGAUUUACAAUCCAGGAGAUACGUCAAGAGAGACACGGCCUGGCAUGGGCAUAGAUGAGUCAGCAGGAGUCCAAACUCACCUGCCGUACUUGAUGCCUUCGGACUCGCCUGCAACAUGCCGUGCUUGUUCAUUUCAUGUUUCUUGAAUUCUGGAAAUCAAAAAAAAAAAAAAAAAAGAAACAAAAGAAACACGCGUGCUCAGUUUUUUUAUCCAGCAUUUACUUGCAAUUAAGAGAGAGAGUUGGAUUAUGUAGGAUUUUAUCGUCAACCUCUAAUAAUUUUCUGCGAUGGGCUCAGGCUGAUUCUCUGCUGUUUAUCCUUCUCCACUUUGGUCUUCUCAUCUCCUUAAAAAGAAAGCCAAGUGGAUUAUACGAUUAUACAGGUAGAUGAUGAGCACAACAUUGCGAAGGUACGAGCACGAGUUGUCAAAUUGCAAACCAAUGGAGACACCAGCAUUAAGAAAGACAAAUAUGCAAGAACAGACAAUACCGGUGCAAUUAGACACGUCGACGAACUUGUUCCCGUGAAGCAAAGCCGUUCACUUAGGAACUUUCUUUUCUCGGUUAUGAAUAUAAGUAUCAUCCAGGGGCUUCUGCCCUCCUUCAGGCUCUCCAACAUCAACCAAAUAAGCAUUGAACGUCAGCGUCUCACCAGAACAAACAACUUCAUCAUUCUUCGAGAUCCUGCAUUCCAACAGCUGCUCGCUGUCAUCAUACAGCAUUACCUGUCAAACAUCCGACCAUCAAUCACGCAACGACCGAAUCUACUCCGAACAAGCCCAAUCCUGGAGAGCAUAACGACCAGGGCAGAGCAAUCGGCGAUGACAGACAAGAUCGAAAUCCCAGGCAGCCUCCAGACGAUGCCAUCUAGUUCCAGCGAGCAAGCUAAAUUCAGGGAAAGAACAUUCACAUAUCGAUUGCAGAGGAGCGGAGAGAGAGGAAGCCGCUGCGGUUCUGCUUGAGGUGCUUCGUGAAGGUGACGUUCCACUUCGUCGGAGCCUCAUCCAUGGCGGUUUCUGCAUUUGGGGGAUGAAGAAGAAAGAUCUUCUAGGGAUUUCCGAGAGCUGCGAGUGAUUUGCUGCGAGAGUGAUACCCCUUCUGAGAACUUAAACGGUCGUGGCGGGAGAUGAAUCAUUAAUAUGAGCGCGAAACGAGCUUAAAAAUCUCUCCUGGAAGACUGAUGAUGACGGGAUUUUUGUUCCGCUUUUUCUAUUUUAAUACUCUGAUCCUAUUCUAUUCUAUAAUUAUUUGAUUUUAUCCGAUCAAAACCUAAUUCAGUUCGGUUUGAUUUUUCGAUUUUUCUUCUUUUUUCCCCUUGGAACCAAACUAAUUAAAUGAUGAAAAAGAAGAGAGAUUUUCAUUAAUCAAACUGAACCUUAAAAAAAAAAAAAAUGAUUAUUUUUUCAUUGUACGAACUAAAUUGAAAAUGCAUGAAAUUUCGGUUCGGUUUUGAUACCCAUGUAUGAACAAAUUACAGGACCCUACUUCCUCGCUCACAAGUCCUCACUCCAACCCCAAUUGAUUCGCUUUUCUCACCAUGACAUUUAAAGAUAAGAAAGCAUCGUCGGUCCCAAUUUCAUCCUGUUUUGUUUCGUACUCGACGGUUCUCCAAUCCUUCAAUUUGUCUCCCGUUAUCAAAGCUUUGAAUUUUUGCAGCAUCUGGAUGUGAAUUUCCUCCAAUUUUCUCCCUCUUCCCGUGCUUGAGAGAUUCUCGAGAGAGUGAUGUGGAACGUCGUCUGCUUUUGAUUGUUUUGUUGAUGCUCUCUAUAAUCUCUUGUGAUGGCUGUCUACAUUGGUGUCUGGCGAUAUAGGGUUGUAGUUUGUUCGCUGUGAAAAGAGUUUUUUUUUAAUGUAUGUCGCACCAGCUCAGGUAUGUGUUGACCCUUUGCGAGUUUGAAUGAUUAUAGGAAGAGCGAGCGAGAGCUUUUUGUAGACUGACGAAAUGAAUGUACGGGUGAAUAUGUCAGGGCGUGAAUCUAGACAAUCGGGUGCCCAGUUGUCUGGGGUGUCCCAGCAAAAUGCAAUGUCAUCGCAAAUAUGGUAACUAUAGGCAGUGGUGCCCCUCAUGCUUUUAUUACGGCGUGGACAUGAGCUUGGCACUAUAUGCAAGAGAAGAUGUAAUUUAGUCUACGGCACUUGUUGUGCUUUAACCUCCACAGUUUCAUUUGGUCCUUGUUCGCCGAUCGAACUUUUCACUGUCCCUUUCAGCUUUGUUCUCUUAGCACAGUAGCAUCCGUAGCCAAUUAAUGAUUCUCAAAUGCAGAAGCUGAAGGAUACUGUUAGACGCCUAGAAGAAGCUCUCUUUAAAUCUUCUCACACAAAGGUCUUCCCAUCUUCAUCAUUUCUCUCCUCUCUUUUGUAAAAUUACAAAAAGCGAUUGAUGAUUGCCCUUUAUGGGUUUAGUGUUCUACAUUUUAUAUUUGCAAAAGCCAGUACUCCGUUCAUUUCUCUUGCCCGGUUUCACCUGCUUUUUCUCAUUAUUAUCAGUAAUUUCCUUUCUUUUUGGUAAAUAGUACUUGAGAUUCUUUUGCUACUUGAAAAUUACAAUCAUGUAGGAUGAGUAUAUGAAUUUAGGCACAUUGGAGUCCCAGUCGCAUAGUUUGAACAAGCGUCCAUCGCCUAAUAAUCCAAAUCCAGUCAAUCCUGAUGCAAUGAUAAUAAUGAUUCCAACCCCUGGAUUGUCGCAUAAUGGGAGUUCGACCAUGAUAGCAACAUCUUUAGUGGAUGCCCCUAUUAGUUAUAUGGCUGGGGGUAGCAACAUGCAGCCAAUGAAUGAAAACACAAGAAGCCUUAUGUCGAGCCUUAUGCCUAACAGAAUGUAUCCAAAGGCAUGUGCUCUCUAUAAUUUCUUGUUAUGGUCAUCUGCACUGGUGCUUGGUGGUAUUGGGUGUGGUUUGUUCACUGUGAAUAGAGUUUUUAUAUAUGUAGCACAAGCUCAGGCAUGUGUAGACCCCCUGUGAGUUUGACUGAUAAGAGUGAGAGCUUUUGUAGAUUGAUGCAAUGAAUGUGCAGGUGAAUACGUCGGGGCACUUAUCUAGUCAAUCAGGCACUAAGUUGCCUGGGGUGUCCCAGCAAAGUGGUAAUGUUGUCCUGAAUUUAGUAGCUGCAGGCAGUGGUGUCUCUCAUGCUGUGUUGAGCGUGGACACGGAUCCUCUUAGAGCUCAGAACUAUAUGCAAGACAAGAUGUAAUCUAAUCUAGAGGACUUGUUCUUGUGCUUUAACCUCCACAGUUCCAUUGGUCCUUAUUUGCUGAUUGAACUUUUCACUGUCCCUUUUCAGCUUUGUUCUCCUAGCACAGCGACAUCUACAGCCAAUUAAUGAUUCUCAAAUGCAGAAGCUGAAGGAUAUCGUUAGACACCUAGAACAGGGUCUCUUCAAAUUUGCUCACUCAAAGGUCUUCCCAUUCCUCAUCAUUUCUCUCCUCUCCUUCUUUCUAAAAGUACAAAAGGCGGCUUAUGAUUGCCCUUUAUUGGGUUCUUUUUUUAGUGCGUUGCAUUUUACAUUUCUGAAAGCCAAUAAUUUGUUCAUUUCUCUUGCCUGGUUUCACCUGUUCUUCCUUGGGCUUAUCAGUAUUUCCUCUCUCUCUCUCUCUCUCUCUCUCUCUGGUGAAUAGGACUUGACAUUCUUUUGCUACUUUGAAAUUACAAUUAUGUAGGAUGAGUGUAUGAAUCUGGGCAAAUUGGAGUACCAGUUGUGUAAUUUGAUCGACCAUUCUUCUAUUAAUAAUGGAAAUCCAAUCAAUCCUAAUUCAAUGACAACGAUGAUACUCCUGGAUUGUUGCAUAAUGGGAGUUCGACCAUGAUGGUGACAUCUUCAGUGGAUGCACCUAUGAGUAAUAUGGCUGGCGAUAGCAGUAUGCAGCCAAGGAAUGCAAACACAAGAAGCCCUAUGUCAAGUGGUGUCAUGCAAACACAGGAAGCCUUAUGUGAAGCCUUAUGUUUCCUUGAAUUGUAAAUGAACAUUUUCAUUCAGAUGUAGGCCUCAUGCAAGAUGUCUUGCUAUGGUUCGAAAUUGGGGUAUAAUUUGAACGAUUGUUUCCCAGUAUAUCAAUGAAGAUAAGCACCUGUGCACUUUCAUUUUGAAAAAACCUACGGAGGCUUCAAACAUAAUUUACUGGUGCCAAUGAUCAAACAUUCACUGGGAACUUUGACCAGAAAAGGAUGAGAGUGCAAAACAGUGGGGAAUUCAUUUCAAUUCAGAAAAUGUUACAGCUAGAAUAUUCUUCAUGUCAUUCCUUAUGAUGGAACUAAAAGAAGCACGACAUGUGACAAACUAAACCUUGUGGACUUAAAAUGUAAGAAUGACUCAGAUGAAGUACCAGGUACUUGAGAUUUUUCUAGCGAUCAAACCUACCUGCUUUCGAAGUAAACCCAGCAUCAAAUAAAUAGCCAGCUCUGCACAUGAUGCUGCAUUUCCCGUGAUGUCACCUGGAAUUCUGGCAACUUCUAUUCCAUUUUUGGUGGCAGUGUCCAUAUCAACAACUUCAUAAAGAUGUCAAUGUCGAGUACUAAAUUCAAUUAAGAUCUAACGGAACAUAGUGAUAAUACCGACAAGAUAAACCAAACUCCCCCGGCCCCACAGACGCAAGCAAACAAGGGCAGGCGCCUUCCAGACCGACAUCAAAUUGCAUUACAAGCUUCAAUUGUUUCGCUCGAGCUAUGGUUUGAGUCGAGGCACUUGUUCUUAACCACACAAAUAUGGUAGUUUCCUAUAAUAUGUGGCACAUCAUCAAGGACUGCCUUAUUGACCUGCAUAAAUGGAAAACAGAUGAAUGAAUGAUCUUCAAGGUGCAGUUAGAGACAAAAUUUGGAAACAUAUGAAACAAUAAGUCCUUACGCUGCCAUAAACCGAAGCACACUAAUUAACGAGGAUACAUUCACAUCUGUACAUAAGACCAAAACGAACGUACAAAGUUGAACAUACUUUUUUAUUCCUAGUCUGUUAUUUAUCCAAAGGCUUGUGCUGGCGACAAUGGGAUCGUUCCAGCAAGUUUAAGUAGGACCCCGACAAGAGCAUAUUGGUUUUUAUUUCAGCCAGGUAAAACUUUCAUAACCUACGACAGUGCCUCAAAUUGUACAAUUGUACAAUGUUACAAUGGUCAGAGGCAGAAAUGGGAUAUCACUUCAGUGCAAUAGGUAGUUGAAAUCUGGCUCCACCAAUGGAUGCGAAAAUAAUUGGACAGCGUCGAGAGCUCACAGGUGAUGCAAUCAAAUCUCUUUGUACCGCUCUAAACACAUCCAGGUAACUCGAUCAACCACUUCCGCCUGAAGAAAGUGGAACGUCAAGCAUUUUCUAUCAUAUAACGCUGGGUAAAAAUGGUCUGAAACUGGAUAAAUAGGUAUUGGCUUGAGUCUUCGGCGUAAUUGUGAGAAGCCAGGAAGUAAGGCCCUCAAAAGAGGACAUGGGUGACGCCUUCUUCACCAGACUCCGUCCCCAUUUCCCUCCACUUCCUUUAAUGUGAAGCUGUAACUCCUGCUACACAGAGAGAGAGAGAGAGAGAGAAAGAGAGAAGGCGGGGACCUUGACGUACUUGCAACUGGGGACUGGUGAAGUAGAGAAAGAGACGGAGUUUGCAGCCUCCACAAUCUACACCUGCCUUUCCUCCACAAAAUUGGUCGAUUGGUGACUCACGGCAAAUGUUGCUAGAAUCCUGCGAUGAAAGAAUUUUAGCUUUCUCUGCCUGGAAUUUUGUUGUAAAUUGACUAAUAAAGUCAGAAGGAUAGUAUACUCUCAAACGUCAGUCCAGACCUUCGAAAGGUCUCGUACAACCUUUUCUAUGGGAUUGCUAAUUUAUAUCCUUUUCAAUGGUUAUGAUUUUCUCCUAUUCCGGAAUCACAGACUGAUUCAAAACUUACACUUACCACAUCUACGUGUUGUCUGGCCUACAGGGUUGGCUACGUAGGGAAUCGUCGUGCUUGAGGAAGUGCUGAUGUAGAUAGUAAACAAAAGAUUCAUAGUGCAUUGGAGAAUUAAUCCACGUAAAAAGCUGUAUCGCGGAGGCUGAACGUUUCUAUAUCUGUUGGAAUUCAGGAACAUCCCAAGUGGAAGAUUAAGAUUUGGUUUGUAUAUUUCCAGAAGGCAAAGGAAUCUGCACCGUCAAAGGAAAUUGCUUAUCAAUCAGACGUUGGGUUGAGCAAGAGUGUCAGGACGGAUUGUUUAGUACCUGCCGCUCGUGGUGGUCUGCACUAGUAUUUGCACCAUUCAAAGAUUGGUUACUUUUGUGCUAAUGUGAUCUCAUCUCUUUUGAUCAUUUCAAGAAACGUGACAUUCUUUCUAGAGCCUGGAACUUCAUUUGAUCAUUGCGAUGGAAUUUAUCUUGGUAAUUCAUGUUGGUACUCAUAUCCUUGUCAUUUUGUUGAACAAAAUGUUGCCUUUGAUCAAUAGGCUAUUUUCCUUGUCUUACCCGCUCGGAAGAAGUAGAUAUCAAAAUUAGUGUUCUCACAUGGAGAUGGACAACUUGGAGAAUGCAUGUGUCACUCUUAAUCAAUCUAACCCCAUGAACAGACCUAGACAAAAUUGAGUUUAACCUGUUAUCAUAGUACAAUUGACUCUAUGCACACUUGAUGACACGUCUUCAUUGGUCAAAGAGUUGUAAGGCAUUGACGUAGGAAUAGGCCAACUAGGUUGUUCAUGUCCAGAUCAAUUAAAUUCUACUUUAGUGGAUUCAAAUAGCCGUGGCACCGCCUGUGGGCUUGUGUUUACUCUCGAUUGUUGGUAUUCUGAAGCCAUCUUGCAAGAUCCACUUUGGCUAGACAACAUAGGAAAAUCAUAAAAGAUUUUUCUUUAAGGAAUAGGCCAACUAGGUUGUUCAUGUCCAGAUCAAUUAAGUUCUACUUUAGUAGGAUUCAAAUAGCCGUGGCACUGCCUGUGGGCUUGUGUUUACUCUCGAUUGUUGGUAUUCCGAAGCCAUCUUGCAAGAUCCACUUUGGCUAGACAACAUAGGAAAAUCAUAAAAGAUUUUUCUUUAAUGAAAAAUAUUACCUUGCGCCCUAUGCCAGAUGUAUAGAGAAUGAAAUUUAAUAACUUGUCAUGUUGCAACAUGGAGAUAUAAUGUUUUUAUAAAUGUUGAGGAAUCACAGUACAGAGGUUAUAUGAUUGGAUGCGUGAUAUGCUUAAAGCGUGUCAAAAUAGGAGAGCUCGAUUUGUGAAAUUAUAGUCAGAAAAGAGGGGGAAAAAGCCAGGGAAAGUUUCAUGUUCCAAAGUCAGUGCUGGAUUUGUGCAUCAAAGAAGUUGUGGUGAUGAUGAAAAACUUAAUCUAUCUCCAUACACAAGAUCUCACGCCUUCAUAGCCAAGUACAGAAGGGAAAUUGCCAUGACUCUUCAAAUGGCCAAAACAGUUUUGCCGCUUCUCUACCGUUGGAUGUGCAAGAGAUGCAUCAUUGAUGGGGAGACAACAAGCUAAUCCUCACCAUUAGAUCGACAAGUGGAUUUUGCCCGAUAACUUUGUCAUGCAAAAUUCCACAGCGAGUUAAGAAGGUAUUGCAUCAUAUUGAGUGAAAAGGUAGUAAAUCCAAGCCAAGAUUAUAGUCUCUCUCCCUUCACUUAGGCUUCUCAAUGAAGCUGGCUAUUAUUAACUUGUAACAAAAGAAAAUCGCAUUAAUGAAGCCCGAUAGCAUAACUAGUACAAUGGCUAAUGAGAUGAAACACUUACUCGAUACUUCCAGUUUCUGUUUGCCCGGAAAAAGCGGUAUAUAUAAAGUCCUAAACACCACAAUUCAUUAUUUCUGACUUUAAUUUUGUACACUGAUAGCAUGAAAAAAAAUCAUUACACAAGAAGUGCAAGCACUAACAUGUAUACUAUAUAUAAUUUUAAUAAAAUGAAUGCGUUCCAUUGAUGUUCCAUUUUAUCAUCACUUGUUUGAAAAAUCAUUGCACCAGCACCGUACCUUAUUUACUCCAUUACUUUCAGCAUUUGUAUGUAGCAACAUGAGCAGAAUUAUGUGAGAAGAGGCAUUUAGCUUGAGUGAGAUGCGUGAGAUGCUCGAUGGGUCAAGAGAGUUGGAUGUGAAUGAAGAGAAGCCAUUGGUUGAAGAAUCGAUGAUCGAAUUUUGAGAAAAGAAUGUUUUUGGAAAACAAAUUACCAUAAGCAUUUGGGUCUUCAAAGGUUUGCUUGUUGUUAAUUGAAAAGUAAACAAUGGAAUUGAUGAUUGACUUAAAUGAAAGUACCAUCUUUAAUUGUGGGUCUCAAACUUAGGCAACAAGUUGGACGGCUACCUCAAGCUCGGCUUAAUUAGAAUCAUCUCUAAAAUUGAUUGUAUCAUAUUUAUAUUUGAAGCAUGCCUUUUAUUUCUUAAUAAUGAACUAGAAAUUUUACCGCGUUAUUUCAGUCAUUGAGUAUUAUAGUUUCGAAACUCAUGCAUAAAUUAUCAUAAUUUAUUCAUUAUGUAAUUGGCCCUCUUUGUUCGUUUCAUUUUCCCUAUCAUCCUUGUGGAUUAUUUUGUAAUUCUGGGAAAAAGAAAUCUUUGACUCCUAUAUAAGUGAGGGCUAUUUUGACUUUGUAGAUAGCAAACUUGUAAUUGAUUGACGAGGUUUAAAAUUGAAGAAGGUAUAAAAAAAAUUCAAAAUGAAGGAGUACGCAUGAGUGAUAAAGUAACGGGCGGUUCUAUAAACGAAUGCAGGGAUUAAAAUUUUUACUUUUAAUUGAAUCUUUCAACAAAGUGGACUAGUAAUUUCGGGAAACAAGAAUUAUGGCCCAAUGUAGCUCUUGGAUGGUUCCAAUGUUGCUCAUGGACCUUUCUAGCGAAUUGAUAUUUUGUGGCUUCAGAUUGGUUUCUUGGAGUAAGUUAAAUUAUGUAUCGGCUAAAAGGAUUAAUUAGGUUAUACCAGAGUACAAAUACCAAUUUGGUCAAAAUUCAAUAUCAAAGACUAAUUGAACAGUAAUUUAAAAUUUAGGGGCCAACUUUUAUUUUCCCUCUCAUCCUUGUGGGCUUCAAAUGCGUAAUCUCUCUUUAAUUACACUGGCAGUAGAGUGAGCUCGUCACUUGCUCGUAGAAGACACAAAAUUCUUGCGGGUUGCGAGGGGACAAGUGAAGGGCAUGCGAGAGGAGGCGAAGGUGAAUCCAAUGCUUCUCGAAGGGCGCUGAUGCAAGACAAGUUGAAAUGAGAGUCAUUGCUCAUGGCGUCGCGUCAAAGUCGAUGCUAAAAAGGGGAAGAUCCGAGUAUUUUCGACUCCCUGCCAGGUGCUUGACAAAAUGCCCAUGUGAGUUGAAACAGUGUUGAUGCUCACGUAAUAGAAGCGGCAUAUUGUUCUGGAUUUGGAUAGUUCAAUUCUUGCGUUUGGAUGAACAAUGACGUAAAAUAUAAACUCAACAGGAAAAAGGAAAAACUGUGAUUAAGAAAAGACCAAUUGGCAUUUCCAAUAUAUCUUAAACGAAGGGACGAGCAACAUGGAGAAAAACGACAAAGCAACGGUGGUUGAAGCAUUGAGGCACCUUCUCAGGUCUCCUCUUAGUUCUUAUAAUUUCUUCAGGAGCUCCCGUGGUUUGGUCUUUCUUUUCAAUUUUUCACAGUUGUCCACCAAAGUGAUCCAAAAAGACAAAAAAGUUAAAGAGAAAAACAAGGGAGAAAGCAAUUGGCGGUCGAAACGUGAAGCAUGAAGCAAGAAGCAACCUCUCUCUUCUUUCGCAAUUCUUUAUGGGGUUCCUAUAAUAAAUUCCCUGCUCCAACUGCUCAUUUCUUUGUCUUUCCUUGACAGAUUCUGUUUAUUUGCUACCCUCUCAUGUGCGUUGGUCUUUCUUUACAAUUUCUUUUCUCACAGUUGUCCGGGCAAAAGUAUUUCCAGUAAAAGUUGUUUCUUCAUUCCUCUGGAUGCUAAUCACUGAAUCUGGGAAAGGAGAGGUCGCAUCAUAAUGUCAUGGAAAACCUUCUCUAAGCAUGUGAAUGGAAGCAAUGAGAGGGAGCGAGGGAAGAGGGAGAACCCUUCCUCCGCCCACUUUCGACAGCUUUUUAUCAAUUUAUUAGGAUCUUAUUAAGGAAUCAUUCUCCAAUACUUAUUAAUCAUACCUAACAGACAAAAAUUUCAUUUUCAAUGUACUAAUGAUACAUAACACAAGAAAACAAUGGUUUGAAAAUGAAAUAUUUUUUGAGUGGAUACAUAACAAGUAUUUUUGAAGCACCCAUUCAUAAAAUUCAAUUUGUAAGGAGAAAUCUCUUGCAUUUCAUUUCUAGUACAGUUAAAAAUAUGUCCUGUCUUCGUGUUUAUGUCGAGAAUUUUGAUGAAGUUCCCAUAAGAUCUUUUCGUCGACAAAAUUAUAAAAUUUGAUGGGUAGGCUUAUUUUAUCUAGGCUGACUCUUCCUAUGGUCCCCAGAUGUUACUUGCAAGGUCCUGGAGUUCUUAUUAUAUUUAAAGAAUAAUGCUAGAGAUAUAAUUGAUUUACAAAGGGAUGUAUUAUAUACUCUUGCUGAUGACUUGCAACGAAAGCUGAGUGCUUUGCAUGUUCAUUGAGAAGGCUAAUCAUGUUCAUCCAAUUCUUUCUCUAAAACAACUUCCACUUAUAAAGAUUGAUUUAUAAAGAGAUGUAUUGUAUACUCUUGGGGUAUCUCCAUUUUUCUGAUAAAUUCCGCAUUGCCUAUUCAGAAAAGCUGCGAUUAUAUUCUUUGGGGAAUCUAACGACGUUGUGGAAGUAUAUACCCCUGCAUCUGAGGAAGUUGGUCUUGGUCAGGUAGUGGAAUUUACAGGAAAGGAUGUCUGUCCCAACUUUAGGACUGUUCCCGAAGGAUCUGUGUAUGCAACACCGAGGAAACAUUGUUAACGCCAUUGGAAAGCCGCACGAAAGGACUGACCUCCUACAAAAAGGGUUCCGUAAAAAAAUUUCUGAACCUAAUCCCAAACAAAAAGUUUCAAUUGCCAAUUAGGAUCAAACUUUAAUAUGUCAAGCCUUUUGAACUACAAAAUCUUGGUAAUUUUGACAGCUUGCUUGUGCAGUUCGGGCGUUAGGAAAUUUCCACAUCACAAUUGGGAGGUUGCCCAUUAAAUGUCACCAAUUGCAUAUAAAUUGGCUCACCUAUAAUUGUCAAAGGCCCGGAUUUAACAGGAUUGGGGGAUUUAUAUAGUGUUCCAUGGGCUUCCAAAUAAAUCAACUUCUAUGCCUAUGCCCUGGAUCAUCAAAAAAAGAAAAACAAAUGUAACAACCUAUUGCGAUAAGGGCGAGCGAUCGAACAAAAUAUAGACAGAAGAAAAUAAAUCGGACACCAGAUUUACGUGGUUUAGUCGUAAAGACCUAUUUCCACGGGAGAGUAGCAGUGAAUUUCACUAUAGAUCAAGCAAUACAAGGAGAUUACACACUCAAGUCACUCAAACACUCUCUCGGUAUUUCCCAAACCCCAAUUUAAUCCCAAACCCAAAGUGUUUAUAAAUAAACAACUCACUUGAAUAUCACACAAGCUCAAAACAAACGUUGAAAAAAAAAUCCUUUUCUUGAUCGCGCUUCAGCUUGAAGACAUGCGGCUCCUCCUUUACUCUCGUAUGGGUGCAGCAGCAACACACCGAAAAAAGAAGAGAAGCCCUAUGCAAAACACUUCUGUUUUAUACGUGUGCCCAGGUCAAAGUUUGACCUAGGCCCACUGCUCCUUUAUUCGGCAAGCUUCAUGCCAAAAGGAAAUCUUCAUAUCAUUAUACGUAGGUUUGUGCCCAAGGUCAAACUUUUGACCUUGGGCCCCACCACCUUCCUCUUCAAUGUGCAGAGGCGUGAAAUCGCUUGUGUGUUUGGGCCCCACGAAGCUUCGGCUUAUUCGGCCUCCUCUGUAACGAAACAGAAAACUUUGCUGCAUAUAUAUAUAUAUAUAAUUUUAUUUCCUCUUUCGUGCAACUUCAAGAGUCCAACGAAACGCGUUUUGUAAACGCUCAAACUCGAGACAUAAUUUAACAAUCUCCACUUGGCUCGACGUUUGAGCCAAAUUACAAUCGCUUCAUAAAAAUUCAAAUUCUGCUGCUACUUUCCCAUGGCCCCCAAUGGGCUCAACCGCCAUAGACAUUAUCUAAGUCCAAGUAUCGCUUGAACUUCGUCAUAAUCGACGACCUCAUCAGAAUACCAACUCCACAUGCACCUUUAAUUGCCCCGCAAGGAUUUUUUGACAAACCCUCCUUAACCGCAGAUAAAGCAAAACCAUUGUUGCAUCCAUAUCUAUCAGGAGAUUGAACACAUACCUUGUUAAUUUCAGCAGUUACAGCAACCAUUGGCUCUAUAGGCUCCAUCUCGCUAUGAGCACCAUUUGUGUCGAUUACUUUGCUAGUACCUAUACUCGCUACCUCAGGAGUUUCUGGUUGCAACUCCACCUCAAGCUGAACACCGUCCAGAUCCGUAUUAACACUGCCACUAACACUCAUAGCCAGAAGUAUCGGAGACUUGUCAAGGGUAACUUCUCUCCUUUCAACAAGUGAAUUUAUAUCCAUGCACCACAACUGAUUACCCAACUCACCUUGUGCAUAGCCAUGGAAUAUGCACAUUGCCCUCCAAUCGAGCUUACCAUCACUCACUCGAAAAUAACAAAGGCAACAAAACAUUCUAAUAAUAGAAUAACCAGCAACGUUACCAAACCACACUUCUUUAGAAAUACGCCAUUCAAUAGCAAUUGAUGGGGAUCUAUUCACCAGGCAGCUUACCAUACUUAGCACAUCAGCUAGGAUUCUCCUAGCAAUACCAGUACUAGAUAUAAUUUUUUGGGUCGUCUCUAGUAAUGUUAUUCUCAUCAAUUCUGCAAAUUGUUGUGAUUUACCGGCACUAGUGCGGUGUUUCACUAUGCCCUCUUUCAUGCAAAAUUUAUUUGCCAACUCCGAGCAAAACUCCAUGCUAUUGUCAAUCCGCACAUGCUUGAUCGACUUACCAGUCUCCGUCUCGAUCAAAGCUUUCAAUCGAGUGAUCCUGACACCAGCAUCAAACUUGUGCAUUAGCACAAACACCUAGGUCUUCCUCGAGCAGUCAAUAGACUCUCGAACAGAUGCAUCCGACGUCUCCGGAGCGAAACUUGUCAUUGUCUCACCUUGAAGUUUAUACAGGCCAUCAUACUUGAUUCCUUUCAUUAUCACUAGGGCACCUCGAACAACCUUCAGAACUCCACAUUUUGAAAAAUACCUGCAACUAGCUGAAUCUAGGGCACCUGAGGAAAUUAAGUUCUUUUUCAAUUCUGGAACAUGCCUCACUCCAAUCAAUGUCCUCACAAUACCAUCAUGCAUUCUGAUUUUAACAUCACCAACACUCACAACAUCGCACUUAACGUUGUUCCCUAACUGGACUUUAUCACUACCCGUGCACUGAUAAGUGAUAAACAAGUUUCUAUUUGAUGUGACAUGAAAAGAACAACCAGAAUCCAUAACCCAUCCAUCAAGCGAUGCAUUAUUAGUGACAGACAAGACAUAAUCGGCAUUAUCUGUUACAGCUACAACAUUAUCUGCAGAAUCAACCAUAAUUCCCUUAUCCUUCUUAUCCUUCAACUUAAGGCAAUCCCUUCUAAGAUGCUCCCUCUUGCCAUAACUCCAACAGACAACAUUACCAGUCCUAGAUUGACUGCAUUUGUUCAUAUUAGUACUACCAUUACCCACACGUGUUACAGAUCUUCCUCUAUUUUCACCUACUAAAGCAAUAGAUACAAAUUCGCCAAAUUCUCUUCUACGAAUGUCCUCGCUCAGAAUUAAAUCUCGAACCCCAUCAAACAUCAAACUUGUUGAUCAAGAGGAAUUACUAACAGCAGUAACAGCAGUAUUCCAACUAUUAGGCAAUGAGGAUAAUAGAAUCAAAGCACGUACCUCAUCUUCAAAGUCAAUCUCAACUGAACUCAAUUGACUAACAAUCACAUUGAAUUCAUUGAUAUGAUCUGCAACGACACACAUUCACUCAUCUUCAAAUUAAAUAGACGUUGCAUCAAAUACACCUUGUUGAUUGCAAAGGGUUUCUCCUUUAGGAUGUUAAACGCAACGUUACGAGCCAACAUCGACCGAAUAACACCCAUAGCUCGUCUAUCAAGCAAAUCCCAAUCAGCUUGCUUCAUCGUCUCUUGUUUCUCCUCAGAUAAAGGUAAGUGCAGAUUCAUCUGAUAAAUAUAAUCUUCAAUCUGCAUCUUCCAGAAACUAAAAUCCUUCCCAUCAAAUCUGUUGAUUCUCACUUUUACUUCUGCUGUCGCCAUCGAUUCUCUUCAACUUAUCCAAGCCUGGCUUUGAUACCACUUGUUGCGAUAGGGACAAGUGAUCGAACAAAAUAUAGAUAUAAGAAGAAAAUAAAUCGGACACCAGAUUUACGUGGUUCAGUCGUAAAGACCUACGUCCACAGGGAGAGCAGUAGCGAAUUUCACUAUAGAUCAAGCGAUACAAGGAGAUUACACACUCAAGUCACUCAAACACUCUUUUGGUGUUUCCCAAACCCCAAUUUAAUCCCAAACCCAAAGUAUUUAUAAAUAAACAACUCACUUGGAGAUAAACUCACAGCAUAAAAUUAUCACACAACUCAAAACAAACGCUGAAAAAGAAAUCCUUUUCUUGAUCGCACUUUAGCUUGAAGACAUGCGGCUUCUCCUUUUCUCUCAUACGGUGCAGCAGCAACACACCGAAAAAGAAGAGAAACCCUGCGCAAAACACUUCAGUUUUAUACGUGUGCCCAGGUCAAAGUUUGACCUGGGCCCACUGCUCCUUUAUUCAGCAAGCUUCACACCAAAAGGAAAUCUUCAUAUUAUUAUACGUAGGUGUGUGCCCAAGGUCAAACUUUUGACCUUGGGCCCCACCACCUUCCUCUUCAACGUGCAGAAGCGUGAAAUCGCGUGUGUUUGGGCCCUACGAAGCUUCGGCUUAUUCGGCCUCCUCUGUAACGAAGCAGAAAACUUUGUUGAAUAUAUAUAUAUAUAUUUAUUUAUUUAUUUCGUCUUUUGUGCAACUUCAAGAGUCCAGCGAAACGCAUUUUGUAAACGCUCAAACUCGAGACAUAAUUUAAUACAACCUAUCACUAUUUUUUUUUCUUUUUUGGAUUUUACGAGAAUAGAUAAUACAAAUUACACAUAUCAUCCAUUAGUAUAAAGGAGUGCAUAGCAUUUUGCAAUCGCAUGUUAAAAUAUUCAAAAUUGUUUCUCUUAUAAAGCUGUGAUUAUAAACGUGUGGUCCUCCUCCAUAUAACUUAUUACUUUUAAGCUUUUGGAUUAUAAAUUUUAAAACGAUAUCGUAGAAACCACACUUACAAUCUCGAAUCAAAACAUCUAACUAUCAACUAACUACAAAAUGUGUUAAGCCUUUUGCUAAAUCUUCAAGCAAGGAGGUUUUUCUUUUUCUCAAAACUUUCUUUAUUUUCAUGAUCAGUCGUUAUGAGAGAAGUGAGUACAUAGAGUUUUCAAAUUAUACGAUCAUCACAACUUACCCUUAUUUUGAGGAGUUGAUUUAAUUAACAUUACGAGCCGGUUUGUGGGUGCGUCCAUGGGAUGGUACGGACCAGGAUAACACAUCUGUGUUGGUUUGUUUUCCCACCACAAGAAAAAAAAAAGUUGCUAUUAGCAUAAGUCCAUGUCGGACCGAAAAAAGGAAAAAGAAGCAUAAGUCCAUGCGAAACCCAUCUUUUGAGGGCACACUGAACGAAAACAUGUUCCUUUUGACAGCACAUUAAACGAAAAUUUGAUUCCUUUUGAUGGGACAUAAAACAAAAAAUAUGAUGGUGAACUACCGCGAUCAGCCCAUGGGAAACUAAUCUGGAAGCUAAACUCUUGCUGUCAGCCCAUGUGAAAUCAAUUUAAAAAACAUUAUGAUGUUGAACUCUCGCUGUUAGCCCAUGGGAAACCAAUCCGGAAUAUACAUUAUAUAUGAUGCUGAACUCUUGGUAUCAGCCCAUGUGAAACCAUGUGAAAAUUUGAUUCCUUUUGAUGGCACAUAAAACAAAAAAUGUGAUGGUGAACUACCGCGAUCAGCCCAUGGGAAACUAAUCUGGAAGCUAAACUCUUGCUGUCAGCCCAUGUGAAAUCAAUUUAAAAAAAAAAAUUAUGAUGCUGAACUCUUGCUGUUAGCCCAUGGGAAACCAAUCCAGAAUAUACAUUGUACAUGAUGCUGAACUCUUGCUCUCGGCCCAUGUGAAACCAUGUGAAAUCAAUUAAAAAAAUUACGAAGCUGAACUAUUGCCAUCGGCCCACGUGAAACCGUGUGAAAUCAAUUUUAAAAAAAAAUUAUGAUGCUGAACUAUUGCUAUCGGCCCAUGUGAAACAAUGUGAAAUCAAUUUUUUUUUUUAAAUAUAUAUAUAUGAUGCUGAACUAUUGCUCUCAGCCCAUGUGAAACCAUGUGAAAUCAAUUUUAAAAAAAGUUAUGAUGCUGAACUAUUGCUAUUAGCCCAUGUGAAACCAAAAAAAAAUUUCGCUCCCGAUGUCGCAGGGCGGAUGAAACGGCAGUCUCGUUUUGAACGGCCUAUUUUAAGUCGACUCAAGACCAAGGGCAGCUAGCAAUUGAGCACCUGCAAAAUCUCUGCCAUAAGCUCCACUGAUCAUUAUCAAGUGGUGAAUACCAAUGGCCGAGUCUGUUGUUUCGUUCGCGGUGGAGACAAUAGGAAACCUGCUCAUCGACGAGGCCAAAUUCUUGAGGGGAGUGGAGGGCAAGGUCGAGGACCUGCAGAGGGAGUUGAAGCUGAUUAAGGGCUUGCUGAGGGAUGCGGAUGCGAGACGAGAGCACAACGAAGCUGUUGGAGAAUGUGUCGCACAACUCCGAGACUUUGCCUAUGAUGCCGAGGAUGUCAUUGAGAGAUACAUCCUCAAAGCCUCGCUGAAGGAGGGACAAAACAUCAUCAAAGCGUAUGCUUGCUUCAUGGUCAAGUGCUCGUGCGUGCAGGUUCAUAAGGUGGGGACAGAGAUCGAGGGCUUAAAAUCCAGAAUCUCCGAUAUUGGAAGGAGGAUGCAGGAAUAUGGCAUACAACCUCUGAAUGAGGGCGAGCGCAAAUGCGCGAGAGCUUUGAUGCCGAAACUGACUUAUGCACAUUUCGAGGAGGAGGAUUUUGUUGGAAGGGAAGAUAGUAUCAAGGUGUUGGUGAACGAGCUGUUGAAGGAUGGAGAACAACACAGAGUUAUUUCCAUUUGUGGAAUGGGUGGUUUGGGUAAGACCACGCUCGCGAAGAAAGUCUUUGCUCAUGACAAAGUGAAUAACCAUUUCGAUGGUUUUGCUUGGGUUUGCAUAUCUCAAGAUUACCACAUGAGGGAUAUCUUGGAGGGAAUUCUUGUUAAGUUGAACCCUGAUAAAAGAGAAGGGGUUAAGAUGAUGAGAGAUGACGAAUUGUUUGAAACUCUAUACAUGACCCAAAAACAGAAGAGAUGUAUUGUGGUUCUUGACGAUAUUUGGACCAAACAGGCAUGGGACAGUCUUCGAGCCGCAUUCCCAAUCAAGGACACGAGAAGCAAGCUAUUGAUAACAACCCGCAAUAAAGAAGUAGCGCAGCAUAUCGAUCCUCAUUGUUUUCCCCAUGAACCUCAGUGCUUAUCACAUGAGGAGAGCUGGGAUCUGCUAAAGAAGAAGACGUUCCCUAAAACAAAAGGUAAGACUUCUCUAAAGUUAUUAACCUAACAUAUAGUGGCUUCAAAGGAUUAUAUUGCCCAUUUGAUUCUGAUUUAUGGUGCUUCGAUUAUCAUGGCAGGAUUAGUUGUUGAAAUUUCUUCUGAUGGACCCGGAGUUGGUCAAGAUAUUGUUGCGGGCCAAGCUGUAGAAGAGAUCGCAAAACAGUCAGAGAUAGAGGGACAAAUACCGGGUAUUUCAUUGCUUAGUUUGUCCUUCGGAAACUUAAGCAAUUUAUAAAUAUAUAGUUACGAUAGAAUUCAAAUGAUCGAAAUAUUGAGUAUUAGGCACCAUAAUUUCAAUAUUUGGGGAAUCAAAUGCCCCUUUUGUUUCUCAAUAGCUAACAAUCAUAGCACUAAACCAAGAUCCAAAACUUUGUUCCUCCUUUCCUCACUAGAGGUUAAAUAUCGAAGAGGCUUUUAUAAGGCCAACAUAAUAAACAAUUUUGAUCAGAUUUAUGAAAUAAUGUGAAGCCUAGCUAUGUUACUUCUUCCAUAGGCUUCAUCUCAAGUCCACCUUUUUUUGCAUUUGUGAAUAGUUGGCUUAACCAUAAAAGUAGGGAUUGAUAAGGAAAAUCGUGAAUCGUUAUGCAGUAAACGAAGAUUUCAUUAGAAUUUGUGCAGGAGAUUAGUAGCACCUUCAAGUUAUGGGAGAUCACACUCGUGAUGUCCCUGUGUUGCUUUCAUAUGUUAAUUCAAGCCAUGGAUAACAAAGACAACACAUUCCAUUUGUUAAUUUAAACUUCUUGAUUUUUCCAAGGCGUAGAUGGAGGCAUAUACAAGAGCUUUGUUGUGGUCCCUAUUUUCCCCUUACAAAAGCAUAAAUGAACCACAAAUUAUAAAGAACUAUAGCGUCUUACUUAUACAUCUAAAAGCAUAUAUUUGUCCCUGAAGUAAUCAUUUUAUUACAGUUGCAUCUUCCUAUUGCUAAGUUGCAAUUUGUUGCCUGAUAUUGUGUAGUAAUCACUGAAGACAUGAAGAACUUAGCAUAUGAACUCCUUGAGAAGUGUGCGGGAUUGCCGUUGGCUAUCACUGUGCUUGGUGGACUUCUUUCUUUGUCUUGUGAGAACCCGGAGUAUUACUUGGCUAUCAACAAGUGGAAGACGGUUCACGAAAAGAUCAAUUUGCAUUUUAGCGAUAAGAGUGAUGUAUCAAAAUUGUUAGCCUUGAGCUAUGAAGAUUUACCAUGGCAUCUAAAGCCAUGCUUCCUCUUUUUGGGUAACUUUCCAGAGGAUGAAGAAAUCCCAGCAAUUGAAGUUCUUCACAUGUGGAUUGCUGAAGGCUUUGUGUCGCUGAAUGCAUAUGACAAAGAGAGAGAAAUUUCAGUGGAAGAUGUAGCAGAGCAAUAUUUAACGGAGUUGGUUAAUAGGGGAAUGGUUCAAGUGCAAUUCAAAUCAAGUGGAAAGAUCAAAAGCUGCCACCUCCAUGACUUGAUGCGAGACUUAUGCAUCUCCAAGGCUUUGCAAGAGAGUUUUCUAAGCAUUCUUAACAUUCAACAAGACAAUAAGACGGAGAAUUGUUCUGCUUCAAUGGCAAAAAAUGUUGAGUCAAGUUGCAAAACACGAAGACUUUCUCUCAAUGGAAACAUGAUUCCGAGCUUAAAAACAAUAGGAGGGACUUUAGUCCACCUUCGAACUCUCAUGUUCAUUGGAUCAUUCGGAAGGAACUCGAAGCCAUUUCAUCCUAAUUUCAACCAUUGUAAGUUUCUUAGAGUUUUGAAACUAGAUAAGCUUAUCCUAGGGAGAAACUUACCUGAAUCAAUGGGAGAUCUAGUCCAUUUAAGAUUCUUAAGUUUAAAAUAUAGUGAGGUUGGCGGCUUGCCACAAUCUAUGGGGAACCUUGUAUGUAUGGAAUUCUUGGACCUACUUUUGAAUGGAUAUGAGGUUUCUGUGCCAAAUGUGCUGUGGAAGAUGAGAAGAUUGAGGUAUCUUCGUCUUCCUCUCCAAUUUGCUAUCAAGGAGAAAUUCCAUUGGGGUGGGAAGAAGUUACAGUUGGGCACUUUAAAGAAUUUACGGACAUUGAGAAACUUUGAUUUGAAAAAAUGUGAUGUGAACGAUUUAGGCAAGUUUACCAAUCUGCAAAAACUGACUAUAUUUGACCUGUAUGAUCCUAUCGAGCAGGAGAUAUUUUUGCAACUUGCUGAAUUCAAGUUAAAAUAUCUUCAAUCCACAUCCUUUUAUUUCAAAAUUUUUGAUUUUUUAUGGACCGAAGGGAAAUUGAGUAAAAUGUCAAACUAUUCUCAUUCCUGUAAGUUGUUCAUUAUGGGAAAAAUAGAGAAGUUACCAGAACAUAAGAGUCUACCCCAGCAAAUGAGGAAACUGGUCUUACUAGGUUGUGGACUCAAAGAAGAUCCGAUGCCAAUAUUGGAGAAAUUGCCUCACUUGGUUGUUCUCAUGCUGGGAUUUUCCGCUUCCUUGGGAAAGGAAAUGGUUUGCUCUGCAAAAGGCUUUCCUCAACUCAAACAUUUAAUUUUUUAUACAUUACAUAAUUUGGAGGAGUGGAGGGCCGCUGAAGGAGCCGUGCCUCAUCUUUCUCAAUUAGGGAUCUACGAUUGUCCCAAAUUGAGGGUGGUACCUUCACAGGUCUCUACAUAUGACGGAGGGAACAAAAUAUGGAAGGAAAUCGAUAAGAUAGGCAUGUGAGAGAGGGAUAUUGGUGUGGGUGGCCAAGGGUGGCCCUAGCUGUCCGGCGAGAGAGGAGGGAGGGCCCCGUGAGCUUGCGGGUUGUUAGGGGGUGGGCCCCCCAGAAUAAAUAUCUAAUCUCAUAUGUUAUGAGUGAAAAAUAGAGAGUAUUAUGGCAUUCCUUGAUAAAUUAUUUUCCAUGUCGUCGUCUUUUCAUCAUUCAUAAAUCGUCAUUCGUUUCGUUUUCCCUCUCAUCCCUGAGGACUUGGGGGUGGAAUCUGCUGUUUCACAGUCGCUGUCGAGAGAACCCACCGACUUUGCUCAUGGAAGACUGCAAAGUUCUCGCGAGCGCCGCGAGGAGGAGGAGGAGGAGGAGGAGCGAAUUCGUUGCUUCUGUAAAAGACGAUGGAUGGGGGAGGCAUCUGAAGAAAUAAGAGUCGUCGCUUGUCGUGGCGUUGGAAGACAGUCAUUGUGGAAGCUGCUGCCUUGGAGAGGAGAUGAGAUCCGAUCAUUUCCAUAGUGCUGGUCAGGUGUUUGACGAAAUGCGAAUUUGGAGUAGGAACUGGGGUACAUUAUUCUGAAAUGGGCGUGUUGCUUUCGGCUUGUGCAAUUGAUUUCUUUCAUGUGUGCUCACAUUAGUCUUUCCCUUUGAACGACAGUGAUGAAAUUGCUGGAUGUAGCGAGAAAGCAUAUGAUUAUUUGUCAAAUUGGUGAUGCACGGCAAACGUUGCUCUUCUCCUGCGACCAAGCACUUGCAGCAUAUAUUAAGGAGGUAAAUAUUAUGAGACGAUUUUGGCUUUCUCUAACUGGAAUUCUGUUCUCAAUUGACUAAUUUAGUCAAAAAGAUAAUAUCCGCUCUUGUACUAGUUCAGAUCUUCAAAGGGUCUCAUAAAAUCUGUUCUAUUGAGUUGCUAAUCUAUGUCCUCUUCAACUAUUAUGAUUGUUUAUCUUCUUCUGGAAUCAAGGACUGAUGUUAAACUUAUGCUUACAACAUCUAUGUGUCAUUUGGCCGUUGCUAUCACUGUGCUAAGUUCGAACUUGGCAAGGUGUGCUCGGUAUGGAAACCUUGUGCUUGAAAAAGUUUUUCGGAGUGUGUGUGAAAGAAUUUAUCCACAUAAAAGCUGUAUUGUGGAGACUGAACAAUUGCGUAUGUCACCUGUUGGAUUGCAGGAGCAUCCCCAGUGGCAGAUUAAAAGCGGGUUUGUAUAUUUUCAAAAGGCCAAGGAAUCUGCAUCUUCAAAGGAAAUUCCUUCCCUGCAGCUUAUCAAUCAGACAUUGGGUCACACAAGAGAGCUCUGGAGCAGAUUGUUUAGGACUUGUGGCAGUGCGUGGUGGUUUGCACUGGUAUUUGCACACUUUGAAGAUUGGUUAUUUUAUGCUGAUGGCAUCUCAUCCCUUUUGCUCUUUUUGAGAAAUUUGAUACUUUUUUUAGUAAUCAUAUCCAUUUCCUUGUUGAAUACAAUUUUGUAUUUGAUCAGUAGUAUAUUUUCCUUGGUUUACCUGCUUGGAAGAACCAGAAACUGAAAUCAGUCUAGUCACAUGGAGAUGGACAACUUGUCGAAUGUAUACGUCGUUCUUAAUCAGUCUAACCCUAUGAAAAGGCCUUGAUACAAUAAGGUUUAAUCUGUCAUAGUAGAAUCGAAUAUAUGCACAUGUGGUGACAUCAAUUGUCUCCAUUGGUCAAAGAGUUGCAAAGCAUUGACAUAGGAAAGCCAACUAGGUUUGCUUGUGUCUAGUUCAAUUUUUAGUGCAGUAGGUUGAAAUAGCCACUGGCUGUGGGCUUGUGCUUGCUCCUGAUUGAUGGUAUUCCGAAGAGACGGCAUAGGACAAUCAUAUAAGAAAUUUCUUUUCCCCUUAUUUUUUCCUAGACUCCGGAUUGAGCUCUGUGAAUAUGUGAUUUUGCUUUCUACAUUUGCUGCAUAACACUCUCAAGACUGAGCAGAGUCAAUGAAUUUGUGGUUUGCAAUUUCAUAGAGUCUUGAGUGAUCCAUGAUGUAGCCUUUGCAUGGCAAAGUCGUUGCUAAAUGCUGUUGCCCCUCUCUGAUAAAUGAUGUUCCUCCUGCUGCGAAAGAAAAAUGAAAGUCAUCCUUAGUUUGCUUAAUUGAUACUUCUAACGGAUCGGGAAAGAGCAAGAGGAAGAAUUUAAUGGGUGGGUAUGCAACAAUGGUCCGCCUCUUUUGAAUCCUGGCGUUAUGAUGAAUUAACUCCUUGCUGUUAGGAUGUGACCAUCAUUGAUGGAUCUCAUCAUAUCUUAUAAUGAUGGAAUACUGAACAUUUAAGGAAUUCCCAAUCACCCAAAUGUUUUCAAUUUCUUAAUACUUAUUUUCUUGUUUAUUCCUCCUUGUUUUUUUUUUUUUUUUUUAAUUUAAAUUAUCGUUGGCUUUUCUUGUUUCUUUUCAGUAGGCCCUUCUGCUCCACAAUGCAUGUUUUGUUUCCAUCUUUACAAUGUAGUAUUACUUAAUCUUCAAGAUGAUGAUACUAAUAAAAAGCUGACAAGUGCAAAGACUUUGCCACCUCACUUUUCAUUGGGUUCACACGAUCUUUUGCAAAACCGCACUUUCAUUGGAUUUGCAUGCACAGUGGACCACGGCGAAUGCUUGAGACUUAUAUAGAAGAUGCACGACAUAAGUUAGAGUUGGUUUUGGUGAGAAAGAUUAAAUGUCAUUCAGUUGCUGAAUUGAAUGUGGAAGCCUCACAUCACCUGACGUCUAAAGAACUCUUCAGUACUUAAUGAGUGUGCUGUAAUUAUAAGUGUGAAGAUGGAAGAUCAAGAUGCCUUUGAGCAAGAUUUUUUUCAACUGAAGCCUUAUUAUACAAAUGCAGGGUAACUUUUGACCUGGCGUUGCUUAAAAUUGUUUGUUCAUACUCAUGGGCACGAGGCCUGAAUUGCUAGAUUAUGAGAAAGAGUUCUCAUCCUUAUUGCUUUAUUGAACAUUUUGCACUCAUCAUUUUUAUGUAAACUUACUUGAGAAUUCUUCUGGUUGAGCAGUGGCCGUAUUCCACCAUCUCCUCAAGAGUACCCUAUUUUAGAUCUCAGCCUGUUGAGACUCCUUUUGCGGAAUGGAAUAGCUGAGUUCCAUACCGAACUUGAAUUGCUUUCAUAUGCCACCCUAGAGAAUCCUUGCAUCAAAUGCCGUUGAGUUGGAGCAAUCUUUCAUGGAAGGGGCCUAUAAUCGUGUUUUGAGCUAGGCAGACGGUGUCUCAUGAGACUUGUGUUACUAGUUUAUAUCCUUUUCAAUGAUUAUGAUAAUUUAUCCUAUUCUGGGAUCAUAGACAGAUAUAAAACUUACACUUGUCACAUCUACUUGUCAUUUGGCCCUUGCUGUCACUCUGGUGGGGUCAAACUUGGCUGGUGGGUUCAGUACUAAAACCUCGUGCUUGUAAAAGUGCUGAUGUAGAUAGUAAACAGUAGAUUCAUAUCCAUGUAAAAAGCUGCAAUGUGGAGCUUGAACAUUUCUAUCUCCGUUGGAAUGCAGGAACAUCCCAAGUGGGAGAUUAAGAGUGGGUAUGCAUAUUUCCAGAAGGCAAAGGAAUGUGCACCUUUGAAGGAAAUUCCAUCCAUGCGGCUUACCAAUCAGACUUUGAGUUAGGCAAGAGAGUUGGAGUGGAUUGUUUAGGACCUUCUGCCGUGCACGGUGGUUUGCACUGGUAUUUGCAGACUUCAGAGAUUGGUUAUAUUUUGCUAAUGGCAUCCCACCUUUUGCCCAUUUCGAGAGACUUGAUAUUCUUUUUAAUGUCUGUAACUUUAUUUGAUCAUUAUGAUGGAAUUUAUCUCAGCGAUCAUGUUAGUACUCAUAUCCAUGUCAUUUUUUUUAACACAAUUUUGUAUUUGGUCAGUAGGAUAUUAUCCUUGUCUUGCUUGCUUGGAAGAAGCGGAUAUUGAAAUCAGUGUUGUCAUAUGGAGAUGGACAACUUGGAGUGUGCACAUCGCUCUUAAUCAAACCCUAUGAAUAGACCAAGAUACAAUUAGGUUUAACCCAUCGUUAUAGUAGAAUUGAAUCUUUGCACAAUUGCUGAUAUCAAUUGCAUAGGCCAACUAGGGUUGCUUGUGUCCAGCUCAAUUAACUUUUGAGUUCAGUGGGUUGAAGUAGUUGGUUCUCCGGCUGCGGGCUUCUGCAUACUCUUGAUUGUUGGUGCAUAGGAUAUGUUUGGUUUUAGGACCACCAGUGCGUUUGCCGAUAGAGCCACAAUCUCAUGCUAAUGACAAGCAUUUCGGGCACCUCUUUCCCAGAACAAUAUAUGAAUGAGCAUAGAUAGAGAUUGAACUAAGUUUAUGUCUUUACUAAGAUCUCUUCCCUACACUAGAUUAUGUAUAGUGGUGUCAUGACAAGCCUAGUAUGUCGGCCAGAGCUGGCUUAAGGGGAAAAAGACAGUUUGCGGGAUUUGAGAGCCGUGGCCAACUAUAUUAUCCCCAACCAAUAUCUGAAGUACCAAAUUAUUAGUUCAACACUCGAGAUUAGUAUCUCAGUAAAGAUCUAAUUUAACGAGCUGCAGCACUUGGCCCUCCAUUAGGAAAUUUCCAAUUUUUGUUUGCAUUCGUGACUCAAAAACCGCAUUAAGAUGAUCUUGAAUGAAUAAAAACCAAUAUAUGAUUAUGUUUGGCUGCGGGAUCUUUGGUCAAUUAGAGGAGAACUCAAAGAACUCGGAAAAUAAGUUAAAGUGUGUAGUUACAUCAUGAGCUAACAAUAUGUACAAUAUGCUUAGCUUAGACAACUCCAAUAAUUAAUGCGGUCAGCUCUAUAAUUUCUUUUUUCUCCUGAAGGAAAAAUUUAGCUCAAUUGGUGACUGAUUUCUGAAUCGGUCAAGGACCGAUUGAACCACUAAUAUCAAAAGCUGUACAUGGACUAAACGAAUUCAUUCGAGUCUUAUUUUAGGGAAAUAGAGAGAAGUUGGCUCCCAACCGUACCAAGCGAUUUAAGGGGCACUCACCCCACAAUUAACACAUAAUCGUUCAAACCCAGCAGCACUUUUUCUUCUACUGCAUGUUCCCCAAUAACAACUUAGUGAGAAUUGAAUACCAGUGAUUUUCCAGUUCCCAGCACUUCAUCUUUCCUAAGAAAUUUAUUUGCCAAGAGUUUCCUGCUAGCAUCAUACAGUGGGACCUGAAUGAUCCAAGGGGGAUAUAAUAAUGAGCAGAAAAGUUAUAGCUGGACCUAUAAAGAAGGGGUGCGUAGGGCCUUAUAACUUUUCUGGGUAGCGAAAUGCACUUGAAUUUGUGUGAUGCUUGGGUCAAAUAAUGAACCAUUAUUGGAAAAACAAAUGAAGUGAUUCAUGUUGGACCAACAAACGAAGUAGCCAGCCCACUUUAAUUUAAAGAACAGUGUCUUAAGGAUGAAACCAUCCUUAAAAGUGCUUCGGAAUGACUUGCCUCCCUAGGGAUCCGCGAACUUCAAGCUGCAAAAAACCAUCUUUGCAUUUCUUGGCCUUUUGAGUUACUUGGUGUACAAAACCUGCCAUUCUACAUGACAGGGUAUCUCCAAGUAGGAGAUGCUCAGUUAAACUAACACAAAAAUAAAGGAAGGACACCGCCCGCAAAAGAACAUUCACAUUCUCGUGCGUGUCAGAAACGACUGAAGAAAAAUAAUGAAUCUGUUAUUGAAUUCGUUAAUUCCAUAACCUCAAGCUAAAAGGAGGCAGUAAAUGCACAGCAAUAUCAAGAUCAUAGUCGGCUGGUUAAUGAAAACUUCAUUAGAAAAUCUAUCAGCAAGUAGAAUGAAUAACUGGCUAAGUAAUGAAAACUUCAUAAGAAAAUAUUGGCAUAAAGGAAUAUCCUGAGGAAUCCAUGUAACUCGGUUCAUUGCCCUCCUCUGUUCAUGAAGUUCUCGUACUUAUGAGUCAUUCUUAAGUACCUAGAGCACAGUGCUAGAGCUAGGAAUAUCUCAAGAACGUAACCGGUCAAGGUGAAUUAUGGAUUUUCCGAAUGAAUGGACACACUCAGACCUUCUGUGAAGCAUAAAGCUGAAAACUCAAUAAAUAUUUUUGUAUUUUCAGUGAAGCUUUUAUCUGUAGAUCAUGCAAAACAUGAAGAGAAGGGAAUCAUGCUCCUCAACAGAAAAGAAAGAGAUAACAUGGAUAGCAAUGAUGAUUUUCAAUUGUUGACUCUCUUUAUCUCGUCAAUGAAGAAAGUAUUAAAUUCAAAUAAAUACAACGAAUUGAUUUAUGGCAUUUGCAAGUUCAAGGCCCUUUGGAAAUCAUCCCACAUCUCAUGAACAUCCCUUGGACUUGCAUCCUUAAAGCUCCGGAUCACGAUGUGUUUUCAAUAUCAUUUCGGUGAGUAUGGAGUAUUACCCAAUUACAUCAAUUGCAGAGCAGCUGAAUGAUAGGGUUGAUGGGAUAUAACCAAUGAGGAGAAAAUGUUAACAAUCUAUUGGAAGUUCAAGACUUUAGGCUAGGAGGUAAGGCAAAUUACCUUCAUAUAAAGACUAAACAGGAAAAAUAAACACUUUAUAGAACACCACGAAAUGGAUCAAACUGAACUGUAUUCCAGGUACCUUUUAAAGCAGAUUUAACAUUAGUAACAUUAUGCUGAUGCUUUUGCAUAUUUAAUUUGUGAAGAGAAUUGAAACGGUUUCCACAUGCAUUUAGAUCCCUUAAAGAUUCAUGGUUUGCUUCACUGUGGCCAACUUCUACCAUAUGACGAGGAAAUUCCAUCAUCUCCCCAGGGUUUACUUCUUCAGCUUUGCUCAGGAACCUGCCAUCUAAAUGUUUCCAGCUCAUAUCAUACAAGAAAACCUGGUAAAAGACCCAAAUAAGGUUUCAAUCAUCUGAACCAUAUUUAUCCUGACAAAAUUUUUUCACUAAUCUGCUGAGAAAGGUAUACGUCAUGAAGAGGAAAACCUACUAAUAAAGGAAGGAAGAGCUGAAAUUUAAUUCAGCAACAAGAUAGCUGGUAUUAUCUAAGGGUAAACAUCAGAAGGAGAUGAAGACUGUAGAGCUCGACCUGCCUAGUCAUAGAUCCACUGCUUGUACAACGUAAGACGCCAUCAUGAUAUUUCUUCGACUUUUGAGUUAAUUGAGUUGCAUACAAGGCAUAUCAAUCUACAUCAAAAGGAAUAUCAUGUCAACUGCAGUGCUGAGACAACAAUAACACUCUCGAAUGUAACUACAUAGAGAACAUUGAGAACAUUUUUCUGAGGGAAGUUUGGAUAUAUGCUAAAAAGUUCCAAUGAUUUUCAAGAGAAGCCACAAAAAUAUAUGAAACCACCUUGAUUGAGAAGACUUGAUAUACAAAGCAUCAGAGUUGAGAGAAUCUUUAUUGAUCUUGAAAAGACUCUGUAUGUAAUACAAAGAUGUGCAGAAACUGUAUCCCAAAGAAAAUCAAGAACGGAUUCACAAUCCAGGAGAUACAUCAAGAGAAAGACACGGCCUGGCAUGGGCAUAAAUGAGUCAGCAAAAGUCCAAACUCACCCGUCAUGCUUGAUGUCCUCGAGUUCAGACUCGCCUGCAGUAUGCCGUACCUGUUCACUUCGUUCUUUUUGAAUUCUGGAAAUCAAAAAACAAAAGAAAACGCAUUCUAAGUUGUUGUAACCAGCAUUUACAUGCAAUUAAGAUAGAGUUAGAUUAUGUAGGAUUCCAUCGCCAACCUCUAAUAAUUUUCUGCGAUGGGCUGAGGCUGAUUGUCUGCUGUUUAUUCUUGUCUACUUUGGUCUUCUCAUUUCUUGAAACGUAUGCGAAGUGGAUUAUACAAUAACACCAGUAGACGAUCACAACAUUGCGAAUGUACAAGAAUGAGAUGUCAAAUUUCAAACCAAUAGAGACACCAGCAUGAAGAACAAACAAUACUGGCACAAUCAGAUACGUUCACUAACUUGUUUCUGGGAAGUGAAGUUGUUCGCUUAGGAACUUUCUUUGCUCGGCCGUGAAAAUAAGUAUCAUUAAGAGGCUUUUGCCCUCCUUCAGGCUCUCCAACGUCAACCAAAUAAGCACUGAACGUCAGUGUCUCGCCGGAACAAACAACUUCAUCAUUCUUCGAUGGCCUAGUCCACUCAGAACACGCUCAAUCACGGGAAGCACAACGACCGAAACCACAGAAACAGAAACAAUCGAAAUCCUAAGUGGAGUCAAGCUGUCGCUAUCUAGUCUGAUCGAGCCCGCUAGAUUCAGGGAAUCGAUUGCCACUGCAGUUUCGACAUGGACUAGCCAAUCAAACCGAAUCACGUCCGACGCCAAUCGAAGGUAACUGAAAUUGCCGAUGGAAUUGAGUAGGACAUGAAUGGCAGAGGAGAUCAGUAGAGAGAGAGAGAGAGAGAGAGAGAGAGAGAGAGAGGGAAAACAACUUGGCGGUGGAGGAGUGGAGAGAGAGGAAGCCGUUGUUAAUAGUGGAAUCGAAUCUAUGCACGACGGUUGGUGAGAUCAAUUGAAUAGGCCGACUAGGGCUGCUUCACAUCUAGAGGCUCUGCCGCUUCACAUCAAUUGUCCACAUAUCUUUAUUUACUAAGUUGUCAUUUUCUUUAGAAAAAUUGCCCAAACCCCGAAUCCCAAAUUUUUCACACCUACCCAAAAUGCUUAAAAUAAAUUAAAAACCAAACCCCCCCAAAUCAGAGCUAUAUAUACUAAAGUAAAUUUGUAAGAAAAGAGUGAUUUGGCUUUUUCAAUUUGAGGUUUUGCUUCGACAUAUAUAAAUGGUAUUUAUAAAAAUAGAGGCAAGUAAGUGGUUAUUGAUUCAAAGUGACGUGUUUUUUUUUUUUUAUAUAUAUAUUUUCCACUUUAGAAGAACGAACUGAUUUAGGUGUAUAAAAUGUGCCUCGACAAGUUUGAGUCAUUGCUUCAAGUAGAAAUUCUUCUAUUUUUCUUUGUUAAGUUACAAAAUAAAUAUGUCUGUUUUGGAAUAUGUAGCCAUACUCUUUAGAUCCAAUGAAGUCAGUGGACAUGUGAUGUCUUCCUAAUGGUAGCAUCGCAUGUGCUCGCCCAAAAAGUUUUCCCAAAAACAAAAUAGACUUAGAAAAUGUUAUAAUCAGAAUUGAAGAGGGACGUAUGAUUAGAUAAGAAUUAGAGAGGGUUGUGUCCGUCACAAUAAUUUUUAUAUAGCUUCCUGACCUCACUCAUACCACACAUCACCUUAAAUCACUCAUGUGAUCUAACUAUGUCUUAUAUAUACGCAAUUUUUAAUUUACUAAAGAAGAUACGAAAAGGCAAGGGGGUUGCCCUUACAGGCAUAUAAGAAAUCUUGAUUUCUGUAUAAUUGAGAAAAAGAAAAGAUGAGGUUCAUAGAUCAAAUAGGUUUAAAUAUGAACUGUUUAUCUAAGGCCAAGACCCCAUCCUUUGGAUUUGGUUGCAUUGUGGAGGUGACGUCAUUCUUUGGUUGAAUUAGAGAGAUAUCAUGCACCUAAUCAAUAAUUCAUGGGUGCAAUUGUGCACUGGGAGAGAAUUUAACAGGUAAGCCUAGGGGCAUAUGUGUCCUUUGGCUGGGGAUCGACCCUGGUGGGGUUUAUGUUUCUGUGGAGGGAAAAUAACGGAAAACGAGCUGGAGGAGUUUGCCGUUUCUCGUGUGCAGGAACAGCCGUUGGAUCUGUUUACUCUUGACUGUUUCAUUAAGGGCGUGAUUGAGCACUGAUUGUUGCUGACUCCACAUUGCAUGUGAUGAAUGUCUGCUUCUUUCUUCGUUUAUUAAUACUGAUUUGUGAAUUAUUUCUUGAUUUUACCUCGUUUCCUCUUGCUAAAACGAUUAGAGCAACUGGAAUAAUCCCACCCCACCCCAAAUAUACAUGUUUUUGAUGAACAUACCAUUGCUAGCUAAAGUGAAAUUGAUUUUCUUCAAGUAAUCUGAUUUAAUCUAGUGGAAGAAAAUAAACCGAGUAAAUAAGUUCACUUAGUUUGAGAAGUAAAGCAAUUUUAGUAAUUUAUUGCUAGUUUAUGGCCGGAAUAGUAAAUUUAUACGAGGUUAUUAAAUCAAUAUCAGGAUUAGUUUAGAAAUCCUUUAUAUUACAACGAUAGUGUUUUCUUACAAUUCGAUUUGAGUAAAAAUAUAUAUAAUUUUUAAUUUUCCUUCUUCUUCUUCUUUUUUUAACUUUCAAAUUUGGCUUUCCUCAUUAUACACUAAAAAAAUCACUUGUAUAUAUAUUUUGUGUUUAGAAAACUCAACAUUAUAGAGUUUUCUUUGUCACGUAUAUGAUAAAGUAUGAUGCCAUUCUACAAAGUUAUAGAAUACAUCAUAAGAUUUUUUAUUUUUUUAUUUUUACAUCGUGUCCCAGGUCAAUAAAAUCCUGAUUAUUAAAAUUUAGUAUUAUAGGCAUGCCCUUCAAAGCACGAGUAAAUUAUUAUGAUGAUGUUGAGUCUAUUUGUUAAGGAAAUUUGGUUGUGUGCAUUUGACACUAUAUUAUUUUUAGGCGUAUAUUACCAGUAGAAGCUCUUACUUCGGGACACUAGAUAUUGUAAUGUUGUUGGGGGAUAUGGGACAAGGAAAACUUGGACAAUUUUUUUUAAAAAUAAAUGUUUAUGAGAUUUAAAAUAAGAGGUAUUAUCUACUCAUUUUUUCCCAUAGUGAUUGCUUGCAGGGAAAAGUACCAAAAUAGUCCUAAACUUUUUGCAUUGGUAUCAAUUCAGUUCUAAACUUUUUAAUUAAACCAUUUUAGUCCUAAACCUUUUUACAUUAGUACCAAUUUAGUCCAUUUAAUUAAUUUAAGCCGGAAAUUGCCAGGGUGGCCGCCAGCGGUCUUAUGUGGCGUCACGUGGAUAAAUUUUAUAAUUAUAUAUAUAUAUAUAUAUAUUUCAGAUUUUUAAAUUAUUUUUUCCUUUUUUCUCUUUUUUUUUUCUUUUCUCCUUACCCCCUUGGCCAGUGAGGUCGCUCGCCGGCCACAGGCUGGUCGGAGCCAGGGGCCCCUCGCCCUCGCCGGCCACUGGCGAGGGCCGCCGCGCCCUCAUCAGCCACAGGCGAGGGCCGAAACCCUCAUCCGUUGGCCGACAAGGGCCUCUGCGCCCUCCCUCGUGACGAGUAGGGGGUGGUAGCCUUCAACCGGAUCUACGGUAGGGACUACUUGCUCUCACAAAAUGCUGACGUCGUUCAUAUGAUUAGCAAAUUCUGACUAUAAUAGCACUGUUCGGGAUGUUUAGAGGAUUAGAAUUGCACUAGACUNNNNNNNNNNNNNNNNNNNNNNNNNNNNNNNNNNNNNNNNNNNNNNNNNNNNNNNNNNNNNNNNNNNNNNNNNNNNNNNNNNNNNNNNNNNNNNNNNNNNUUCCCAGUAAGAAACCCAAAGUUCUUAUUCUUAGAUCCACAUUAGUGUCGACCAGGGGUUGGUACACCGUAGAUAACAUAGCUCGCCCGCCAUGAGCGAAGGCUGCCACGCCCUCGCCUAGAUCUGGGCGAGGGCCGCCGGCCCUUGCCCACCAACGGGUGAGGGUUUCGGCCCUCGCCUCUGGCCGGCGAGAGCACGAGGCUCCUCACCCCAACCAGCUUGUGGCCAGCGAUGGUUGGCCGGUUGGCGACCUCGCCGGCCAAGGGCGUAAGGAGAAAAGAAAAAAAAAUUAAAAAUCUGAAAAAAUAUUUAAAAAUUAUAAAAUUUGUCCACGUAACGCCACAUAAGACCGCCCACGGCCACGCCAGCAAUUUCCAGCUUAAAUUAGCCGGAUGGACUGAAUUAGUACCAAUGUAAAAAAGGUUUAUGACUAAAAUGACUCAAUUAAAAAGUUUAGGACUGAAUUGGUACCAAUCUUAGGUGGAUAACUUGCACUGGGUGAUCAAGUAUAAAUCUUGGAAUUCUUUCCAUUCCACCAUUGGCCGGUUUGCUUUUGCAGCCUUAUCAACAUCAUUUGGAAGGAGCGGAAUAAUAUUAUCUUCAAGGGUAGGCCACCAUCCCUCUUAGCUAUGAAGGUGCGAUUGGAGAAGGUUGUCAGAGACAAACAUUGUCUUUUAAACAAGUCCCUUCCAACACCACGAAUUGUAGGUUGCUACAAUGCUGGUCUAUAAACCCUUCCAUUUUGACGGAUUGAUCACUCUGCUACCAAUCUUACCAUGGGGUUCUUCACUCUGCAAUUGUGUUGUUGUAGGCCGUUUGGUUUGCUUUUGCCUCUAUUUUGGCUUUCCUUUGCUCCUAUGCAGGUGGCCUUGUUUUACCUUGGCACCCUUCCACUCACUCUGACUGUUCUUGUCCUCGUGAGUGUAAGUUUUUGGUGCUGAGUUCUUGUUGUAUAGCUUCUUGCUUCUCUUUGGCUUUAGUUAAUAUAAUUCUUACCAUUUACCAAAAAAAAAAAUGUAAAAGGUUUAGGACUAUUUUGGUACUUUUCCCAUUGCUUGCAAAUAUUGAUAAAAUAAAAAUAAAGAAAGUGAAGGAAUGAAAAAUUGGGAAAUUUUUUUAAAUUCCUCCCCUCCCUUUUUCUUGGGUCGCACUCUAUGAUUCUCUCUCAAUCUCUACACGUGAGGGACACCAAAAGUUUUUUUCUUUGAAUCUGCUUGACGUCUCGCCGGUGCCCUACUAUCAUUGCCAGUAGAUCUCCCCAUCAGAUUUGGAUUGAUCGUCUUUGAUCACUUCUCUACCAAAAAAUCACUGUCGAUCCUGCUUCGUCUUGCACAUACUGCCCAAGCGAGUUAUAUGUUGAGGCGAUUAGCUUUCGAAAUUAAUUCUUUGCUGAAGCAGCCAUCGAUGAGAGCUUUGUGCCGUUUGCUUCUCCCCUGUUAUUAUGGGGAACAUAAGAAGCACCCUGAAGUCGAUAGAGUAGUGGACACUUCGUACAAAUAGAAGGAAGACAACUUUUCCAAUGCGAACCAUUGGUUUAGAUUGUGUUUUAGGUUGUUUGGUCUGUCUGUUCGAACAUUUGAUUCCGACAUCUAUUUCCCUUUCUUGAUUUUAAGAUUUUGGCUGGAAUCAUAUAUGUUGGUUGAUUUUGUUUGUUUAGUGGAAUUGUUCCUCGUAGAGGAGAAUUAAUGGAUCUUUACUUGUCGGAUACUUAUCGGCGUGAACCUUCGGCAUAAAGAAGUAAUUUUGUGCAAUGCUUAUCAGCAAAGUACUAUCUCCAAGGUGAGCUUGGAAGUGAGGUUUGGACUUUGGUGCCAUUUGCUUUUUGCCCAUCUUUUCUUUAAAAAAAGAAGAAAAAAAGACAAGCAAAAUUAUUAUUUUUUAUUGUUUUUCUUUGUUUUUGUCAUAUUGUAAUUAUAUUUGGAUUUUGGGGGCAGAAACAACCCCCUUGUGAGCGUCUGGUCGUUGGUGCAUGAAGGCGUCAUCGUUCCCACGAUUCUGUUCCUUUUGUUUCGGAUGAAGUUUUCUGGAUACUCGGAGAUCUAAUCGAGAUCGUUUGUUGCUUUGGAAGCCGUCCUCGAAUUUGCCAUCCCGUGCCAUGAACAUUCUAAUAAUUCCGACGGUUGGCACGAUAACGUAGAGGUUUUUAUUUAUUUAUUUAUAUUUAUAAAAAAAAACUAGUUGGUAAUGUCGAGUUUGCCUCAAAGUGGCUUGGAGACUUCUCCAGUUACAAUUCCGAAAUAUCCCUCAGAUGCUCCUUGACCUCGGGGUUAAGCCUUGGUCCGUUUGUAGCGUAGGUUCAACUGUGUCAUGGGAUGGGAUAACUCCGGUUCAACUAUUAAGGAGGCAUUUUCACGGAGAAAAUUUUGCCCUGGUCGAGGUGGUCCAUGUUGGGUGUGGAUUCCUCCCGUCCCAUACAAAGCAUUACAUGUUGAUGUGGAACUCCUCAGAAACCGUUCACCUGUUCUCUUCGUUUUGCCCAAAAAUAAACAUAAAAAUAAAAAUAAAAAUGUUAAGAUGAGUGCAUAGUCCAUUACUCCAAAAACUUACAAGUCUAGUAGGAGUAUUCACAUUUCGUAAAUUAAGGCAAAAAAAAAAAAUAACAAUAAUAAAGGUCGAAGUUAGGUGGACAUUAUAAGGCAAUCUUUAUUUAUUUAUAGAAUUAAAAAAAAAUAACGCAGUGCUUGCAAUGAUUUUGAUAUAUAGUUAUUGUUAUUCAGUUUAAUGCAGUUCCCAUCUCUUCCACAUCCUCAACAUGGGCUGGGGCUGGGAUACGACCAGACACCUCAUUUCUAAGAUUACUCCUAAUCCUCAAUAGGAUAUAUAGAAAAUAACACAUUUAAUUGUUACAGCAUUAACGAAUAAAACUCACUUAUGCCACCAAUGAAACCACAUGUUCUCAUUCUAAUAGCAUCGUCUCUAGACUUGACAGUUGGUGUGACGACCUACGAGCUUGUCUCGACCUAAUCAGAGUCACAAGGGAAUGAAGACACUAUUAGACGGAUUGUCAAGAUGUAAACCGACUGUCAUCCCUAUUGAACAGAAUAUUAAGUUAACCAAGAUGUAAACCGGUUGUCAUCCCUAUUGAACAUAAUAUUAAGUUAACCACAACUAAAUAUGACAAUAGAUCAUCUUCUCAAACUAAAGAUCCUUUGCUUGAAGAUCUGUCCAUCUAUCAGAGGCUUGUAGGGAAACUCACAUAUCUUACCAUGACAAGACCUAACAUAUGCUAUGUGGCACAAACACUUAGUCAACUCAUGCAAAAACCAAAGGUCUCACAUGAACACUGCCUUGAAGAUUGUAAAGUAUUUAAAAGAAUGUCUAGCACAGAUUGUAAAGUAUUUAAAAGAAUGUCUAGCACUUGGGAUACUUCUUUCUCAAGACUGCAAUUUGGAAAUUUGGAAAUGAUAGCUUACUAUGACACAAAUUAUGCCACGUGUCCCAUGAGUCAAAGAUCUGUCAUUGGUUUUUGCAUUAAAUUGGGAAAUUGCUGUAUCAUUAUUAUCAGCUUAGACUGAGUAUUGAGCCAUGGCCAAAACUAUUUGCAAAAUAGUAUGCUUAUGAAGACUACUUUGGGACCUAGGGUCGACUAACUUAUUUUGUGACAAUCAUAUAGUACUUAAACUUGCAGCAAAUCCUAUAGUCCAUAAGAGAACAAAGCAUGUUGAAGUGAACUGUAACUUCACUUGAGAUAAGAUGGAGGAAGGAGUACUAAAGGCAAAUGGGAUUAGAACCAUGGAACAAUCUACUGAUAUCUUCAAGCCAAUGUGUGGAAGGCAACAUGCACAUCAUUGAGCAAGUUAGGCGUAUUUGAUAUAUAUAUCAAACACCAGUUGGGAGUGUUGGAGAUAUGCAAGAUAUGCAAAGAUCAAUUUGGGAUCAUAAUUGAUCUAUUAUUUGAUUUCAUAUAUCGGAUCUUAUUCCUUCUUUAGUCACACAUUUAUUGUAUUAUAAAUAGAAGCGUAUAUUUGUAAAGGACAAUUCAUUCAAUACAGAAAACAGAUUUCUCCCAAGUCUUCCUAAUCUUUCAUUUUGUGAGAGGUUGAGCAGGGAUUCAACGUCAUUGGUGCAAGGCUCGGGGAGAAGAAAUGGACUGCCAUUAGUCUGGGAAAUUCAGAGAACGUCGUCAAUGGAGGGACUUGGAAGGAAGCGACAACGACACCGUCAUCGUGCGAGGUUCACUAGGUUGAAGCAAUGAUCACCAGAACAAAGAGGCGUGAUCUCAACAACAGGGACUUACCACAACAGGUGAGAUUGAGGGUGUGUUUAGUUCAGCAUUUUAAAAGUCCAUUAGGAAAAUGCAAAGUAGUUUGACCUAAAGAAUUUUAAACAAAUGCAAAAGCCAUUUGGUAAACUAUCUUUUGAGAAGCAACUUUGAGAGAAAUGUUAUUUGGUAGAAAACAUAUUUGAAAAAACAUUUGGACGAUUAAUAUUAUUUUUUUAAUUUCAUUUGUUUAAAAUUGAAAAAAAUAAUGUAUGCAACUUUUUAAAUAUAAUUUUGACAAUAAUACUAAAAAGAUCAAAUACAUAUAUAAUUUUUUUUUAAAAGACCAAACCCUUCAUCACAAUUUGUUAAUUUUUAAUUGCUUAAAAUUGAAAAAAAAAAUAAUAAUGUAUGCAACUUUUUAAAUAUAAAUUUUGACAAUAAUGCUAAAAAAAUCAAAUACAUAUUUAUAAUUUUUUUUAAACGACCAAACCUGCAUUGAUUCAAUGAAAUCGGGGUCAAGUGAAAGCUGAUGCCAUUACCUUUUAACUUUCGUGUUUUGCAAAACUUCAAAGGAAGACAUUUACUUCAUUGAAAUUACAAAAACACAUUCACACACCCGAGAAAAAUCUGGGCGUGGCAUGUUCGGCGCUCUGAUCAGAUCUGUUGGAUAUCUUAAUGAGCUUCAAGUUCAAUGAAAUUAAUGUCAAAAUGAAACUUAAUAUGUCUUUUAAAACUUUCAUGAAGAACAUGUUACGAAAUUUUCAUCACAAAAUUUGUAAAAAUCCGAGAAUGACUGAAAGUCAGUUCUGGAAAGCAGUUUCCAGCACAACACUGCAACUUUGUGAAGAUCAUUAAAAAUAGCAAAUGACAUUUGCAUCUUCUAAAAAUAUCAACAUCAAAUUCCGAUCACGCGAUUUUAUAAAAAUCGAAGAACAGAUGAUGGUCAAUCUGGAAGUUCUAUUCUCGGAGACAAAAACGUUCAAUGAGAGGCAGAUCGUACCAACCAAACAACAUUUGUUUUUUUGUGAAAAUGUUAUGCCUAAUAGAUCUGGAUGUGAUGAAUAAUUCUCAUGAAGACACCGACUCCAAAAUCUCAUGUCAAAAAUUUGUAAAAAAUAGGAAGCUACGGACGUCGCCAAAAUUGGAAAGACAAACAGAGUAAUCUAGUAUUCCAAACACAAUAUUGUGAGGGAAUUUUCACAGGGCGACUGAUGUCCAAAUCAAGCAUAUAAUAUAUCAAAUGAAAGCUCAGAGAGUAUACUUGCAUUCAUCAGUUGCACACUUAGCAAAAUUUUAAGAUCUAAGAGCUCGUAUUAGCCAAACCAGAAAUUCGGUUCAAAAUGAUAUGCGAAUUCCAGAAAAAUGGUCAUGCAAGUUAUAGCAUAAAGGAGCUUCUAACAAUAAUUUCAGCUCAAACAAUCAUCAUUCUGAGACAUUUAGAAGCAUCAAAAUGUAAGUCAUAGCCCCGGUUUAUGAGUAUUGAUCCAAAAAUCAAUAUCGAGAGCUCACUUCAUCGAACUUGAGAGUUUAGAGAUCACUUACCUUUGACUCACUCAGCAUUUCGGCACAAGUUGUUGCAACCUAACCCCUUCAACUAGGGAGGGGGGAUUAGGUUUGGGGGUAAUGUCAAUUUCGGACUAAUGGCCUUUCAUUGACUUGGGCUCUCCCAAUCUCUACCUUGCACGACAAUGGGGCGUUUGAAUUAUAACUAAGGAGUUGCCACUAGCCAUUUUCAGCCAACUAGAAAUGAAGUAAAAUAUAGGAGGAUAUCUUAUUAUUUGCCAAGCAAAGACUCUAGACUUAAAGACUUAAUUACAUUAGUCCUCAGACUAAUGCCCCUUUGGUUCCUAACUUAAUUAAAUGCUAACUAAUGCCAUGACAUUCUAUUGAAGAAUUGGAGGUUUCGUCCUACCUAUUUUAAAGCAAAUAACAUCCAAGUUACUGAGGUGCAUAACCAAAUUUAAUCACAAAGAAAAACACGCAAGCAUCCUACUAUUGUCUCUUAAAAAAGGAACAAUCCAAAACAAGAAAUCCUAUUGUAAAACCCUGAAAGCUUAUCCAAUUUUAGAUUUUAAUUUUUUUAAGAAUUUUUCAAUUUUUGAGGAUUUUUUCAUUUUAUUUCUUAAUUUUUAAUGCUUUUCCGAAUUCUCUUUUUGAACUUUUUUUACUAAUUAUUUGUUUUAUAUAAAUUUCAUUUUUUUAUAUUUUCGGAUUUUCCUAUAUAUUUAUUGAUUUUUAUAUUUUUUUUCGAAUUUAAAAUAUCUUAUUAAUUUUUGAAGGCUUUCUAAGUUUUUAUUAUUUUUAUUUUUUAAUCAUUUUUAUUUUAUUAUUUUUUAAAUGGUUUCUUUUAAAUUAUAUAUUCAGGAAAUGGGUUCAGAUCGUGUAAACCCAAUCCGACUCUCUAACCCGACCCUUCGACCCGGUUCCAACCCGAGUCGGAUUAAAAUCGAUCUUUCAAUAUUUUUAUUUUCUUUUUAAUUUUUUUUAAAAUUUCCUUUAUUUUUCUUUCUUUUGUCCCUCCUUUUCUCUUUUCCCUAUUUUGUCCUUUUCUGCCUUGAAACCGUGCCGUUCUCCAUUGACACUGAUGUUUCACACCGCCACAGAUCACCUCCCAACGCCGGUUGUUUAAUCGGAACGGGGUCCGGCACCUCCAGUCACAUACUCCGACGACCGCAAAACAAAUAAAGUAUUUCAAACCGAAGUUAACACUAUUAAACCCUAGCAUCAUUAAUGAUCAAACAAUAUGAACCCAUUUAGAAUAAGGAGCAGAGCUGACUUGAACGGCCUCGAACCGUAAUAGCCGCCGGCAUGGGAAGGUUGGUUUCAGCAAGGGGAGGAUCCAUGACUCGGACACGAAACUUUCCACCCAUUCAUAGAGAAAGCACAAAAAAAAUGCUGAUGUCAGCCGUGGUUCAGCAUAUACGGAAGCAAGAAUGGAUCGAUAUUAAGCUUCGACACGAAUUAACAAUCGGCCCUCUCCUAGUCAUCUUAUGAAACACGUGAUGGACAGACGCGAGAUGUGAGUUUUUCGACGCAUGAUCAACGUGAUUUCUAAUCAGAACGUGACAUAUCAAAUUCCUAACAUCGUCAUCUCUCAUGAAUAUAUCUCGGUAUCGCAAGAUCAGGCCACAAGUUCAUCGAUUUAAAUUUAUGCCCUCGGUUCCAGAAUAGGGUGAAGAAAGAAAAAACAGGGUAUUGAAGAGGAAGGAUUUUACCUGAUCGGAAGUGGCGUGCAGUAGUUGCUCGCUCGCCAAGGAAGCUCAAAAAGAUGGCCGAUGCUCUUCUCCUCCGCCGGCAAACUUUUAUGUUAUUGGUCACUCCACCACAGACAGAUGCGAUGUCCGAUGGAACCCUACCGAGAGCAGGACUGAGCUUCAACGAUGUUCAGCUUCUGACCCGCAAGGCUCCCCUCGGCCAGAUAUGGUGAUCCUCCUUCUUAUCUCCCUCUCUCCCUUCUGGCCAAAACUAGCACCAUUAGCCAACGAUCUCUCCCCACUUCUUCUUCCGCAAAGCUCUGUAGCUCCGCUUUUUUCCUGAUGUCCCACACUCACCAAGAACACUCUCCUCUCCCUCUCUCGGUGAAAAUUCUUCUUCAGCGAGAUUUUUCUGCCACUCCUUCCUGGCCGACGAUUCCACAUAAAACAGACCACCCCCUUUGCCAAGCGAGAGCCUCCCUUUAGUAGAGAAUUUCAGACUUCGACGCCCAUCUGCAAACUUCAAUUUAUGAGGUUCGUCAAUGGACGGCUCGGCUACAAACUUGAAGACCAGGACCACUUCUUUGAAGUUGCUAUGUGGAAGUGUUUUCUAAGCUUCUUCUUCAAUAAAAAUCAAUGAAAGUUGCUGAUAUAAGGAUUUGAUCGCAACAAAUAUAAAAAGCAAAAGCCGAGAAAACUUAGAAUUAGUGGAGAAGUUGCAGGGAGAGAUUGAAAUCUUGAAGAGCUUCCAGAAAUCUCGAUUUUGUUCCCAUGUUCUCUAUUCAGCCGGGCAAGAAGACAGAUGAGAGAGAAGUAAUGGAGAAAUCGUGAAAGAGAGAGAGAGACAACGAAUGAUGAGGCUCUGCUAUCCCUAGCCGAGAGUGUGAAUCCGUGGAGAUCUUGUGAGAAAGAAUUGAUAGAGAGAGUUGGCGGUAAGUCCCCAACCUAGAGAGAGAUUUUAGCUUUAGAGAGAGAAAAAAAAAGAAAAAUCCCCCAAAAUCCGAGCCCCCCUCUUGCCUCGCUUUUUCAAUCUUUUGAGGGAAAACCAAAUGAUCCGACCCAAUCUUUGCUCCCUUGUGUGCCUCGAAGGAAGAAAGCCAAUAGAAUUACAGGGAAAUUCAAAAAGAUAAAAUUUAAUUUCCACCCUACUUUUGAUCCAACGGCUCUAGUUGAUUCCUUCACGGUUAUCAAUAUCCUUCUUGAGAUGGAAAUCCCCCCCAAAAAAAGGAAAAAAAAAAAAAAGAGUGCGUCUGAUAUGAUUUGAACCUACACCAAAGGUUCAUAAGGCCUCUGUCCAACCCAUUAGACAAUGGACACUUUUUUUUUUCUUUUUUUUUUUUAACUUUCAUAUCCCUCCCUUACAUAUUCUCUUGUUCGGGAAAAAAACUAUGUUAAGACGAGAAUUUUGGGAAUUGCAUAUUCAAUUCAAAGAUGGAUUAAUAAUAGAAUAGAAUUAAAUAAUCCAAUUCAAAAUAUUAAUUUGCACAAUAUUUAAAUUCGUAUAAAUAUAUAUGUAUAUAUAGACCAGAGCAAGUAGCGGGAAUCCAACCCGCGUCAUUAACUUGGAAGGCUAAGGGUUAUAGCAGACAUUGAUUAUCAUUUUUAACAUCUCUAUUUCAAAACCGAACAUGAAUCUUUGGUUUCAAUAAAAGAUGGAUAAAUUCACAAACAUCAAUAUAUCUAAACUAAGACGUGAACGAAAUAAAUAAAUAAAUAAUCCAUAACAUCUAUGUCAGCUUUUCAUUUUUGAACGUAUUUAAAUUUAAAAAAAAAUCGCUUUCUAGACAAUCCAUCUAAAAUAGGGAAUAGGGUAUUCCAACAAUAUCUAUAGUUACUUCAUUCUCUAUUACUAUUUGAGAAAAUCCUUGGGAAAAGUAUUUUGUUUCUGCCGAGCUAAAAAUAUAAUAUACCGUGCCUCUAGUAAGUUGACAUCAUCCUUUAAUUUCAUCAAUUUAUAAAUAUUUUGCUUCAAUCUUUCCUAUCGAAAGAAAAAAAAAAUGGAAGAUUUAGUUGUGAUUAGAAAUGUGCUUUUCUAUAUUUAUCCAUGGAUUCUUUAUUGAUAUUUAUUAAAUUGGAAGUAUCGAUCCCAUUAAAAAAGAUAAAAAUUAUGUUUCGCAUGUAGAUAAUCUAAUUUUCCAAAUUUUGAUUGAUCCUUGGAUACAAACCACGAAAAUGUAUAUUUUUUCUUAAAAUCCUUCAUUCAAAGGUAAAGGAUUAAAUCCUUUUAAGAAAAAAACAUUUUGUUCUGAAUAUGAAUUAAAUUAAAUCCAACUGAGGGAUCCCUUAACUAUAAAGGGGAUUAAUAAAACAAAUCACACUUUUACAACUGAAUUAUAUCCAUUACAAUGUGAUUAUUGUAUAUAAAUAAAAAUUUUGCUGACCAAAAAAAAGGUGAUCCGGUGUAAUCAAGAUAGGAUCCAAAACAAAAUAACAAUGAAAAUUAUAGCAUUGGCAUGUUGUUUUGGUUUUGUCAGUAAACCUCAGAUUAGUAAAAGAGCGCUCUUAAUUCAAAAUAAAAAUAUGUCAGUGGAUUUUUAACAAAACAAAUAGGGCUCCAUUAAAACUAUUUAUGUUAUGAAAUAAGAAUGCGUUGCACAAUAAGCCGUAGUUCCUUUUUUUUCUUUUUUUUUUCCAUAAAGGAAAAAAAAAGGAAGAAAAAGAAAGAAUAAUCAUAAUAUAAUAAAAAUGACGCUUUGCUUCUAUAGAAUGAAAUUUCAUAUCAUAGGAAUGGAAAGAUCCCUUCUCCUGAUUGUUGUUUCAAUAAUCAAUAAUAAGCAUUUUUUUUUCAAGCAAAUCAUUUUAUCUAUGAUUUGGAAUGGAACAAAAAUUGGCCUAGCUAUGUACUAAGCAGGCUAGGCCAUGGAAGGAAAAAAAAGAAAAGAAAAGAAAAGAAAAGAAAAAGCUCUUUUAGAAGAAGAUGUAUUCUCGUUUUUUUAUUUAGAACGUUUUCUUUAUCUAAAUGGGAUUGCAUAUAAAAUUAGUAUAUAUCAAAGUUGUAUCCACCAAUAUAGGGAAAAACAAUAAAGACAGAUAAAGAAAUGAAAGGCUUUUUUUUCAAGCCUUACUUUUUUUUAAGCCUUUCUUUUUGUGUAACGUCAGAUACUAAUUAUCCUCUUUCAAUUUGAAGAUAUGGCUGAGUGGACUAAAGCAUCAUAUUCCUAAUCCGUUGCACGAGCUUUUCGUAUUAAGCGUUCAAAUCCCUCUCUUUUACUUUCGUGGAUGAGUUGUUAUUUUAUAUAUUUAUUCUUUUCAAAACCUUUCCUUUGUUUUUUUUUUUAAUAUAAUAAAUAAGGAGGUAUAAUAGAUAAAAUCCUAAGUAAAAACAUUGAACAAUUAAGCAAGAAAUUUCCAUUAAUGAAAGAUGUAAAUCCAUUGAAAAAUCAAAACUACGAUGAAAUGGUUAUGCAGGAACUAUAAAUAAAGGACCAAGAUCCCCUAUGAAAUAGAAAAGACCGAAUCCAUUCGAUUUCUAAAAAAGAUUACUAAUCCUUAACUUUUCGAGGAAUCCUUCAUCAGUGGUUGUGAAUGACUGAUUUUUUUUUUCAAUCUUUUCGACCUCGGUUAGAUUCAUUCGUAUCAACACGAGAGUCCAACUCAUUGCCAGAAUCCAUCUUAUAUAUUUAUAUUUGAAAGAAAGAGGUUGAUCUCCUUGUUUCUAGGGGGGUUCUAGUUUAUCCACAUCUAUCCCAAUGAGCCGUUUAUCGAAUCAUUGCAUGUACGGUUCUGUAGAGUGGCAGUAAGGGUGACUAAUCUGUCAACUUUGCCAUUUAGCUAAUAAGCCCGUGGAUAUUGAGGUUCCGCAAGCAGUACUUCCUGAUAUUGUAUUUGAAGCAGUUGUUCGAAUAUUAUAUGUUACAUGAGAAUAAAAAAAAUUGGGUCCUUUUCCUCGUUCGAGAAUCUCCUCCCUUCUUUUAUAUUUCUGGGAGUGAACUCCAAGCGAAUAUGAAGCGCAUGGAUACAGGUUAUGCCUUGGAAUUGGAUUUCAUAUUCGAAUAACCCUCGUAAUCGUAAGAAAGUAGGUUUUUGCAACUUUAGCCGCGGCUUAUAUAGGUGAAUCCAUCUUUGAAUUUGAGGGUAAAAAGCUCGCUUGUUAUACGGGAUCCGACGCAUCCCUCCCCAAACCGUGCUUGCAUUUUUCAUUGCACACGGCUUUCCCUAUGUAUACAUCGAAAACUCAAUGUCUUCCCUAGAAAGGACCCAAAUUUCAAAUGAACAAAUUCAAACUUGAAAAGGAUCUUUCUAAUUCUCGAAGAAUGAGGGGCAAAGAGAUUGAUCGAAACCGUUUCGAUAUACGAUUUUAUCUUGUUUCAAU
rnacentral:lncRNA from 1 species